rnacentral:lncRNA from 1 species
CCUUUCUUGGCUGAUCCCUUUCGCUGUAUGGCGUGCUCGUUUGGGUUGGGCAUCGGCUAAGAGUGCUCGGAGCGUGGAUUAACUCCAGUCUCCUAUCAGGUGUGUAUUUUCUCGCUACUCUAGCUAUAGGAUGGCUACUUCGGGCCGCGAUGGGCCGAAACGGGUCAUGUGGGCCCAAUGGGCCUACGGGCCCAAUUGGAUAAGUUGUUUGAUUGGGUAGUAAAUAUUAGACUAGGCUAGGUGAAUCUCAUAUCUGUGCCUAGAUUUGGGGUAAAAGGGCCACACGAGCGUGUGGGCCCAUUCGGGCUCAGAAUAGGCUUUAGGCCUAUCGUAUUAUUAUCCCUGUUCAGAAUACUUUAGUUUACCAAAUUACUAAAAUGCCCUCAAAUUGUAAAAUUACCAAAGUACCCUGGAUUUAUAGAAUUAUUGUUUUACUCUCGAUUUACAGAAUUACCAUUUUACCCUCGAUUUAUAGAAUUACUGUUUUACCCUUGAUUUACAUAAUUACUGUUUUACCCUCGAUUUACAAAAUUACUAAAAUACCCUCGAUCAGUAAAAUUACCAAAAUACCCUAGUCUGUAAAAUUGCUAAAAUACCCCUGGUUUGUAAAAUUACCGAAAUAUCCUCAAUUUGUAAAAUUACCAAAAUACCCCUAGUUUGUAAAAUUACCAAAAUACCACUGGUUUGUGAAAUUAUCGAAAUACCCUCAAAUUGUAAAAUUACCAAAAUACCCCUGAUUUACAAAGUUACAAAAAUACCCUUGACUUUUUAAAAAAUCAUGGAAAUACCAUUGGUUUACAGAAUUACUGAAAUACCCUUGGUUUGUAGAUUUACCAAAACACCCUUGUAGGAUGAAAUGACUAAAAUACCCCUUUUAGGUAAAAAGACCGUAAAGCCCCAUUAGGGUAAAGUGACCGUAAUACCCCUGUAUGGUAAAAUGACGAAUAUGCCCUUAUGUUCCGUAUGAUUGAUGUGCUUAGGAUUUACAUAUAUUGAUAUUGGAUUAGUUAAGUUUGAGUGACAAGUGGUGGUUAUCGUAGCCGAUUGAUUUUGGAAACGUUUCAACUUCAACCCGUAACAGGUGUGUACUAACCCUUAUAAUAGCUUAGAUUAAUAUUUGCUGAGAAGCUGAAAUGCUAAAAUACUGGUAUUUCGGGAACUUGUAAUGUUGUGUUUGGGUAUAGAUGCAGUAAAUACGAUAAGAUCGGUGUUUGGAUCGAUGGAACAGGUAAGAACUCAAUUUUGUGCACGAUGGUAAGUUGGGCCUCAAUGGGCUGAAAUUGGGCCCAAUGGAUUUUCUGACCCAUUUGGGUAGAAUUGAUAGAAAAUUGAAUUUGGAAAAGUUGCACGUUAACACGGUUAGUAUUGUUGUAAAAUUUGGGUUAAGUAGGCUAAAUCAGCAUUCGUAGGGCCCAUUAGGGAUUUUGGGCCCAAAAGCUCGAAUUUGUUAAAGUGGGUAAAAGAUCAUUGUUUAAACACUCGAAAAUAUUGAUAAUUGUAAUGAACAUGGAAAACCCUGAUAUUUGGUAAAAUUAUGAAAAUACCCUUAUAAUGUAAAAAAUGACUGUUUUACCCUUGUGGGCAAGUGACUGACUUGGAGUAUGUGGUUGACGGAUUGAUUGUGAAUAUAUGUUGGUGAUAUGAAUGACUUGACUAUGAUUGUUUACUCAAAUAUGGGCAUGACAUUUUGCAUACAUGACAUGUUGCAUUGGGUUGGGUUUUUAUAUGGAUGGUGGAAGUGCAAAAGGGCUUACGCCCUAGUUUAUUGAAAAAGGCUUUGCCCAAGUUUACCGAAAAGGGCUUUGCCCCAGUUAUUAAAGAGGCUAGGCCUCCAGAUAUAUGAUAAAACAGCUAUGCUUCCAGUGGUGUAUUGGUUGGGUGGGUUGAGUUAUUCCCCACAUGGUGUGUUGGUUGGUACGGGUGGAGAGUAGCGGAUGGUGGGUUGAGUAGUCUCCCCAAAUGGGCUUGCAUACAUUCAUUGGUAUUUCAUGUGAUAUUGAAAUGGGCUUGCAUACAUCCAUUGACAUUACAUGUGAUAUUGAAAUGGGCCUAAGGGUCAUACUGUUUACAGUAAAGGCUUCGGUCCAAUGAUAUGAUUUAUGAAAAUGCUUCGGCCCAGUGAUAUGAUUUAUGAAAAGGCUUCAGCCCAUUAACUGUUAAACAAAAGGCUUCGGCCCAGUAUAUGUCAAGACUAAAUAGGGCUUUAGCCCAGAUUGUACUGAUACUGUAUUUUCACUGUUUGUUUGUUAUUGGGAUUACACACUGAGUUUUCAUAAACUCACCCCGUUUCUAACUGUGCAGGUAAUCCCUAAGCUUAGAUAGUUUGGAGCUGCGAGGGACUCAGAGAUGGCCAUACUACUGUUUCUGUUUCUUUUAAUUGCAAUAAGUAGCUGAUUUAUUUCUUUAUAAGUUUUAUCUUAUUAAUAUUAUUUUUUGGUUUUGGGUUUUAAUAAGGCCAUUUUAAUUAUUUAUCUGGGAUUAUUUUAUUUUUAAUAACUUCAAUCUGUUUGUUAAUAAAUGGGCUAGACUUAGGACGUGUUUUCAAAAUAAUGCCUUGUUUUCAAAAUAACGCCACGCCACGAUUAUCCGAUUUAUCAAAGAUUUCAACUUAAAUAAAUUACAACUCGAUUUAACCAAGUGUGGCAAUGUUGCGGGCAUGUCUAGGAUUGGAUCCAUUAGAAGAGCUUGGUACUUAAGCAGCCUUCAUGGCUCACCUCCUCUGUUACGGAUUCCUACCUGGUGCCUAGCUCCCAUUCACUUUGUUAGCUUAACAAAAGUCAGUUUUUAAAGCGCUAAAACGAAACAUGGGUUUUUAACUUCAAUGUGGCACAUCAAAUUCGGCCAUAACGUCUGGGCCGAGUUUGGGGUGUUACGUUUACUUUGGUCGAUUUUCUCCAUGUUUGGCCCGUUUCUCAUUCCUUUCGCUCUCCUAUGCUCUCCUAAGUAUAAAACAUGAAAUUAAAGCAUUAGGAGCAUCAAAUUCACCAAUUCUAAUGAGAAAUCAUCCAUAAAAUGCAUUAAACAUGGGACAAAAAUAUGUAUAAUUUACGGUUUAUCAUAUACACAUUCUCCCUUGGAAACACAAUACUCCUUCACUAUUUAUCCCAAAGUUUGAUGUCUCCCCACUCUUUUCUUGUUUAAAACGAGCACCCAAAGUCUCAUCCACUAACUUCUUACUCCUUAUCUGCUCGACCCAUACCGGUUUUACUUGAAGCUCAGCUAACAAGCUACCAUCAUCCAACAAGCUUAGUCGGGCAAGCAUAGCCCUCAAGUCCGACUUAACCCUACGACUCAACGCGUCGGCUACCACAUUUGUUUUGCCAGGGUUGUACUCAAUCAUGCAAUCAUAAUCCUUCAAUAAUUCCACCCACCUACGCUGCUUAAGGUUGAGCUCCUUUUGGGUAAUGAGGUACUUCAAGCUCUUAUGGUCCGAAUAAAUUAUAUAGUUAUCCCCGUAUAAGUAACGCCUCCAUAUCUUUAGUGUGAAAACCACUAUAGCUAGCUCCAAAUCAUGGGUUGGGUAAUUCACCUCGUGAGUCUUAUGUUGCCGUGACGCAUACGCAACCACCUUUCCUUCUUGCAUGAAUACACAUCCUAAGCCCACAUGCGACGCGUCACUAUAAACCGUAAACUCCUUCCCAGGCACUGGCUGAAUCAGCAUAGGGGCCUCAGUUAAAACUUUAUUAAGUUUUCCAAAACUCUCGUGUUGCCUAUCCGUCCAAACAAACGGUACCCCCUUCCUUAACAACUUAGUUAAUGGUGCAGCAAAUACUGAAAAGCCCUCAACAAACUGCCUAUAGUAUCCUGCAAAGCCCAGAAAACUUUGGAUUUUUGACACCGACUUCGGUGUUUUCCAUUCUAACAUUGCCUCAAUUUUUCGGAAAUCCACCUGAAUCCCCUCAGCUGACACCACAUGUCCUAGAAAAGUAACCUCUUUUAUCCAAAAUUCACACUAACUGAAUUUGGCAUACAGCUAUUUCUCCCUCAAAGUCUGCAACAUAGUUCUUACGUGUACAUCAUGCUCAUCUUCAUCUCUUGAGUACACCAAAAUGUCAUCUAUAAAGACUACCACGAACUGAUCCAGGUAGGGUUGGAAAACCCGAUUCAUGAGAUCCAUGAAAGUGGCCGGUACGUUCAUCAGCCCGAAUGGCAUCACCAAGAACUCGUAAUGCCCAUAACGAGUUCUGAAAGCUGUCUUAUGAACAUCCGCCUCUUUAACCCUCAAUUGGUGAUACCCCGAACGCAAGUCAAUCUUUGAGAAAAUAGAAGCUCCCCUAAACUGAUAAAAACGAUCAUCAAUUCUCGAUAGAGGCUACUUGUUUUUAACAGUUAACUUGUUUAACUGUCGGUAGUCGAUGCACAUUUGCAAUGUCCCAUCUUUCUUCUUCACGAAUAACACUAGGGCUCCCUACGGAGACACACUUGGCCGAAUGAAUCCUCGAUCCAACAAUUCCUGAAUUUGUGCCUUAAGUUCCACCAACUCCAUUGGUUCCAUCUGAUAAGGAGCGAUGGACAUCGGAGCUGUACCAGGUAACAAUUCGAUUCCAAAUUCUACUUCCCUGCUGGGUGGCAACCCAGGCAGCUCCUCGGGAAAGACAUCAGAAAAUUCCUUAACCGUUCUCAACUCCUUGACAGUAGGGUUCUUAACCUCCUUAUUGCUAAUGUAAACCAAAUAGGCUCCGCAUCCCUUUCGAACCAACUUCUCUACCCUUAAUGCUAAAAUUACAUUCGUCAGAUAAUUUCGGCGUUCACCAAUCACCACUACUUCCUUAUCCUCCGCCGUUCUUAACAACAUUCGCUUUGUAUCAUAAUCCAAGGUGGCUUGGUGCUUCACCUGCCAAUCCAUACCUAAGAUUAAGUCAAACUCACUAAAUGGUAGCUCCAUCAAAUCUGCUAAAAAGGUAACCCCUUGGACUACUAAGGGCACCUCCCUGAACAACUUAUUCACUCCCAUUGACUGACCUAACGGACUUAUCACAGUCAUCCCAUUCGCAGUAAUCUCAAACAUAUCACCUAAAGGUUCAGUCAUAUAGCAUGCAACAUAUGAAUGCAUCGAUCCAAUAUCAAUUAAUGCUGUGUAAAGUAACACAUAUAUAAAGAACAUACCUGUUAUCACAUCUGGGCAUCCCUGUCUUCUCUGUGACGAACAGCAUAAACCAACGUUGGCUAUCUCCCCUCAGCAUGGCCUGUAUUUCUGCCUGGUGCUCCACGUCCACAUCCAUUGUCGUUACCGCCUCUGGCCUGCCUAAGAUCUCUUGGCGGCAACUGACCACCCCUUGGUGGCUGAGCACCACCUUGGCCCAUGACUAGCACUCGCCCUAGCAUUUUAGGGCAAUUCCUGAUCCUAUGCUCCAUAGACCCACAAGCUAAACAAGCUCCCGUCCUCUUCCAACACGUGCCUCCAUGGCUUCUCCCACAAUCAGCACAAGGUGGCACCCCUGGAUUAACAGCAGGGGGCCCUGCUCUAACUGGCCCAUUAACUCUGGCUCUAGUUCUAGGCCUCUAUCCAACCCCAGGAGUCUCAGCCUCUAUUUUAUUCUUACCCCUUUCCUUUUCUCGACUCAGACGCUCCGUGCGCUUUCUCCUUCGCUAUCUUCGCUUUCUCCACCAACUCCGAGAAAAAUUGUUCCUUUUGUAGAGCUAUCGAUACCCUGAGGCUAUCUCUUAGUCCAUCCUCAAACCGAACGCAACGUUCAUAGUCCGUAGCCACCAUAACUAUUCAUACCUACUAAGACACAGAAAUUCCGCCUCAUACUCCGCCACAGAUCUGCUUCCCUAGGUCAAGUUCAGGAACUCCUUCCUUCUAGCAUCCACAUAGCUUGCACCCAUAUACUUCCCUUGGAAUGCAGCUUUGAAGAACUCCAAAGUGACCUGCUCAGGUUGAAUGCCCUCUUUCACUGUCAGCCACCACUGGUAAGCUUCUUCCCUUAGCAGUGACACUGCCCCUUUCAGCUUUUUUUCAGGUGAACAGUCCAGAUCAUCCAUUAUCCUUUCCGUGGCCUCCAACCAAUAUUCAGCCACGUUAAGAGCCACAUAGCCACGCCCUUAAAAAUCUCAGCCCCAUUUGAUCGAAGUCACUCCAAAAUGGACCCCCAAUUUCUCAUGCCAUUAUUGGGCCCAGCGACCCUCUCCAAAUCUUUAGCAUUGCCUGUAAUAAUGUAUCAUCCCUCGUGGCCCGAUCGUACUGUCCAUUCUCAGCCACGAGUGAGGCCAGAGCCUUUUCUACUCCAACAUUGGGCACAUGGCCCGAUGCUGACAAUUCAGCCCUAACACUUUCGCAGCCACGGCCACGGCCUCUCGCACCUCUUCUAGCACUAAUCGUCGAUUCACGUAUUUUCUGGAUUAAAAAUUUUAUGAAGUUUUAGUUAGUUCAAUAAUUAACUUGAUGUUUUAUGAAAGUAAUAUAAUAGAAGAUUGUUUUUCGAAAAUCCUCUAUAGUUUUAGGAUCCUACGGGCUUCAGUUCCAUUCUAACAUAAUCAUCUAAAGUAGCCCUCUAACUAUCUACUGUAUAACAAUUUAAACAGGCUUAAGAUCCAAAUAACUUACUUGGUUUGAGGUCAGGGACUCAGUGUGCCACUCAGCAAGACUUCCUCUUUUUCAAGACAUUGUAAAAUUAUAUAUAUAUUUUAAAACCAAAAAGAAUCCAAAUAAUAAGGCCCACUUCACAGCCCGUGUUUUGCAACUGAGCUCUGAUACUACUAAAUGUAACACCCCAAUCCUGGCCCGGAGGCUAUGGCCAAAUCUGGCGCGUCACAUUGAAGUGUUUUAGCGAAAACCUUAUUUUCAUUGUAAACCCUUCCUUAAGACAUGAAACCUUAGUUAACUUAUGAAAACACUCUUUUUAGUUGCGAAAGCUUUGCUUAAAACAUUUGAUUUAAGAAAACUUAUCAUUUAAGAAUUUAGUUGCGAAAACGUUGUAAGCAUUCUAUAAUUCAAGAAACCAUGUUCAACCUCUCAUAAUUAUUUUGCAUAAAAAUAAUAAUCCAAAUAAUAACAAAAAGGGGAGGCCUUAUUACAAUCCAGUCUAAAAUCACUUAAUAAAUCAAAAACUCAAUGCUCUUGUUUUAGUAGAACGAACAAGUCCAAGCUAUCUCGCUAGCUGGCCACAUAGAGUCCCUCUAGACAUCGAACCUCUUAUUGAACAUCACCAAAGAAAAAUAAAAGAGGGGUGAGUUUUUGCAAACUCAGUCUGUACAUCCCUCGAACAAAUAUUAAGCAUACAUCAACCACCAUACAUCAUACAUGUAAUGCAAUGCAGUGCAAUCCCAUCCCAAUAAUCCAUCCGCUACACACCAGCUCCGUCCCUCAAUACACAUCAUGUAGGGAUAUAAAUAUCGACCUACCCAACUGAUACACAUCUAGGGUAGCCCGGUUUGGAACUACCUUCAUUUACAUAUUGGGCUUAAAAGCUGUCGGUGGAUCCACGAUUGUCAGGCAACCAUGCGAUCCUCAUAUACUCCCUCCGUUCUAUAAUUCCCAACCCAUAUGCAACCUAAGCAAAAUAUCAUUUGUAUGCAGCAGAUAUGCAUGCCACACCCAUUAAACUUACAUUCAACACAUAAGGGUAUUUUGGUCAUUUUCGCCCUUAGGGGUAUUUCUAUAAUUUUCCCUUUAUUAUGGUUUUCACUUACCUUGGCCCAUUAACAAAUCUUGUGAGCUAAGAUGAACGAAUACUAUGCACCAAGUAGGAUUCCAGAGAACAGGAAGUGGGUCAUUAAGACCGCUUAAGUACCAAGCUCUCCCUAGAUCCAAUCCUAGACAUGCAUAUACCCGUUGCCACACCUUACCCCUAUGACUUGUCCACGGUCUCAACAAUUUAAUUAAGUUUUAUGUACUCAUCAUAUACUCAGCCCAAAACCCCUACAUACCUGCAUAUGGCCCACUAGGCCCAAUCUCAUUUAUAUGGCCCAUCUGGUCCAAUUCACGUUCAUAUGGCCCAUCAGGCCCAACUCACAUUCAUAUGGCCCAUUAGGCCUGAUCUCAUUUAUAUGGCCCAUCCGGCCCAAAUCACAUUAUACUCAUGCUCACAUAAAAAUUUUCUAUCACACAGCAUCACUUAUCAAAAUUUUCCUAAUAUGGGCCCAACAACCCCUCGGGCCCAUUUAGCCCAUUUUGGCCCAUUUGGCCUAUUCACAACCUAGGUCCAUGGAAUUAGCCAUGGAUCAGUCUCCCCCUUAUGAGUGUUCACGCACUUGCAAGACUACCGUAGCCAAAAUUUUGACUUUUCGGCAUUUUGACUUUUUGGCAUUUUGGCUUUCGCUGAUCUACUUGUGUGUGCAGUGUAAGUACACACCUGGUAAGCAAGCGUGCUACGAUUCCCUUAGUCACCAACCUAUAAACGAUAUCGGCCUUCCAUUAAUCGUAUGCUUAACACAUAUUUUACCCAAAAAAUUAAAACCUCACCUUAACUUUACCUUGAACACUAAUCCCUAAUAAUUUUUCCUUGAUCACGUUAUCCUUAGAUUUGCAUUAAUCUUACUAAUCAAAACCAAAUACUAGGGGACUAGCGUCCCAUAUAAUUCACCCUAUUAUCUCACUUAAGAUCAUUCGGCCAACCUUAGUCAAUAAGAGAGAUAUACUUACCAAAUCGCAAAACACCUAAGGAGCAAUUUAACAGACAGCUAAAACCCGAGAACCGAUACUAAUUCCCCACCAAAGUUGAUUAGAAAGAGUGAGGGAGGGAAGUAAUCGGUAUUAACAAUACUAGCUGAAAAAGAGAUAAGGUACUUAUACUAAAAGAGUAAUCGACCCAAGGGAGAUUCAGCUUUUUGGCUUUCAAACUAAUAUGGUGAAGAAGGUUUAUUUGGCACAAAUUAAAGAAGAAGAGUAGAAGAAGAAAUCGGCUAACCCAAAAGUGGAACAAAGAAAAUUGUGUAGAGGAAAAUAGGGAAAGUUAUCACAAAGAAAGAAAGUAAAACAAAGGAUUUUUGACUUUUAGGAAAAAGGGUUUCCGACAACAAGGUGAAGGGAAUUCGACAUUAGCCUGGCCCCCCAUUCGACACCUAUUUAUAGCCCCUAUAGCCGAAUUGCCUGACCCUCAAUUCCUCAUUCAGCUCCAUCACUUCCCCCUUCUCAUCUUCUCAUUUUUUUCCUUGAUAACUCCCCGAACUAUUUCCUAAAUUUCCUCUUCUGAACACUCCCCUUAGAGUCCAUCAUCACGCCACUUCCAACCUUCUAGAAGGCUAAAAUUAAACUCCUAAAAAUACUAAGCUAGGAUUCGAACCUCAGAUCUCCUUACUAUCUACUAACGCCACCUCCCUACACCCUAAGUGGUGUCACUUAGCCACUCCUCCACAAGGCUUUUUGAUGUCAUUUUCCCCUAUCUUUAUGUAAAAGCCCAACUACUCCCAACCCUGAUUCCUUUAAUAAUUAAAUUCAAAUUCCUCUACAACAAAACUCGAACCCAGAACUUCUCCAACUUAUCUCGACACUUCAAAUUCCUUAAACCCUUAAAGCCAACAUGUCAUUUGUCAUUUUCUUGCUCACUUAAAAAUUUUAUGAGACAGAAGGCCUAUUUCAUCUAGGCCCAAAUUUUGGGGCGUUACAUUAAUCCUUGAUUCAGGUAUGAAUUUUUGUCUGUUUUUGAUAAUUUUUACGUUUCUGUGAUUAUUGCUUCGUGUUCUUCAAAACCCAUGUCUGAAUUAUUGUUUCUGUUGAAGGCUAAGAAAUGUGCCAUUGAUGAUUAUAUAAACUUUGUAAUGUUUUUAUAUGGAUUAUGAAAGAUAUAUGUGAGAUUAUCAUACUUUGUUCUUUAAUUUUUGAUGGAAUAGAGUUAUUUGGCCUAAUUUUUGAAAAUGAGGUUUUGAAGGACCAAAUUUUGAAUUAAAUAUGUUAUUUGGGCUUGUAUGGAAGCUAUGUAUAUUUGACCAAGCUAUAGUCUUGAAGAAUUUUGCAUAUUUGUGAUUUUGUGAAAAAUGAACUAAAUUGUCAAAGUGUGAAAAUGUAUGGGUUAAAAUGCAAAGUGCCCUAAAUAUGUGUUCAUGGAUUAUUUUGAUUGAAAUGAAUGAUUGAAUGGUUGAAUUUGAAUUGUAAUAGAUCAAGAAAAAAGAAAAUCAGACCUAGAUCAAGGAAAGUCCAAAAUAGUUGAAUAGUCGACUCGUUUCCGUCCGAGAUUCGUACGAGGUAAGUUAAAUUACAAUUACAUGUUAAAUUGACUAAAUUCUACACAUACAAACUAUAAUAUGUUUUGUACGACCUUGAGAGCUUGAUGAAUAAAUUUUGAGUAAACUCCAAUAAUAUGCUAGUAUCUGAAAAGCUCUGUAUGUUUCUAAAAGAUCGUUGACAUUGAUCUGAGAUAUUGUGUAAGACCGUGUCUGGGACACUGGCCUUAAUUUGAGAUUUACGUGUAAGAUCAUGUCUGGAACAUAUACAUUGUAUCUGAUUUCUUGUAAGACCCUAUCUGGGAUAAAGGCAUCAAAACUGAAUUACAUGUAAGACCAUAUCCGGGACAUCGGCAUUGUACUUGUUUAUGAGUGUCUGUAUCGUUUCUGAAUCGUUUGAUGAUAAAAUAAGAGAUAUGGGAAUGAAUAUAUAAAAUGUAUGAUCUAUACAGGCACGUUGGUAUCAUACUAAAUUUUUGAAUAUAAAAGAUUCUGUUUCUGUGAAAUAAUGAAUGUGAAGUAUGUAUGAAAUCAUGGAAAUGAAAUAUGAAAUGUAUACAAGCAAAUGAGCAUGGUUAGGCUCAUGAAGUAUUCUGUGAAAUGGUUAUGAAUUCUUGCUGUUGAUUUGUACUUUAUAUGAUUUAUUAGUUAAACCAAUUGAAUUUGGCUUACUAAGCUCUUUGUAGCUUACUCUGUUUGAUUUAUGUCUGUUUUACAGUUAUUGUAGCUAAUGAAGGCUCGGGGAUAGUCGAGGAUUGUCACCACUCUAUCGAACUCAUUUUGGUACUUUUUUAAAGUGUAAAUACUUUAAGUAUGGCAUGUAUAGGCUGGAAUAUCUAGGCAUUUAAGUUUUGAUAUGUAUAUAUGUUAUGCCAUGAGAGUUGGCAAGCAAAUAAUAUUUUUGUGCUCAGUUUUGGUAUGGAUUUGAAUAAGUUAUUGAAUGAUGAUGAUUUAGUUAUAGUAAAGCAUGUUUUGAGCAUGAAAUUAGCUGAAAAUUCUGGUAUAAAUGUUGUUUAAUGUUGCUUUUAAGAAUGACCCAAAAAGGGGUGGAAAUUUGGAUUAAACCAAGCCUGCAUUGUGCCACACGGCUAGGGCACGCAGGCGUACCUUGUGGCCGUGUAUGCAAUGCAGUAACCUCCUAAGAGCACACGAUUAAGACAUAUGGGCGUGUCAUAUGGCCGUGGGCUUAAGUUAGUAGCUAGUUAAGUAUCAUACGGCCAUAGCACACGGGCGUGUCUGUUGGCAGUGGGUGAAAGUCAAUUAGUAUGCCUUGUUUUGGCACGGCCUGGUCACACGGGCGUGUGGCAUCAACAGAAUUGAAAAAAUUUUCUGAGUUCUGAAAUUUAUGAAUGUGUUCUGUUUAGUCCCGACAGUCCUUAAAAAUAUGUUUUGGGUCUCUUAGACCUUCAUAAGAGAUGCAUUGUAGAUGACUGCCUAUGUAUUAAUGUUGUGUGAUAUCGUGAUUCUAAAUUGGUCUGAAAUGUUCUAUCUAUCUGGUAAUGCCUCAUAACCCUAAUUCGAUGAUGGUUACGGGUUAAGGGUGUUAUUAGAGCUAUGGUUUAGUCGGUUCUGGGACUACUAUUGCAAAUGUGAGUCUAGCUAUACAUGCCAUAUAUCUGAAACUGGGAUAGUGUGAUGAAUCCUGACAUUGAAAUGUGCUUUUAUAUAGCAAAUGGAUCUCGAUAGAGCUGUAGCUGACGAUGUGGAAAGCAAUGUGCCUUCUCCCGCGCAAGGGACGGUGCAAGCUGAUUCUCGGUCGGCUACAAGUAGCCAUGAUGAUGAGGCUAAACAAGCCUUCUAUCAGAUGAUGAACGAAUGGUUCACCCAUUACAUUCGAACCAAUCCGGCUGUACAACAACCUCCACCCCCGGUUAAUCCUCUUCAAACUUCUGAUAUGCCACGAGUGAAUCCGGUACAGUUGAGUAAACCACCAGUUGAUAAGAUUAGAAAGUAUGGGCUAAAAAGUUUCAAGCUACAAUGAAUGAUGAUGCUAAACGAGCCGAAAUAUGGUUAGAGAAUACAAUAAGAGUGUUUGAUGAAGUGUAUCUGAAUCCUGAGGAAUGUGUAAAAUACGCUGUUUCACUUCUGAAAGAUACAGCGUACUAUUGGUGGAAAACUUUAAUAUCUGUGGUUCUGACUAAAUGGGUUACUUGGGAUUUCUUUCAAGCUGAAUUUCAAAAGAAAUACAUUAGUCAAAGAUUCAUUGAUUAGAAACGUAAAGAGUUUCUCGAGCUUAAAAAGACCGUAUGUUUGUUACUGAAUACGAAUGUGAAUUUGUGAGAUUGAGUUAGUAUGCUAGGAAAUGUGUAUCAAAUGAAGCAAUAAUGUGCAAAAGGUUUGAAGAUGGACUAAACGAAGAUAUCCGUCUGUUAGUUGGGAUUUUGGAGAUUAAAGAAAUGGUAGUGCUCGUUGAGCGAGCUUGUAAAGCUGAAAAAUUAAGUAAAGAGAAAAGAAAAGCUGAUUCUGAAGCUAGAGAUGUUAAAAAGAGAUCUUCGAGUCUGUGUCAAAGAAAUUCUGAGAUGAUCAUAGCCGUUCAAAUGCUGAUGUAGGACAUUCGAACCAAGAUCGAGCUAGAUCGCAUUUGAAUUUCAAAGCUCCUGUUACUUUUGUUGCAAGUGUCGGGAAUGUCCGAUCUGAGAAACUUGAAUGUAAACACUGUGGUAAAAGACAUCUGAAAAAUUGUAGAUUGAAUGACUGAGCCUAUUUCUGAUGUGGAUCUUUAGACCAUUUUGUAAGAUAUUGUUCUGAACUUGUUGAGCAAGAGAAUGUAAAGAAUUCGAGACCUAGCAACACCUCAGUUAGAGGUAGACCUUCCAGAAAUACGGGAAAUGUAAGUGGUGGUCAAAGAGCUACUAGGGAUACUGUUGUUAGAUCUGAGUCUAGAGCACUUGCCAGAUCUUAUGCUAUCCGAGCUCGUGAGGAAGCCUUAUCUCUAGAUGUGAUUACUACCAUUUUUUCUUUUUAUGAUACUUUUGUGAUUGAAUUGAUAGACCCUGGAUCAACUCAUUCUUAUAUCUGUAUGAAUUUAGUGCACAGUAAGACUUUGCCUGUAGAGUCUACUGAAUUCGUAAUUAGAGUAUCGAACCCCUUAGGCAAAAGUGUCUUGCUUGAUAAAGUCUACAAGAAUUGACCGUUAUUAAUUCGAGAAAUCUAUUUUCCUGCUGAUUUGAUGCUUCUGCCUUCUGACGAAUUUGAUAUAAUUCUGGGAUUGGACUGGUUAACUUUGUACAAUGCUAUUUUAAAUUGCAAACGAAAAUUUAUUGAUUUAAGGUGUAAGAAUGAUCAGAUAAUUUGAAUUGAGUCUAGUGAUCUAAAUGAAUUACCAGCUGUAAUAUCUGUAAUGAAGGGAUGGAAAUAUGUGAAGAAAGGCUGUGAAGCCUAUUUAGCUUAUGUGUUAGACUUGAAAGUGAUUGAUAAGAAAGUUGAAUCAGUGCCUGUUGUCUUUGAAUUCACUAAUGUGUUUCCUGAAGAAUUACUGGGUUUGCCUCUAAUUCGAGAAGUCGAGUUUGGCAUUGAAUUAGUACCUAGUACUACUCUGAUUUUGAUAGCUCCGUAUAGAAUGGCUCCGACUGAGUUAAAAGAAUUAAAAUCUCAGUUGCAAGAGUUGACCGAUCAAGGAUUUGCUAGACUGAGCUUUUCACCAUGCAGUGCUCCUGUUCUGGUUGUGAAAAAGAAAGAUGGCACAAUGAGAAUGUGUGUUGAUUACUGUCAGCUUAACAAUUUGACUAUAAUGAACAAAUAUCCUCUACCCAGAAUUGAUGACUUACUUGAUCAGUUGAAAGGUACUACCGUGUUUUCAAAGAUAGAUCUGAGAUUGGGUUACUAUCAUUUGCGAGUAAAGGACUCUGAUAUUCUAAAAACUGCUUUUAGAACGAGGUACGGGCAUUAUGAAUUUUUAAUUAUGCCUUUUGGAUUAACGAAUGCACCUGCUACCUUUAUGGAUUUAAUAAAUAGAAUUUUCAGACCGUAUUUAGAUCAAUUUCUUGUGGUAUUCAUUGAUGAAAUAUUGAUUUAUUCACGUGAUGAAUCUGAGCAUGUCGAACAUUUGAUAAUAGUGCUACAGACUCUACGAGAAAAAUAGUUGUAUGCAAAGUUCAGUAAAUGUGAAUUUUGAUUGCGAGAAGAUGGUUUCCUGGGUCAUAUUGUAACAGCCUCCGGUAUCCAAGGUUAUCCGAGCAAAAUUUUUGCUAUUCUGGAUUGGAAGCCUCUGAGAAAUGUUACUGAAGUCCGCAGUUUUCUGGGACUUGCUGGUUACUACAGACGAUUUGUGAAAGAUUUCUCUGUGAUAGCAACUCCGUUGACAAAGUUACUACAGAAAGAUGUGAAAUUUGAAUGGUCUGAGAAAUGUCAAAAAAGUUUUGGUCGGUUAAAAGAUCUGUUAACUGAAGCUCCUAUACUUGUGCAACCUGAAUCGGGUAAAAAAUUUGUUAUUUAAAGUGAUGCUUCAUUGAACAGACUCGGUUGUGUUCAAAUGCAAGAAGGAAAAGUUAUUGCAUAUGCUCUGAGAUAGUUGAAGUCGCAUGAAAUGAACUAUUUGACUCACGAUCUCGAGUUAGCUGCUAUUGUGUUUGCCUUGAAGAUUUGGCGUCAUUAUCUGUUUGGUGAGAAAUGUCACGUGUUUUCUAAUCAUAAAAGUCUGAAGUAUUUAAUGACGGAAAAAGAUCUGAAUCUGCAACAGAGGAGAUGGUUAGAGUUAUUAAAAGAUUAUGAACUUGUUAUUGGUUAUCACCCGGGAAAAGCAAAUGUUGUUGCUGAUGCUUUGAGCCAAAAAUCAUUAUUUGCUUUGCAUGCAAUGAAUGCUCAUUUAGUUCUAUUUGAUGAUAUCUUAGUUUGUGCCGAAUUGAAAGCAAAACCCUUGUUUAUACAACAGAUCUACGAAGCUCAGAAGUCUGAUAAUGACUUAAUAGCAAAACCAGCUUAAUAUGAUUCUGAAGUCUGAGUUGAUGUUGAUGAUUGUUUGAGAUUCAUAAAUAGACUUUGUGUUCUGAGAAAUCUGGAGUUAAUUCGGAUGAUUUUGAGUGAAGAUCACAGUAGUAGAUUUUUUAUACAUCCGAGAAGUACGAAAAUGCAUAACGAUUUGAAUCAACUAUACUGGUGGCCGAGAAUGAAAAGUUAUAAUUUUGACUUUGUUUCGAUAUGUUUAAUCUGUCAGCAAGUUAAAGCUGAACAUCAGGUUCCAUCUGGUUUGUUACAACCAAUUAUAAUUCCUGAGUGGAAGUUGGAUCGAGUAACCGUGGAUUUUGUUUUGGGUUUGCCCCUGUCUCCAAGAAAGAAAGAUGCAAUUUGGGUUGUAGUUGAUCAUCUGACAAAAUCAACUCAUUUUAUUCCAAUUCGAUCUGAUUACUCACUCAAUAAAUUAGUUGAGUUAUAUAUUUCUAAUAUCAUGAUAUUGCAUGGUGUGUCUAUAUCUAUCGUGUCUGAUAGAGAUCCACGAUUCACUUUGCAUUUCUGGAAGAAAUUGCAAGAGGCUUUGGGCACAAAAUUGCACUUCAGCACUGCUUUUCAUCCACAAACAGAUGGUCAACCUGAAUGAAUUAUUCAGAAACUUGAGGAUAUGUUGAGAUGUUGUAUUCUUGAGUUUGAAGGUAUGUGGGAUCAGUAUCUACCUCUGAUUGAAUUUGCUUAUAAUAACAGUUUUCAGUCGAGCAUCAAAAUGACACCGUAUGAAGCCUUAUAUGGUAGAAAGUGUAGAACUCCGUUAUAUUGAUCUGAGCUCAGUGAGAAUAAGAUUUACGGUAUUGAUUUGAUAAAAAAAACAUAACAGAAAGUAAAAGUGAUCCGAGAUAGUCUGAAAACUACCUCUGAUCGUCAAAAAUCUUAUACAGAUUUAAAACAAAAAGAUAUCAAAUUUGAGAUCAGUGAUAAAGUGUUUCUGAAAGUAUCUUCGUGGAAGAAACGGUUUCGAUUUGGUAAAAAGGGCAAGUUGAAUUCGAGGUUCAUCAGACCGUAUGAAAUCAUCAAACGAGUUGGGCCGGUUGCUUAUAGAUUGAGGCUACCAUCUGAGUUAGAAAAGAUACAUAAUGUGUUUCAUGUAUAGAUGCUUUGACGAUACAGAUUCGAUCCUUCGCAUAUAAUUUCCUCGUCUGAUAUUGAAAUCAAUCUGAUAUGACUUAUGAAGAAAAGUUGAUCCCUAUGCCCGUGAGGUUAAAGAGUUACGAAAUAAGAAAAUUCCAUUAAUUAAAGUGAUGUGGUAUCGAUAUGGUAUUGAAGAGGCCACGUGGGAGUCUAAAGAUAAUAUGAGACAACAAUAUUCGAAUUUGUUUAAUAGUAAGAUUUUCGGGGAUGAAAAUCCUUAAGGGAGGAGAAUUGUAGCAGUCCAAUUUAGACCCUAGUAGGAAGAGUGGUUUCGAGACCACGUAACCUUUUCGGAAAAAAUAUUUUAAUAUUAUUUUCUGUGUCUGUGAUAUGUGAAUUUAUAUCUGCGAAGUUUCUGUGAUUAAUUUGCAAAAUGGACCUAAUCGCGUAAGUGUAAAAGCUGUGUGUUAGAUGUUAAAAGUAACAAUUUGAUUUGGCUUAUUUAAGUGAGGGUCCUUGCAUGUCAAAUUUACCAUUUUUUUCGUGGUGGACAAAUAUGGACAUUAGUUGGUAGAUUUUAAAAUGAAAUAAUUGUUAAAAUAGUCAUUUGUGUAAUAAUAUGUUUUAUAAUAAAGAAAACGUAAAAUGGCUAGGCGUUUUUACCUUUGUUGGCCGAUUAUUUGAAAGAAAAAGAAUAGAAAAGAUCAAGCUAGGUUUCGGCUAUCUUAAUCCUUGAUUAAGGUAUGAAUUUGCGUUAGUUUUUGAUAAUUACUACGUUUCUGUGAUCGUUGCUUCGUAUUCUUCAAACCCCAUGUCUAGAUUAAUGUUUCUGUUGAAGGUUAUGAAAUGUGCUGUUGAUGAUUAUAUGAGCUUUGUAAUGUUUUUAUAUGGAUUAUGAAAGAUAUAUGUUAGAUUAUCAUCCUUUGUUCUUGAAUUUUUUAUGGAAUAGAGCUAUUUGGGCUAAUUUGUGAAAAUGAGGUUUUGAAGGACUAAAUUGUGAAUUAAAUAUGUUAUUUGGGCUUGUAUGGAAGCUAUGUAUAUUCGACCAAGCUAUAGUCUUGAAGAAUUUUGCAUAUUUGUGAAAAAUGGACUAAAUUGUCAAAAUGUGAAAAUGUAUGGGUUAAAAUGCAAAGUGUCCUAAAUAUGUGUUCAUGGAUUAUUUUAAAUGAAAUGAAUGGUUGAAUUUGAAUUGUAAUAGAUUAAGAACAAAGAAAAUCGGACUUAGAUCGAGGGAAUUUCAAAAUAGUUGAAUAGUCGACUCGUUUCCGUCUGAGAUUUGUACGAGGUAAGUCAAAUUACAAUUACAUGUUAAAUUGACUAAAUUCUACACAUACAAACUGUAAUCUGUGCUGGACGGCCUUGAGAGGCUGAUGAACAAAUUUCGUGUAAACUCCAAUAAUAUGCUAGUAUCUGAAAAGUUCUGUAUGUUUCUAAAAGAACAUUGACAUUGAUCUGAGAUAUUGUGUAAGACCGUGUCUAGGACACAAGCCUUGAUUUGAGAUUUACCUUUAAGACCAUGUCUAGGACAUAGGCAUCAUAUCUAAUUUCGUAUAAGACCCUAUCUGGGACAGAGGCAUCGAAACUGAAUUACAUGUAAGACCACGUCCAGGACAUCAGCAUUGUACUCAUUUAUGAGUGUCAGUAUCGUUUCUGAAUCGUCUCAUGAUAGAAUACAAGAUAUGGGAAUGAAUAUAUAAAAUGUAUGAUCUAUACAGGUAUGUUGGUAUCAUACUAAAUUUCUGAAUAUGAAGGAGGACUCUGUUUCUGUGAAAUAAUGAAUGCUAAGUAUGUAUGAAAUCAUGGAAAUGAAAUAUGAGAUGUAUACAAGCAAAUGAACAUGGUUAGGCUCAUGAACUAUUCUGUGAAAUGGUUAUGAAUUCUUGCUGUAGAUUUGUGCUUUAUACGAUUUAUUAGCUAAACCAAUUGAAUUUGGCUUACUAAGCUCAUUGUAGCUUACUCUGUGUCAUUUCUGUCUGUUUUACAAUUAUCGUAGCUACUGAAGGCUCGAGGAGAGUCGAGGAUUGUCACCACUCUAUCGAACUCAUUUUGGUAUUUUUGAAAGUGCAAAUACUUUAAGUAUGGAAUGUAUAGGCUGGAAUAUCUAUGUAUUUAAGUUUUGAUAUUUAUAUAUGUUAUGCCACGAGAGUUGGCUAGCAAAUGAUAUGUUUGUGCUUAGUUUUGGUAUGGAUUUGAAUAACUUAUUGAAAGAUGAUGAUUUAGUUAUAGUAAAACAAGUUUUGAGCAUAGAAUUGGCUAAAAAUCUUGGUAUACAUGUUGUUUAAUGUUGCUUGUAGGAAUGACCUAAAAAGGGGUGGCAAUUUAGCUUAAACCAAGCCUGCAUUAUGCCACACGGCCAGCGCACACGGGCAUGCCUUGUGGCCGUGUAUGCAAAGCAGUAACCUCCUAAGAGCACACGUUUAAGACACAUGGGCAUGUCAUAUAGCCGUGGGUUUAAGUCAGUAGCUAGUUAAGUAUCACACGACCAUAGCACAUGGGCGUGUCUGUUGGCCGUGGGUGAAAGUCAAUAUGUAUACCUUGUCUUGGCAUGGCCUGGUCACAGGGGCGUGUGACAUCAACAGAAUUGAAAAAUAUUUCUCAGUUCUAAAAUUUAUAAAUGUGUUUGGUUUAGUUCCGACUGUCCUUAAAAUAUGUUUUUGGUCUCGUAGACCUUCAUAAGAGAUGGAUUGUAGAUGAUUGCCUAUGUAUUAAUGUUGUGUGAUAUCUGUGAUUCUGAAUUGGUCUGAAAUGUUCUGUCUAUCUGGUAAUGCCUCGUAACCCUAAUCUGUUAAUGGUUACGGGUUAGGGGUGUUAUAUUUUUAUUAGUAUCAGAGCUAUGGUUUAGUUGGUUAUAGGAUUACCAUAGCAUGUGAGUCUAGCUAUACAUGCCAAAUAUAUGAAACUGCGAUAGUGUGAUGAAUCCUAACAUUGAAAUGUGUUCUUAUAGAGAAAAUGGAUCCCAAUAGAGCUAUAGCUGACGAUGUGGAAAGCAAUGCGCCUGCUCCUGCACAAGGGAUGGUGCAAGCUGAUUCUUGACCGGCUACGAGUAGCCGUGAUCCUAAACAAGCUUUCUAUCAGAUGAUGAGUGAAUGGUUCACCCAAUACAUUAGAACUAAUCCGACUGUUCAACAACCUCCACCCCUGAUUAAUCCUCCUCAAACUUCUAAUAUGAUACGAGUGUAUCCGGCACAGUUGAGUAAACCACCAGUUGAUAAGAUAGUAUGGGGCUGAAGAGUUCUGAGCUACAACGAAUGAUGUUGCUGAAAGAGCCAAAUCCUGGUUAGAGAAUACAAUAACAGUGUUUGAUAAAAUGUCUCUGAGUCUUGAGGAAUGUGUAAAAUGUGUUGUUUCUCUUCUGAAAGAUACGGCGUACUAUUGUUUGAAAACUUUAAUAUCUGUGGUUCUGAGUGAAUGGGUUACUUGGGAUUUCUUUCAAGCUAAAUUUCGAAAGAAAUAUAUUAGUUAGUGAUUCAUCGAUUAGAAACGUAAAGAGUUUCUCGAGCUUAAACAAGGUCGUAUGUUUGUUACUGAAUACGAACGUGAAUUUGUAAGAUUGAGUCAGUACGCUCAGAAAUGUGUAUCAAAUAAAGCAAUAAUGUGCAAAAAUUUUAAAGAUGGACUAAACGAAGAUAUCUGUAUGUUAGUUGGGAUUUUGGAGAUUAACGAAAUGGUAGUGCUCGUUGAGCGAGCUUGUAAAGCUAAAAAAUUAAGUAAAGGGAAAAGAAAAGCUGAUUCUGAAGCUAAAGAUGUUAGAAAGAGAUCUUCGAGUAGAUCAUUUCAGUCUGUGUCAAAGAAAUUUUGAGAUAAUCAUAGCCGUUCAAAUGCUGACGUAGGACAUUCGAACUAAGAUCGAGCUCGAUCGCAUUCGAAUUUCAGAGCUCCUGCUACUUCUGUUGCAAGUGUCGGGAAUGUCUGAUGUAAGAAACCUGAAUGUAAACACUAUGGUAAAAGACAUCCAAGAAGUUAUAGAUUGAAUGACCGAGCCUGUUUCGGAUAUGGAUCUCUAGACCAUUUUCUAAGAGAUUGUUCUGAACCUACUGAGCAAGAGAAUGUACAGAAUCCGAGACCGAGCAUCACCUCAGUUAAAGGUAGACCUUCCAGAAAUACGGGAAAUACAAAUGGUGGUCAAAGAACUACUAGGAUACUAUUGUUAGAUUUGACGCCAGAGCACCUGCCAGAGCUUAUGCUAUCUGAGUUCGUGAGGAAGCCUCGUCUCUAGAUGUGAUUACUGGUACUUUUACUUUUUAUGAUACUCCUGUGAUUGAAUUGGUAGACCCUGGAUCAACGUAUUCUUAUAUUUGUGUGAAUUUAGUGCACUGUAAGACUUUGCCUAUAGAGUCUACUGAAUUUGUAAUUAGAGUAACGAACCCCUUAGGCAAAAGUGUCUUAGUUGAUAAAGUCUGCAAGAAUUUCCCAUUAUUGAUUCAAGAUAUUUGUUUUCCUGCUGAUCUGAUGCUUCUGCCUUUCGAUGAAUUUGAUAUAAUUCUAGGAAUGGACUGGUUAACUUUCCACGAUGCUAUUUUGAAUUGCAAAUGAAAAUUCAUUGAUUUAAGGUGUAAGAAUGAUAAGAUAAUUCGAAUUGAGUCUAGUGAUCUAAAUGGACUACCAGCUGUAAUAUCUGCAAUGAAAGGAGGAAAAUAUGUGAAGAAAGGCUGUGAAGCCUAUUUAGCUUAUGUGUUAGACUCGAAAGUGAAUAAUAAGAAAGUCGAAUCAGUGCCUAUUGUCUGUGAAUUCUCUGAUGUGUUUCCUGAAGAAUUACCGGGUUUACCUCCAAUUCGAGAAGUCGAGUCUGGCAUUGAAUUAGUACCUGGUACUACUCCAAUUUCAAUAGCUCCGUAUAGAAUGGCUUUGACCAAGUUAAAGGAAUUAAAAUCUCAGUUGCAAGAAUUGACCGAUCAAGGGUUUGCUAGAUCGAGCCUUUCACCAUGCGUUGCUCCUUUUCUGUUUCUGAAAAGAAAGAUGGCACAAUGAGAAUGUGUAUUGAUUACUGCCAACUUAACAAAGUGACUGUAAAGAACAAAUAUCCUUUGCCUAGAAUUGAUGACUUAUUCGACUAGUUGAAAGGUGCUACCGUGUUUUCAAAGAUAGAUCUGAGAUCGGGUUAUUAUCAAUUGCGAGUAAAGGACUCUGAUAUUUCGAAAACUGCUUUCAGAACGAGGUACGGACAUUAUGAAUUUUUAGUUAUGCCUUUUGGAUUAACAAAUGCACCUGCUUUCUUUAAGAAUUUAAUGAAUAGAAUUUUCAGACCGUAUUUAGAUCAAUUUGUUGUGGUAUUCAUUGAUGAAAUAUUGAUUUAUUCACUGAACUGAGAAUAGAACUACAGAGUCUACGAGAUAAAUAGUCGUAUGCAAAGUUCAGUAAAUGUAAAUUCUAGUUGCAAUAAGUUGGUUUCCUGGGUCAUAUUGUAUCAGCCUCCGGUAUCCGAGUUGAUUCAUGCCAAAUUUCUGCUAUUCUGGAUUGGAAGCCUCCGAGAAAUGUUUCUAACGUACGCAGUUUUUUUGGACUUGCUGGUUACUACAAACGAUUUGUGAAAGAUUUCUCUGUGAUAGCAUAUCCAUUGACAAAGCUACUUCAGAAAGAUGUGAAAUUUUAAUGGUCUGAGAAUUGUCAGAAAUCGGUUAAAAGCUCUGUUAACUGAAGCUCCUGUACUUGUGCAACCUGAAUCAGGUAAAGAAUUCAUUGUUUACAGUGAUGCUUCGUUGAAUAGACUUGGUUGUUGAUACGAGUCACAAAAGCCCAAAUUCUUGAAGGCGAGGCCCAAUAAGUAAAUUCCCAGCCCAAUCAAGAAAUCCAUCCAUACUUAGUUGAAAAUCAGGCCAAAUUGUCAAAGUGGCCCAAGUUGUAAAGUUUUAUUUUUAUUUUUAUUUAUUUAUUUAUUUAUUUACUUAGUUUAAAUUUUUAUGUCAAUAUUCAGUCCAAGAGUCCCAGAUAAAAUGACCUUUGACCGAAUUUCCAUAUUAAAAUAAUUAGGAGUUUUUUUAUUUUAGUUUUCUAAUUAGAUUAGGACUAGUUAUAAGGCCUAUUUAAAGGCAUGGCUGUCCACCUUGUUAAACACUUAUCAUUAUUAUUAAAAUUUUCAAAUUUGUUGAGAGCAGAAUUUUCUUUGAGUUUUCUCCAAGAUUUCUCUCUUGAGUUUUCUUUAGAAGUUGUUUUAACAAUCUUUUUGAUUGUGGGAGCCAUCUUCAACCUUCUUCUUGCCAUUGAUAUUCUUUGGAGGGGAGAUUAGAGCCGUUUGAAGGGAGUUGUGAGAUCUUUCGAGAUUUCAAGGCUUCUUAGGACUUAUCUUUUAAUUUCUUACUGUCAAUUCUUUCUUUAUUUCUACUUGGGCUGAAUCAUUAUCUAAUCUAUUUUCUGUUCUUAUUGUGUUUUCUUCCUUUUUCUAUCUUAAGGAAUCAACCCAAAAAUCCCCAAUUUCUAGGGUUUUUCUAUACUCUUUUUGGGUGAAAUUAGAUUGUCGAAAUUUGGGGAAAACUAUCUUGGUGUUCAAUUGGGCAGAAUCACAAUCUCCUUGAGGGUUUCAAGAACCCUAACACUUAUUUCUAUUCUCAAUUUGAUUCUUUGCUGAUUUGGGGAUUUUAUUUCAGAUCUGAAAAUUCAAAAAUCUAAUCUUUUAAUUUUCUGUUUCGUUUCAGAUCUAAUUGUUUAGGGUUUUCGUAGGAGUUUCCCGUGACUUGGCAACUCGAUCUUGGUCCGCGCGCAACCCCGUAUCAUUUGGUAUCAGAUUUUGGGCGUUUUGAGUGUUCUUGGUUUAUUUCUAAACUGAUCUCUAUUUUUUAAAGCAUAAACAGUAGUUUUACCCAGAAAAAUUGUUCAAAAAAAAUUCAUUUGAGUGGGUAAACGUUGUCCGAUUGAUCUGAAAUUUUACAUACAUGUUUUUGGCACUGUGAUUGAAUAUAAAAAAAUUAUUCCCGCAAAAAAAUCAGUCAAAAAGUCAAAAAAAUCAAAAAAGACAAAAUUCAAUAAAAAUUUAAAAAAAAGAUUCAGCGGGUUGAAUUUGGUGCCCAAAAUUUCCAGAUCAAAAAUUCAAUAUAUAAGGACACUCCAGAUUUAAUUUCGUGAUUUUUGGAGAUCGGGAACACCUCGAACAAAGUUGUCAAGUUACUCCGCAGUUUUUCGGGUUUUCUGUUUUCAGCAAUUUUUAUUGAUUCUUAGCUGUAGGUUUUCAUUUGUUUACCUUUAUUCUUCCUUUACGUUAUCUAACACCUUCUUGGUUCUUGUGUUAGUAGGAUUUAAACGUGUGCACAACUUCUUCCUCGGUGCAACACGAAUCAAUUGGUGUCUCGUCAGUUUUUGGCAUCCUAGUGCAAAUUAGGAUUCUUUGGUAGUUUGGUUCACACUCUCUAAUUGGUUGAUAUAAACUCUGAUAAAGAACUCACAAGAUUGAAUUCGACCUCAUUGAGAAUUUGAUUUUUUCUUUUUGAGUGAUUAACGGUGAGGUUUGAUAACUUUUAUUUUUGAGUGUUGAGUGUUUUGCAGGUUUUAAAAAAAAUGUCUACAGGUGAUAAUAAUAGUGACAUAUUUAAAAAAUUCCAACAACAGUUGGAUGAACAGGCUGCUGCUCUUCGAGCUUUGACUGCUACCAUCAAUGAGGUGCAAUUGAAUCAAGAACCUCAAUAUCGAGAUCCAAUCAAAGAAGAUAGGGAUAACCAACCCCAGAGGCGCGGCCCUCGACGUGUCCUUAGAAUGGAUGAUGAUUUUCAUGAUCGUGGACAAUCCUCUUUGGCAAAACCAAAGAGCGAGCAGCAACGAGAACAUCUCUUUCAUACUCGCUGCCAUGUACAAGGUAAGCUUUAUAGAGUUAUUAUUGAUGGUGAAAGUUGCUCGAACAUAGCCAGCACGACGAUGGUGGAAAAGCUUUGCUUAACCACUACCAAGCAUCCACAACCUUAUCCACUACAAGGGCUUAGCAACGAAGGCCAAUUUAGGGUCACUCAACAAGUGCGCAUUGCCUUUUCUAUCGGUAAGUAUCAAGACGAAGUUGUGUGCGACGUAAUGCCUAUUCAAGCCUUCCAUUUGUUGCUAGGAGAACCAUGGCAACUGGAUCGAAAAGUCACUCACGAUGGUCGUGUGACAGCCCAAAAUUGACCCUAGUAGGGAAGUGGUUUCGGGACCGCUAAACCGAGUCACCGAAAGGUUUGAAUGUGAUGUUUAUUGUCUAGAAUAUGUAAUCAUGAAUGUGUGAAAAUUUCAAGCUUCGAUUUAGUCGAUUGCAUGUGAAUUUAGUCAAUAGGACUUAUAUGGGAAAAUUUUAAAAUGUGAUAGGUCAAUGCAUGAGGACCUAUUAGUGCAUGUGGAAGAAAAAGGGGACUUGCAUGUCAAAUUCCCCCUCCCUAAUAUGUAGUGGCCGGCCAUGCUAUGGGUGGAAACAUGUCACCAACAUGUUGUGUUAGUGAUGUAUGGUAAGGAAAAUAAAAUAAUAAGCAUGAUAAUUAAAUAAUGAAAGGAAGGGUGAUGAAAAAAAAAAGGAAUAAUGGUCUCAUGCAUACACCCCAUUGCCGUGAGCUAAAGGAAGGAAAAGAAAGGUUUUGUUCAUCCUUUUUCAACCUCAUUUGACCGAAAAUCCUAAGGAAGAGGAUUAGGAGGAAGUUUGGCCAUGCAUGUAACUAGAUUGAGGUAUGUUUAAUGUUAUUCUUUGAGAUUCAUGUAUAUUUUAAGUUGUAAGUUCAAAAUCUACCUAGCCAUGGUUCAAGCUUUGUUAAAUGAUGGAGGUGACAUUCGGCCAUGAAUGUUACGUUCUUGGUUGGUAUUUUGAUGUCUUUGGUGAUGAGGUAAGGAGAUGGUUGACUUUGGGUGUUUAAUAAAAGGGUUUGGAUGUGAGAGUGUGUGAGAAGUAGAAAUGAGGAGUCUUAGCAACUCCAUGAAGGUUCGACCAUGGUAGUUUGAGGGUUAGAGAUUUUAUUUCUUGUUAAAGAUUAAUAUGUUUUGUGUUGAAGUUUUUGGUGAUUUUGAGUAGUUAGGGCUAAAUUACAAAAAUAAAUUUUUGAAGGACUCAAAGGUGAAAUAAAUGAAAUGUAUGGACUUAUAUGGGUACUAGGAAGAUUCGGCCCUUAAGGAGUGUGACCAAACUUUGUGUAUUUUGUGUUUUGUGGAAUAAAGACUAAAUUGCGAAAGUGCGAAAUAUUAGGGGUAAAAAUGUAAUUUACCCAUUUAUGCGUUAUUAGACUAAAUUGAAUGAAAAUAUGUUAAAUUAAGGCUUGGUAAGCUAGCUAUUAAGGUGAAAUGCUAAUGUUAGUAUUUGAUUUGGUAAUAAUCUGUUUGGGGACAGCAGCAGUAAGGUGAUUUUGGAAAAUCGCCAUAAUUUGUAGGAGUUGAAUUAGAAGCUGAGUGAAUUAUGCCAUUAAAGCUUGAAGAGUCUAUUUUCUUACAAAAGAAACUAUGAAAACAAAAGAGUUACCGAUCUUGAGAAAUUUGAUUCGUAGUGAAGAGUGGUCAGAAUAGUCAAACAGUGAAACACGGGAAACUUUAAGAAAAAUCUGGUAUUGAUUGGCCAAGCCUAAAAUUCUGAAAAUUUUAUGGAUGGAAGAUAUACGAGUCUAUAUUCAGGGAAAAUUAACGGCUUGUGAUUUGGAGUUUUGUAGCUCCAGUUAUAAACAAUUUAGCGACUACUGCUCAGGAAAACAGCUCGUAGUGAAUAUGUGAUUUUGUUGUAAACAUUAAUGAAAAUUUGCCAAUGAGUUAUUUAUUGAUUAUUAUAAAGCUUACUAUAAGCUAUGUGUGUGAAAGUCAAAUCAAUAUAUAUAUUAUUCUGAAAGUAAUACUUGAAUAGUCGAUUAAUGACUAUUUUAAAUUUUGUUGAACUUAAGCUCAAGAGCAAAAGGGAACUAGAUCCGAUAAAGGCAAAGAAAAGAUCACUGAGUAGCCGAGUUGGAACCGCCUUACCCAACACAAGGUAAGUCAUUAAGCAUGUAGUUGGUAUUGUUUUAAAUGGUCAUAAUGUUUAUGUAUUGAUGCUGAAUGGAAUGAAUAAAUAUACAUAUAUAUAUAUAUAUAUGCAUGUACGUAUGUGAUGAUGAAAUUGUUGAAUGAAAAGAAAAGAGGUAAGAUGUACUGAGUUGUUGAUCUCGGCACUAAACGUGCGGGUAUAACCAUUUAUGACCAUGAGAUUGGCGCAAAGUGCGCGGGAGUAAAUUGUACAGCACUAAGUGUGCGAUUUGACUAUGUAGCACUAAGUGUGCGAUUUGACUAUGUUGCACUAAGUGUGCGAAAUGAAUAUGAUGCACUAAGUGUGCGAAUUGACCAUGCGGCACUAAGUGUGCGAGUUUGACUAUGUAGCACUAAGUGUGCGAUUUGAUUACGUAGCACUAAGUGUGCGAGUUGAUUAUAUAGCACUGAGUGUGCGGACUCAAUAUACAUUCGUGAAUCAUUAUGGACACUAUGUGUGCGACACUAUCGAGUCGAUCGCGGACAGCGGAUCGGGUAAGUGUCUUGAGUACAUGGCUAAUGGGUGCUAUGCUUAUACUUGGUGUUGAGCUCGGUAAGUUUGAACCUAUGUGACAAAUAUACUUGAAGUCACGUACAUAAAAUUUAUCGUAGGAUGGGUGAAAGGCCGUUUAGUCGUUUGAUUGUAACGAAAAUAAAUUGAUUUAUGAAAUUGCCUCAAUGUCCUAUUGAUGAGUAUAUGGAAUGUGAAUGCAUGAAUUGAUAUGAAACUGAAUCGAUAGGUUGGAGGAACUAUGGUAUGGUUCGGUAUGGAUGGAGUAAAUUGUCUCGUUCCAUUUUGUUUCCUCUUGUGAUAAUGUUAUUGAUGGAUGGUAGUGCAUUGCUUAUGACUUACUGAGUUAUAAACUCACUCGGUGUUUCCUUGUCACCCAUUAUAGGUUGCUUGGACUCAUCUAUUUUUGCGGGGUCAGGCCGUCAUCGAAGUCAUCACACCGGAUAGCAAGUUUUGGUACUUUCUUCUUAGUUGGCUUAGAAGAACAUUUUGGCAUGUAUAAGCUAUUACGUUGUGUUUGAACUUUGGCAUGUAAACUUUAAGCCAUGCGAAAAUGGCACGAAUGUUCGAUUGAGUUGGAUCAAGGGUAGGCAUGAAAUGGACCUAGUUACUUUCGUAACAGAUGCUGGCAGCAGCAGUGUCAUGAGAUUGAAAAAUCACUAAAAAUAGUAGGAGUGGAAUUAAUUGAUGAAUAAAUUAUGUAAUCGAAGCUCGAUGAGUCUGUUUUCAUGAGGAAGUAACGAAAAGAUCAUAUGGGCAGUAUAUUAAUAGAUAAUCAGAUUUUUGUGGGACAGGGCCAGAACGGUUUCUGGAUUCCCUGCUCCGAAUUUGGAAAUUCAAUAUAAAUUAACCAGAGAUAAUUAGGGGUCGUACCAUAUAUGUACAGAUUCCUCUCUGAGUCUAGUUUUCAUAGAAACAAACGGCAUCAGUAUUGAAGCCCCGUGCAGGGAGAUAUCCAGGUCGUAAUGGGCAAAGGUCAGUGUAGUCGACCCCUGCAACAUGGGAGACUUUGACUAAUAAACUGUACUAAUUGGCCUGACCAAAAAUUUUAGAAAAAAAUACAUAGAUGGGCACAUGAGUCUAGUUUCUGGGAAAAAUCACGAAACUGAUUUUCGAGUUACGAAACUCAAGAUAUGAUUUUUAGAACGACUAGUACACAGAUUGGGCAGUGUCUGGAAAAUAAAUUUUAUAAGGGGUUAAAGUCAGUUAACACCUCGUGUUCGACUCCGGUGUCGGUUUCGGGUUCGGGGUGUUACAUUUGAUUGGUAUCAGAGCUAUGGUUUAGUCGGUUCUAGGACUACCAUAGCACGUAUGAGUCUAGCUAUACAUGCCUUAAUGUUAAUGUUUAAAAGGGUGAUGACUUCUGACGGUUGAAAUGUUUUUGUUUUGAUUAGUAAAUGGAUCCCGGUGUAGAAAGAACCCUAGCGGAUGACGUUGAGAGCGUAGCGGCUGCUCCUGCACAAGGGACGCCGCCUGUUGAACCUCAGUCAUCUGCGAAUAAUCAAGGUGAGGGGGCUAAACAAGCCUUCUUUACCAUGAUGAAUGAGUGGGUCGCGCAAUAUGCCCGAACCAACCCGGCUGUCCAACAAUUCCCAAAUUUGAAUAAUCCACCCCAAGAGCCUGUAAUGCCAUCAGUCGCUGAUCCUGUGAGGCUGAGUAAGCCACCUGUAGACUUGAUUAGGAAACGUGGGGCCGAGGAGUUCAAGGCCAUAGUAACUGAUAAUGCCGAAAGGGCCGAGUUCUGGCUUGAUAACACCAUUCGGGUGUUCGAUGAAUUGUCAUGCACACCCGACGAAUGUCUCAAAUGUGCUGUAUCUUUCUUGCGAGACUCAGCCUACUAUUGGUGGAGGACCUUGAUUUCCAUAGUCCCGAACGAGCGAGUAACUUGGGACUUCUUUCAAACGGAAUUCCGAAAGAAAUUUAUUAGCCAACGGUUCAUUGAUCAGAAGCGUAAGGAGUUCUUAGAACUCAAGCAAGGCCGUAUGACUGAAUCUGAAUACGAACAUGAAUUUGUUAGACUUAGUAGAUACGCUCGGGAAUGUGUUUCGUCCGAGGCUAUUAUGUGUAACGCUUCGAGGAUGGGCUGAAUGAAGAUAUAAAAAUGUUCGUUGGCGUUCUUGAAAUACGAGAGUUCGUAGUACUUGUCGAGUGAGCUUGUAAGCCGAAGAGCUUAGAAAAGAAAAACAAAAAGUUGAUGAGGGAACUGGAGAGUUUCGUAAAAUAUCUUCGGGAAAGUCUCUUCAACAGGCAUCGAAGAAAUUUCGAGAUGAUGUGGGCUGGUCGAGAGGCACUUCGGGCCUUUUUAGAUGAGAUCGUGAUCGACCCCCUUUGGGUACACGAGGCACUUCGGUCGCCAGUGUUGGGAAUGAACGUCGAGAUAGAACGAAAUGUCGAUAUUGCGGUAAAUGGCAUUCGGGGAUUUGUAGAUUCCCUGACCGCUCCUGUUACAAGUGCGGAUCGGUUGACCACUUCAUUAAAGAUUGCCCGAGGUUGUCUGAACAGAAUGUAAAUCAGAGUGGGAAACCGGGUGCUACCACUGCUCGAGGUAGACCAUCUGGAAAUACGGGCAAUGCUGGUGGUGGUCAGAGAGGAUCUAGAGAUGCUACGACCAGAUCCGAGGCUCGUGCGCCUGCUAGAGCUUAUGCUAUACGUGCCCGCGAGGAUGCUUCUUCGCCUGAUGUUAUUACCGGUACUUUUACUCUCUUGGAUACUAAUGUAAUUGCUUUGAUUGACCCCGGUUCUACUCAUUCAUAUGUAUGCGAAACCUUAGCAACCAGUAAGACUCUACCUGUUGAGUCUACUGAGCUCGUAAUUCGAGUAUCAAACCCUUUGGGUCAAUGCGUACUUGUUGAUAAAGUGUGUAAGAGAUGCCCUCUAAUAAUCCGAGAAUCUUGUUUUCCGGCCGAUUUGAUGCUUUUGCCGUUCGACGAGUUUGAUGUUAUUCUUAGUUUGGAUUGGUUAACCGCGCAUGAUACGGUUGUGAAUUGCAAAAGCAAGACUAUCGAUUUGAGGUGCGCAAAUAACGAAAUAAUCCGAGUUGAGUCUGCGGACUUAAGGGGGUUGCCAACUGUAAUAUCAGCAAUGUUGACCCAGAAAUAUGUAAGAAAAGGGUGCGAAGCAUACCUCGCGUAUGUACUUGAUGACAAUGAGUUAGAAAAGAAACCCGAAUCGGUGCCGGUGGUUUGUGAAUACCCGGAUGUUUUUCCUGAAGAGUUACCGGGUUUGCCACCUGUUCGGGAGGUAGAGUUUGGUAUUGAGCUUGUACCUGGAACUACGCCAAUUUCGAUCGCUCCGUAUCGUAUGGCACUGACCGAGUUAAAAGAGUUGAAAGCUCAGUUGCAAGAAUUGACGGAUAGAGGUUUCGCUCGACCGAGUUUCUCACCUUGGGGUGCACCAGUGUUGUUCGUGAAAAAGAAGGACGGAACCAUGAGGUUGUGCAUUGACUAUCGUCAACUGAAUAAAGUUACGAUAAAGAAUAAGUAUCCGUUACCGCGUAUUGAUGAUCUGUUCGAUCAAUUAAAGGGAGCAUCGGUGUUCUCAAAGAUAGAUUUGAGAUCGGGUUAUUAUCAGUUGUGGAUUCGAGAUUCGGACGUACCCAAAACUGCUUUCAGAACGAGGUACGGUCACUACGAGUUCUUAGUGAUGCCGUUUGGGCUCACUAAUGCCCCUGCGGUGUUUAUGGAUUUGAUGAAUCGGAUCUUCAGGCCGUAUUUGGAUCGGUUCGUAAUUGUGUUUAUUGAUGACAUCUUGGUCUAUUCAAGAGAUGAGACCGAACAUGCUGAGCAUCUGAGGCUAGUGUUGCAAAUUUUGCGGGAUAAGCAGUUAUAUGCUAAGUUCAGUAAGUGUGAGUUCUGGUUAAGAGAGGUUAGCUUCUUGGGUCAUGUGGUAUCCGCAUCGGGUAUUCGAGUUGACCCGAGCAAAAUUUUAGCCAUACUUAACUGGAAGCCUCCGAUAAAUGUUACCGAAGUCCGGAGCUUUCUAGGGCUCGCCGGUUAUUACCGACGAUUUGUCAAAGGUUUCUCGAUGAUAGCCACACCAAUGACGAAGCUACUUCAAAAGGAUGUUAAGUUCGAAUGGACGGAGAAGUGUCAGAAAAGCUUCGAUCAACUGAAAACUCAUUUGACUGAAGCUCCAAUUUUGGUGCAACCCGAAUCGGGUAAAGAGUUUGUCAUUUAUAGUGACGCAUCCCUACUUGGGUUGGGUUGCGUAUUGAUGCAAGAAGGUCGAGUUGUGGCCUAUGCGUCGAGACAAUUGAAGCCACACGAGAGAAAUUAUCCGACCCAUGAUCUCGAACUAGCCGCCAUUGUGUUUGCAUUGAAAAUAUGGCGACAUUAUUUGUUUGGUGAGAAGUGCCAUGUGUUUUCGGAUCACAAAAGUCUCAAAUAUUUGAUGACUCAACGAGACUUGAAUCUGCGACAAAAACGUUGGCUUGAGUUGUUGAAAGAUUACGAGCUUGUCACUGAUUACCACCCGAGAAAGGCUAAUGUGGUUGCGGACGCCUUAAGCCGGAAAUCACUGUUUGCUUUGCGAGCGAUGAAUGUACACUUGUCUGUUCUACCUGACAAUGUGUUAGUAGCUGAAUUAAAAGCCAGACCAUUAUUGACUCAUCAAAUUCGUGAAGCUCAGGAAGUCGAUGAUGAAUUGGUUGCAAAACGAGCUGAGUGUGUUCCGAACAAGGAAUCGGAGUUUCAGAUUGAUGAUGAUGGUUGUUUGAGGUUUAGAAGUCGUUUGUGUGUUCCAAGGAAUUCGGAACUCAUUCCGAUGAUUCUGAACGAAGCCCAUUGUAGCCGAAUGUCAAUUCACCCGGGGAGCACGAAAAUGUACAACGACUUGAAACGUCGGUUUUGGUGGCAUGGUAUGAAACGAGACAUCUCCGACUUUGUUUCGAGAUGUUUAAUAUGUCAACAAGUGAAAGCGGAACAUCAAGUGCCUUCAGGGUUACUUCAGCCGAUCAUGAUACUCGACUGGAAAUGGGACCGAGUCACAAUGGACUUUGUGUCCGGACUGCCAUUGUCCGCAAGUAAGAAGGAUGCGAUUUGGGUUGUUGUUGAUAGGCUGACUAAGUCGGCUCACUUUAUCCCCGUGCGUACGGAUCUUUCAUUGGAUAAACUAGCCGAAUUGUAUGUCUCUCAGAUUGUAUGUCUAUCGUGUCGGAUAGAAAUCCGAGAUUCACCUCACGAUUUUGGAAGAAAUUGCAAGAAGCGUUGGGUACCAAGCUGCAUUUUAGCACCGCUUUUCACCCCCAAACCGAUGGUCAAUCCGAGCGGAUAAUUCAGAUACUUGAGGAUAUGUUGAGAUGUUGCAUCCUCGAGUUCAGUAGUUCAUGGGAACAGUAUUUACCUUUGAUUGAAUUCGCUUACAAUAAUAGUUUUCAAUCAAGUAUUAAGAUGGCACCUUACGAGGCUUUGUACGGACGUAAAUGCCGCACACCAUUGUUUUGGACAGAGCUCGAUGAAAGAACGAUAUCCAAACCUAUUUACCGGUAAGAUUUUCGGGGACGAAAAUUUCUUAAGUGGGGGAGAGUUGUGACAGCCCAAAAUUGACCCUAGUAGGGAAGUGGUUUCGGGACCGCUAAACCGAGUCACCGAAAGGUUUGAAUGUGAUGUUUAUUGUCUAGAAUAUGUAAUCAUGAAUGUGUGAAAAUUUCAAGCUUCGAUUUAGUCGAUUGCAUGUGAAUUUAGUCAAUAGGACUUAUAUGGGAAAAUUUUAAAAUGUGAUAGGUCAAUGCAUGAGGACCUAUUAGUGCAUGUGGAAGAAAAAGGGGACUUGCAUGUCAAAUUCCCCCUCCCUAAUAUGUAGUGGCCGGCCAUGCUAUGGGUGGAAACAUGUCACCAACAUGUUGUGUUAGUGAUGUAUGGUAAGGAAAAUAAAAUAAUAAGCAUGAUAAUUAAAUAAUGAAAGGAAGGGUGAUGAAAAAAAAAAGGAAUAAUGGUCUCAUGCAUACACCCCAUUGCCGUGAGCUAAAGGAAGGAAAAGAAAGGUUUUGUUCAUCCUUUUUCAACCUCAUUUGACCGAAAAUCCUAAGGAAGAGGAUUAGGAGGAAGUUUGGCCAUGCAUGUAACUAGAUUGAGGUAUGUUUAAUGUUAUUCUUUGAGAUUCAUGUAUAUUUUAAGUUGUAAGUUCAAAAUCUACCUAGCCAUGGUUCAAGCUUUGUUAAAUGAUGGAGGUGACAUUCGGCCAUGAAUGUUACGUUCUUGGUUGGUAUUUUGAUGUCUUUGGUGAUGAGGUAAGGAGAUGGUUGACUUUGGGUGUUUAAUAAAAGGGUUUGGAUGUGAGAGUGUGUGAGAAGUAGAAAUGAGGAGUCUUAGCAACUCCAUGAAGGUUCGACCAUGGUAGUUUGAGGGUUAGAGAUUUUAUUUCUUGUUAAAGAUUAAUAUGUUUUGUGUUGAAGUUUUUGGUGAUUUUGAGUAGUUAGGGCUAAAUUACAAAAAUAAAUUUUUGAAGGACUCAAAGGUGAAAUAAAUGAAAUGUAUGGACUUAUAUGGGUACUAGGAAGAUUCGGCCCUUAAGGAGUGUGACCAAACUUUGUGUAUUUUGUGUUUUGUGGAAUAAAGACUAAAUUGCGAAAGUGCGAAAUAUUAGGGGUAAAAAUGUAAUUUACCCAUUUAUGCGUUAUUAGACUAAAUUGAAUGAAAAUAUGUUAAAUUAAGGCUUGGUAAGCUAGCUAUUAAGGUGAAAUGCUAAUGUUAGUAUUUGAUUUGGUAAUAAUCUGUUUGGGGACAGCAGCAGUAAGGUGAUUUUGGAAAAUCGCCAUAAUUUGUAGGAGUUGAAUUAGAAGCUGAGUGAAUUAUGCCAUUAAAGCUUGAAGAGUCUAUUUUCUUACAAAAGAAACUAUGAAAACAAAAGAGUUACCGAUCUUGAGAAAUUUGAUUCGUAGUGAAGAGUGGUCAGAAUAGUCAAACAGUGAAACACGGGAAACUUUAAGAAAAAUCUGGUAUUGAUUGGCCAAGCCUAAAAUUCUGAAAAUUUUAUGGAUGGAAGAUAUACGAGUCUAUAUUCAGGGAAAAUUAACGGCUUGUGAUUUGGAGUUUUGUAGCUCCAGUUAUAAACAAUUUAGCGACUACUGCUCAGGAAAACAGCUCGUAGUGAAUAUGUGAUUUUGUUGUAAACAUUAAUGAAAAUUUGCCAAUGAGUUAUUUAUUGAUUAUUAUAAAGCUUACUAUAAGCUAUGUGUGUGAAAGUCAAAUCAAUAUAUAUAUUAUUCUGAAAGUAAUACUUGAAUAGUCGAUUAAUGACUAUUUUAAAUUUUGUUGAACUUAAGCUCAAGAGCAAAAGGGAACUAGAUCCGAUAAAGGCAAAGAAAAGAUCACUGAGUAGCCGAGUUGGAACCGCCUUACCCAACACAAGGUAAGUCAUUAAGCAUGUAGUUGGUAUUGUUUUAAAUGGUCAUAAUGUUUAUGUAUUGAUGCUGAAUGGAAUGAAUAAAUAUACAUAUAUAUAUAUAUAUAUGCAUGUACGUAUGUGAUGAUGAAAUUGUUGAAUGAAAAGAAAAGAGGUAAGAUGUACUGAGUUGUUGAUCUCGGCACUAAACGUGCGGGUAUAACCAUUUAUGACCAUGAGAUUGGCGCAAAGUGCGCGGGAGUAAAUUGUACAGCACUAAGUGUGCGAUUUGACUAUGUAGCACUAAGUGUGCGAUUUGACUAUGUUGCACUAAGUGUGCGAAAUGAAUAUGAUGCACUAAGUGUGCGAAUUGACCAUGCGGCACUAAGUGUGCGAGUUUGACUAUGUAGCACUAAGUGUGCGAUUUGAUUACGUAGCACUAAGUGUGCGAGUUGAUUAUAUAGCACUGAGUGUGCGGACUCAAUAUACAUUCGUGAAUCAUUAUGGACACUAUGUGUGCGACACUAUCGAGUCGAUCGCGGACAGCGGAUCGGGUAAGUGUCUUGAGUACAUGGCUAAUGGGUGCUAUGCUUAUACUUGGUGUUGAGCUCGGUAAGUUUGAACCUAUGUGACAAAUAUACUUGAAGUCACGUACAUAAAAUUUAUCGUAGGAUGGGUGAAAGGCCGUUUAGUCGUUUGAUUGUAACGAAAAUAAAUUGAUUUAUGAAAUUGCCUCAAUGUCCUAUUGAUGAGUAUAUGGAAUGUGAAUGCAUGAAUUGAUAUGAAACUGAAUCGAUAGGUUGGAGGAACUAUGGUAUGGUUCGGUAUGGAUGGAGUAAAUUGUCUCGUUCCAUUUUGUUUCCUCUUGUGAUAAUGUUAUUGAUGGAUGGUAGUGCAUUGCUUAUGACUUACUGAGUUAUAAACUCACUCGGUGUUUCCUUGUCACCCAUUAUAGGUUGCUUGGACUCAUCUAUUUUUGCGGGGUCAGGCCGUCAUCGAAGUCAUCACACCGGAUAGCAAGUUUUGGUACUUUCUUCUUAGUUGGCUUAGAAGAACAUUUUGGCAUGUAUAAGCUAUUACGUUGUGUUUGAACUUUGGCAUGUAAACUUUAAGCCAUGCGAAAAUGGCACGAAUGUUCGAUUGAGUUGGAUCAAGGGUAGGCAUGAAAUGGACCUAGUUACUUUCGUAACAGAUGCUGGCAGCAGCAGUGUCAUGAGAUUGAAAAAUCACUAAAAAUAGUAGGAGUGGAAUUAAUUGAUGAAUAAAUUAUGUAAUCGAAGCUCGAUGAGUCUGUUUUCAUGAGGAAGUAACGAAAAGAUCAUAUGGGCAGUAUAUUAAUAGAUAAUCAGAUUUUUGUGGGACAGGGCCAGAACGGUUUCUGGAUUCCCUGCUCCGAAUUUGGAAAUUCAAUAUAAAUUAACCAGAGAUAAUUAGGGGUCGUACCAUAUAUGUACAGAUUCCUCUCUGAGUCUAGUUUUCAUAGAAACAAACGGCAUCAGUAUUGAAGCCCCGUGCAGGGAGAUAUCCAGGUCGUAAUGGGCAAAGGUCAGUGUAGUCGACCCCUGCAACAUGGGAGACUUUGACUAAUAAACUGUACUAAUUGGCCUGACCAAAAAUUUUAGAAAAAAAUACAUAGAUGGGCACAUGAGUCUAGUUUCUGGGAAAAAUCACGAAACUGAUUUUCGAGUUACGAAACUCAAGAUAUGAUUUUUAGAACGACUAGUACACAGAUUGGGCAGUGUCUGGAAAAUAAAUUUUAUAAGGGGUUAAAGUCAGUUAACACCUCGUGUUCGACUCCGGUGUCGGUUUCGGGUUCGGGGUGUUACAGGUCGUACCAAUAGGUAUUCUUUCAAGCAUCAAGGAAAGAAACUCACCUUAGUGCCGCUCACUCCGGAACAAGUCCAUGAGGACCAAAUCAAACUGAGAAAUUCUGUUAAAACAAGUAAGGAAAAAGAAAAAGAGAAUGAAAAAGAGCAAAAAGAGAUUGAGAGUGAAAAUGAAUGUGAAACAGAAAAGAAAAUUGAAAAAGAAGUUGAAGAAAGAAGAGAAAAUGAAUUAGAAAAAGAAACAAAAGAAAAAGACGUGGAAAUGGUAGUGAGGAAUGUUUCCACUAACCAAGAUAUGAAUUUUUCUUGUGUUGCUACUUUUCAGGUUCCCGAAAGAUCGAAAGAUAACUUUCAACUUCAAUACCUCUUAAAUGAAAGACGCUUUCAUACGAUCAACUUAAGCAAAGAUGAAAUCACACUACAUGAUCCCGAAGGUAAGCGAGGUAAGGAAAUUUUAAAAACCGAGUCCAGUGCAGAUUUGAAAAUUAUUGAUAAAAGUUUUUGUGACUUAGUUCUUAAAAGAUCCCCUCAUUUUGAUCCGAUUAAUUGUUACUCUUCGNNNNNNNNNNNNNNNNNNNNNNNNNNNNNNNNNNNNNNNNNNNNNNNNNNNNNNNNNNNNNNNNNNNNNNNNNNNNNNNNNNNNNNNNNNNNNNNNNNNNNNNNNNNNNNNNNNNNNNNNNNNNNNNNNNNNNNNNNNNNNNNNNNNNNNNNNNNNNNNNNNNNNNNNNNNNNNNNNNNNNNNNNNNNNNNNNNNNNNNNNNNNNNNNNNNNNNNNNNNNNNNNNNNNNNNNNNNNNNNNNNNNNNNNNNNNNNNNNNNNNNNNNNNNNNNNNNNNNNNNNNNNNNNNNNNNNNNNNNNNNNNNNNNNNNNNNNNNNNNNNNNNNNNNNNNNNNNNNNNNNNNNNNNNNNNNNNNNNNNNNNNNNNNNNNNNNNNNNNNNNNNNNNNNNNNNNNNNNNNNNNNNNNNNNNNNNNNNNNNNNNNNNNNNNNNNNNNNNNNNNNNNNNNNNNNNNNNNNNNNNNNNNNNNNNNNNNNNNNNNNNNNNNNNNNNNNNNNNNNNGGGAAUUUAAGGGUAAAUUGAAAUAGUCUGCUUAGGACAGCAGCAGUAACGUGACUUUAGAAAAUCACCAUAAAUUUAUGGAUUUGAAUUAGAGGCUAAAUGAGACAUGAAAUUAAAUCUUAAUGAGUCUAGCUUCUUAUAAAAGAAACCGUGUAAGCAAAGGAAUUUCCGAUAAUUAGAUACUUAAAGUUGUGUGAGACAGCGCAGAAUGACACUGUAAUCCUCUGUUCUGUCUUUAGAAAAUCAUUAUAAAUUGUACAAAAAUGGUUAUAAGAUAAAAUUUAUAUGCUUAGACUCCUUAAUGAGUCUAGUUUAAAAUGAAAUCAAAUACAACACAUUUUGAAUUCUGUAAAAUGAGAAAUUUGAUUCGUAGUGAAGAGUGGUCAGAUUAGUCAAACAGUGAAACAGGAGAAAUUUUAAGAAAAAUAUGGUAUUGAUUGGCCAAACCUAAAAUUCUGGAAAUUUUAUGGAUGGAAGAUAUACGAGUCUAUAUUCAGGAAAAAUUAACGGAAAGUGAUUUGGAGUUUUGUAGCUCCAGUUAUAAAUAAUUUAGUGACUAUUGCUCAGGAAAAAUAGCUUGUGCUGAAUUUGAGAUUGUGUUGUAAACCUUGAUAAACUUGUUUUAGUUGCUCAUAAACUAUUGAUUAAACCCAUACGUGAAUUCUAAAUUGUGAUAUUGGAAAAUGAUAGAUGUAGAUUCAGCCAAGACAGUGUGUAUACGUGAAAGUAUAUGUGGUAUGUGAAGUAUAUUUGGAUAAUUGUGAUGUGAAUACAUGAAAAUCUAUAUUUUGAUUUAGGAUUCUAUGUGAUGGAUGUGAACAUGCAUAUAUGAGAUAAGGCCUAAUGGCCGAUGUGAUGAAUGUGAAAGUGUAUAUAUGUGAUAAGGCCUAAUGGCCGAUGUGAUGAAUGUGAAAGUGUAUAUAUAUGUGAUAAGGCCUAAUGGCCGAUGUGAUGAAUGUGAAAGUGUAUAUAUGUGAUAAGGCCUAAUGGUCGAUGUGAUGAAUGUGAAAGUGUAUAUAUGUGAUAAGGCCUAAUAGCCAACGUGAUGGAUGUGAAAGUGUAUAAAUGUGAUAAGUCCCGAAGGGCAUUUGUGUCAGUACUAUAUCCGGGUUAAAACCCCGCAGGCUUUAUGCGAGAAUAUUAUCACUGAUUAAUGUCCGUAAGCUUCGUGCUCGUACUAUAUCCGAGCUCUAAAGACCCGAUGACUACGUGUGGGGAUUUUGUCCGGGUAAGAUCCGAUAACUUCGUGUGGAGAUUAUGUCCGGGUAAGACUUCGUAAUAAGAAUUGCUUAUAAAUAUAUUCAAUGCGAAAGGUUAAACAGGUAUGUACUCCAAGUUUAUAUGUGAGCUUGAUUUGCACUAAAUCAUAAGGUAGUUAUGUGAUGCAUACAAGAGCAAUCUAUGAGACUAUUCCUAUGAUUAUGUGACAUCGGAUCAGUGUGAGAGGUUAUGUAAAAUCAUACGAUAUAUCUAUGUCACAUGAGCUCACUUUUAUGUGAAAGUUUAUCUGCCUAUUGUAUAUGAUGAGAUGUGCAUAUUCGAUAAAGGGAUGGUAUGCCCGAAGGAAGAGUGAAAUAAAAAUACGAACAACUAUGUUAUAAUUUGAUUGUUAUCUGUUGACACUGCUUAAAACUUACUAAGCAUUGUAAUGCUUACUCCGUUUACUCUGUUUCCUCUGUUUUAUAGAUCUCAUUUGGAAGCUACAGGCUCGGGGAUCAUCAGCAACUAGUCACACUAUCACUAUCCACUGUUUGGUACUGCUACGUUUUGGAUUAUCUUAUGGCAUGUAUAGAAUAGACUAGAGGCGGAAGAAUAUUUUUGGUUAAUGUAUAUAAGCCAUGCGAAAAUGGCAUCUUUUGAAUGUUUACUUAGAGAAGUUUAAAUUUUAUCCCUGGCUGUGCUUAGUACUUAUUUAAAUGAAUGAUCUUUAUUUCAAGAAAAAAAAUUCAAAAUUUUACUGUUCUGACAUGAGUUACAAGUCCGGUAAUGCCCCUUACCUAUUCCGGCGACGGUUACGGGAUAGGGGUGUUACACCGGACCUCCGACGUACUUUAUGAUCCCCGAGUUAGCUUGACAAAACUAUAAAAAGAAGGAAAAAUAAAGGGGGUAAGCAUUAAGCUUAGUAAGUUUGCAAGCAAAUAAAUAACAACAUUCAUAAGAAUUAUCUUACUACUUGGCAUGAUACUACUUAAUGCAACUUCAUUAAUUGUCAUAGACAUAUUUUAAACUUCAACACUUACUCACUUACUUAAAUACUUACUUACUUAAUCAAAUUUAUUAAUACAUUUUACUUACCUUUUUACUUAUCAAGCAUACAUGAACAUUAUGUACUUACCUUUGCUCUUCUAGCAUGAACUUGUCUUACCUUUCUAGUAUAACUCGUCUUACCUUACCUUACCUUGAUAUUCUCUUUAAAUUUUCCAGUUGAACCACUUGGAAUACUAAGGAUACACGGGUACCUUACCAUUGCCAUGACUUGUCAUGGUCGUACGUGGUAUCCUUUUGAAACUUACCAUUGCUAUGUCUUGACAUGGUCUUACAUGGUAUCCAUGCCUUAUGAACUCACCAAUGCCAUGCCUUGACAUGGUCUUACAUGGGACCUUUGCCUUAUCGUAACUUAUCAAUGCCAUGUCUUAACAUGGUCUUACAUGAUUUCCUUGCCUUAGAAACCUUACCAAUUGCCAUGCCUUGGCAUGGUCUUACAUGGUAUCCUUAAACCCUAAUGUCAUGACAUUUGUAUCCUACAAAUUCCUAAGGUUCAACCGGGACUUUUUGAAAUUACUUCUCCGUCAAUUCAUGUUAGAGUCUUCUUUGAAUAAUUUCAUAAAAUAAAUAUACACAUGCUGGAAAUUAACAAAAUUAACAUAAAAUAAUAGAAUAUUGCAUUUAUUUACCGCAAACUUACCUCGAAACAAAAUACGAUCAACUAUAUUGAUUUAGUCCACUAUCUUUUUCUUUCCCUGGUCUAACUCCGGAUUUUGUUCUUCUUGAUCUAUAAAAAAAAAUUAGUUUAUUUAAUACUCACAUUUAUUAAAACAGUCAUUGACCCAAACUUUGGCAAAAUUACAUUUUUGCCCCUAAACUUUUACAUAUUUACACUUUUUCGCCAAGGCUCGGAAUUUAAACUUCAUCCUAUUUUCUUAUGUUUUAUGACAUGCUGAUCAUUUUUCCCUUCUAUGGCAACAUCAAAUUCUCACUCUAACAUGUACUUAUGACUAUUAUGUAUUUUUACCGAUUAAGCCCUUUUACUCGUUUUCACUUAAAACCGAGUAGCACAAGUUGUCUAACAUAAUUUAAAAUCUCAUAUUCUACCAUAAAACACCAAAAUACACAAAUUUAAUCUAUGGGUAUUUUUCCAAAUAUGAACCCUAGGUUGAAUUAUUGCUAGAAUAAGCUUAAUCAAGUUACCGGGACUCCAAAAACGUAAAAAAACAUUAAAAACGGGGCUUAAAAUAACUUACUAUGGAGCUUGGAAGCUUGGAACAAACUCUAGCUAUGGAGAAACCUUGAAAUUUCGGCCUAAUGAAGAAGAUGGACAAAAAUUGGGUUUUAAUUUUGUUUUUAAUUCAUUUUAAUAACUAAAUGACCAAAAUGCCCUUAAUUAAAAACUAUGGUGUUUUAUUUUCCUUUAGGUAUUUUUUCCUAACAAGUAUAAUGGUCUAAUUACUAUCCAAGGACCUCCACUUUAAAAACCCAUUACUCACAAGUACUUAAUACCUUUGUGAACUAGAACACACAUUUUACAACUUUUGCAAUAUAGUCCUAAAUAUCAAAUUGGACCCUCUAUCGAUAAAAUUUCUAAACAAAAUUUUCACACAAUCAUGCAAUCAUGCCAUAAACCUUAAAAUGGUAAUAAAAUAAAAUUUUCUACCUCUAAUUUGUGGUUCUGCAAUCACUGUUCCUUUUAGGCCCUAUUUCGGGAUGUUACAGUUCUUUUCCCCUUAUAUAUUCAUGCAUUCAUAUUUUUUUUACUAGGACAUUUUCUGUAUAUAUAUAUUCCUACAUUCAUGUUAGAGAUAUGUUCAAGUAUUGAUGACAAUGCAUCUCGUAGGUUUGUAGGUGUAUUGAGCAUUGAGCAUUUAGGAUGCAUAAUGUAUUUAGUAAGCAUGCUCAUUUUUGUAUAAGCAUUCUAGUAUAGCCAAAUUUGUUUUGCCACAUAAUUUCCAAGAACUGGUUAGACUAUGAUGAGUACAAUUUUUACUUGUGAUGUUCAAUGAUGAGGUUAAUUCUUCAAUAAACCUAAAACAUGUGACAACCGAUUAGGUGAAUUUAGUUUAGGUUAGCUUUCUUGAGAAUUGAAUUUUAAAAAUGAUAUGUCCUAAUCUUAAUUACAAUAGAACUAUAACGAGUUUAUUUUAAUGAGUUCAGAGAUUCUUGAAGCUAAACUCAGUAAAAUUGCCAAAGCAUUACUUAAAGAAUUACUAGUAGACACUUCAAUGCUUAAAAUUGUGAAAUAGGUCCACAACACUUUGUUUGCUCAAUUGUGUUGUUAGCUAGAAAAAUGAGCUUAAGCAAGAGUUUGUAAUAAAGAAAAAGGACAAUUAAGGGUUCUCCACUGUAGUAAUAGGCUAAGUAGCUAAAGAGGUAGUUUUUUGCUCUAUCUAUCUUCUAAGUUAAAAGCCUUAGUUUCAUGAGUAAAUUGGAUUCAAAUCGUGACAUGAUUGAGUACCCAAUAAUUCAGUGUAUGCUCCAUUGUGAUUAUCAAGUCAAAGAAUUGUGUGACGAGCUGAGCCUCUAUUACUACUUUAAGAAAACUAAGUUUACAUAAAAGACGAGCUAUGUAAAUUAGCAAAUACUAGCUAUAGCCAAAAUGCACACAUGAGCACUUAGGGAUUUUGUUUUUAUAGUGAGGUUCUCUGCACUACCUUUGCUAAGCAAACUUUUGAACAUGAACAAGUUUUUAGACAUAGAAGAUUGCUUUGAACUAAUGUAUAAAUUAUUCUUUGAUCGGACUGGCAGUACAAGGUGGUUAUGAGCAAUGGAAAUUUUUGCAUUUGUGCAUAUUUUCUUUAGGGCAAGCAAUGAUUCAGGUUUGGGGGUGUGAUAACUCUUGAAAAGAGUUAUAAUUCAUACUUGUAGACUUAGUUAACUGCUUGUAUUUAAGUAAAAUUAGUUUCAUUUUAGGUAAUUGCAUGAUUAUUUUUAAUCAAUCAAGCAUUGUAUGUAAAGACUUGGGAUGGUGAUUACUUUAGUGCAUCUAUACUUUGAAUUGUUGGUGGAAAGGAUUUGUUGUGGUUGAAUGACAAGUUUGAGGAAGAAAAAUAGUGAAGGAUGGAGAUUUGCUGAGGAUUAUAAGAGAUUGUCAUGGCAAUGUUGAGGAAGUAAACGACAAAUACCCAGUCAUCAAUUAGAGCAUUCAACAUUUGGCUUCCCCCCACAUGCACGUGUAAUGGAAAAUAUCCACCUAACAAUUAGGGAAAAAACAAUCAUUGACUGACGACUUUUACCAUAGAGGAGGACCCAAGUAUAAAAGAAAAAAAGUGGAUUGACGACCAAAAAGAGAGGUCUCCAUUAAUGAGAGCUGAAGAUACGAAUGAUUGCAAAUACAGAGCUUCGAUAGAGGUCUCCUUGUGAAAAUGAGAGUAAUUUGAGCUAUUGGAAGCUUGGGUGAAAACGCGCACCAGACACCAAGUUGGGGGAAUUUGUGUUUUGAACCCAAUUUUUUCCUCUAUAGUUUUUUCUAAAUUUGUAAUUUAAAUUGUUAUUUUGGGAUGUUGAUGAUAUUAAAAUACUUGAAUUUUCAUAGCCCAGUCAUGAGCUAACUUAGCACAGCUGGGGGAAUACAGUUUACUGCUUUACCCAAAGGUUAUUUAUGUUUAUAUGCUCAUUAGGGUAUUGAAAAAUGCAUGAGAAGUCUGAAAGUAGCUUAAUAUCGAUAGAGUUAGAUUGCUUGGACCAAAAUUUGUAAUAUAAUAGAGCAUUGAGUGAAAUGCUUGUGUAACCUCUAGACCUAGAGCUUUACCUUAUAUGAUUUAGAGGAUUGUGCUUCAGUCAUGGUUGCUAAUUCUUAGCUUAUAGAUGUAUAUUGUCUUAGGAGUGGGCAGCUUUAGUCUUGCUUUCGGCAGAGGUGGACCACUUUAGUACCCAAACAAGCAGUAGGUUACCAUAUUUUUUCCAUGUCAUUGUUCCUGGGUUAUAACUAAUUCAUUAGUAAUCCCAACCUUUUCAAUAAAUAUUCCAAUCUUGCCAGAAUCCUUAGUGCUUUUAUUCAAUUUGUUGCAAUUACAAUCUACGAUAAUACAUUUUAUUACUUUAAUUUAUAGUGUAUUAAUUGCAGUGUUAUUUCUCAAAAUAUCAUUCAUUUCAUUUAUUUUUCCUACUCAAUUGUGAUAAUUUAGACAAAGAAUAUAAUCCAAUCCUUGCGGGAACGAUACUCACUCAUCACGUUAUUACUUGAUUCAAUGUGUAUACUUGCACAAUUCGCACACCAUAUUAACAUGCGAUAAUAACUAAGAAUUUUCAUAGUUACACAUAAUAUUGGCAUGAUAUAUAAAUGACUUAUCACUUUCAAUAUCAAACACCUAAGUUCAUCAUAUUACAAACUAUAUAGGCAUUAAGGUUUUCAAAUAUAUAUGCAACCAUCAAUAAAUCAUACAGGUAAUUUGAUUAUCCUAGAAUAAUUCAAACAAUCGUUAAUGCAAUUACUUAAUAUGAUGUCGAUUCAUGAAUAAGUUUAUUGGGGUCACAUAGGGCUUUUUGGCUUGUAAUGUUUUGAGGCUUAGGACAAGUAUGGAGUUCAAGAAUAAGAAGCAUCAAAAUGGUUUCAAGCACAAAUAUUGUUUGUCACAUUGUAUUGUUCCCUAUUCUUCCCUUAAGUAACCAUUGCCCGCUAACCACCUUAUUUAUCCUUCUCUCACCUUCCUUAUUUCUCGACAUAGGAAGUCACAACAUACUAUCGCUAGCUCACGUGUUUUUGUGCACUAAUGACAGUUUUUCUACCAUUUUGACUUUGUCACUUUUGAUCUUUUUUCAGCAUAUUUCUCGUUCACGUACUUUUUUCAACUCGUUUUUCUUGCUUUCUUUCUAAAUUUAUCUUUUGUUUUGCACAUAUUGGCUAACCUAUAAUCACUAUAUCACAUUGCUUCUUCCUAUUUCAUUUUUUUUUUACAAAAUCGACCAUGAUGUAUCUACUUAACCUCCAAUAUGUUUGGCCAAAUAUCUAUAUUUGUGCAAUUUGAGACCAAAUAGAAAGGGUAAGUACAUAUUAACAUUUUUGCUCGAGUUUUGCAUAAAGGUUCAUUAAUAAGAGUUUUCUAGCUCAAAAGAGCUACUAAGGAUUGAUAAACAAGGUUAAAUUUUUUUGGCUCUAGUUGUAUACCUAACAAUGCCUUAGGUCAUCCCUAGGUACCUCAAUAUUAACAAAUUUAAUCAGUCAAACAAUCACAAACUCAACUAUUUACCAUACAUACUACCAUGCUCGUUUCCUAUAUUUCUACAUCAUUUGGUAUAUUCAAUUAAUCAAUUUUUAUUUUCAGUGUAAUGUAUAGAACUUAGUAGUCUAGUAAACACAAUCAACCUAUAUACCGACCCCUAACCAAUCACUUGCAUUUCUACAAGCUCAAGCACACAUUUGAAAAUCAAAAACAAAUUUCCUAUGUUACCCCCACACAUUAGAUAACACAUUGUCCUUAAUGUGCAUACUUGAAUAGAUAAGGAAUGAAGUUACCCGAUUGAUCAUGACAUUGUAAUGGUCUAAUGGUGGGUCCUCCCAUCCUUGUUCGUUAUAACCUCAAAAAUGUUGUGCUUCUUUUGUGUGGGGUUCUUACAUAGAAAAUUUUAAAAUAGAAAAGAAGACAAAUAUAAAAAUCUAUUGUUAGCCUUAAUAAUCAAAAGUUAAUUAGAAUCUUUAAAAAUAAAAUUAAUUUUUUAGUUUCUAUCAUCCUAUUUUCCUUCUUUCUCCUCCCUCGCUACCUUGGUCUUUCUCAUUAUGAUGGAUUUGCAUCGGGCCAAACAUGUUUGGCAGAUAAUUAGGGAUUCUCAUGUUGUUCCGUUGUGUAAAUUCUUGAAGAAAUUGGCAUGUUUCUUGCAUCUAUCAUAUCAUUUCAUCUAUUUUUCAUAUUUUCUUUCACCCCUUUCUUGUUUAGAUGUCGAUUUUACUUUUCUUUUGAAUGAAGCUAGGAUGUCCAUAUUUUCUUUUCUCCUUUGGUUCCAAUCUAUGAUUUGCUUUUAGUUGAGUCCUACGUACUGAGUGUACAUAGAAUCGCCUAUUAAGCUUUUUUAUUGGGCACAUGAACUACUCGUUCUCUUCCUUCAAAACCUAUGAGAUGAGGAACGAAAAUCCCGACCUUUUGGCCAUUAACAAAACACUUCGUACUUUGAUGGAUCCAUUGCCCUAUGCUUAUCUGCUUUGUAACAACCCGAUUUAGGAUCUAGCCAGAAUAGUGGUCUCGGGACCAUAAAUCCAUAGUUGAAUAAAUUAUUUUAUAAUUACUUAGAUGUUAUAGUAUGUUUUUAAGAGUACAUGAAAAAGUUGGUGAGAUAAUUGUGACGUUUGUGAGCUUAAUUGUGAAAAAGAACCAAAUCAUAAAAUGAAAAAGUCCUAUUUUGAUAGCUAAAAGAGCCAAAUAGCUCGAGAACCUAAAUUGGGGGUCUUUAAAAGGAAAUUAGACCCUUUAGGGAGGCAUGGCCGGCCAUAGGAGACAAAGGUUAAAAUUUUCAAAAGUUGGUAUAUUAGGUGGCUUAUUUUAUCUAAAAUAGGAGUAAAUAAAGGAAAGAUCAUAUCAUCCCUUUUUCAUCCUCUUUAUCCAUUGAAAAUUAGCCUUUUAAAGGGGUUUGAAAGCUUAGAAAUUUCAGCAACUUGUAAUCCUCACGAGUAAGUGAUUUCCAUACCCUUUGUUGAUGAUUUUUGCAUUUUUGAGACCCUUGAAGCAUAAGCUUUCAAAUGUGGGUACUAUUUUGCAAAAUGAUUAAGAGUUUAGGGUUUUUCCAUGAAAGGAUUUUUAAUUUUUUCUGAGUUUUUAUGGAAGAAAAUGAGUCUUGUGUGUCUUAUAAACAACUUUUGUGAAAGGUGUUAGCAUGAAAACACCUAAAAGGACUAUUUUGCAUAAGUUGUAAAAUAGACGAUAAGUGUGUGAAAUAGUGGGAAUUUGGAGUUUCUAUAAGAUUAGAAAGGGUUCGGCUAGGCUUAAUAUGUGAAGAAAUUCGAUAAAAAUUAAUUUUCGGGCUUAGGGGUAAAAUGGUCAUUUUGCAAAAGUCUAGGGGCAAAUUGGUCAUUUUGCCCAAUUCUGAAUUGUAGAGUGCCUAUAUUGAUAAAGUGACUAAAUAAGUGGAUUUUGUUAUUAUAGAUCAAGAAAUACCGAAUCUGAACCUAGACCGGGGAAAGUUAAACAAAUAGACUAAACCGACUAGUCACAAUAUUUUGUAAUCCGAGGUAAGUUGUUUGCAAAUAGUACAACUACAUUAAUAAUAUAUGUAUUUGAAUUGUAUUGAAAUAGUAAAACUUUGCUGACAUUUUUCGAACCAUUCAAAUUUAACAUCUUUUUGCAACAACUUGGUCAUAGGAGUAGCAAUCAUCGAAAAUCCUUUGACAAAUGUCAGUAAUAACUGGCUAAACCUAAAAAGCUUCUAACUUUAGAUACAUUCCUUAGCAGUUUCCAAUCACCAAUUGCUGAAAUCUUGUUUGGAUCAACCCGAAUACCAUCACCUAAAACGAUAUGUCCCAAAAUCUGACUUCUCGGAGCCAAAACUCACUUUUACUGAAUUUAACAAACAAUCUCUUAUUUCUCAAAGUCUACAAUACAAUUCUUAAAUGUUCGGCAUGCUCAAGCUCAUCUCAAGAAUAAAUCAGGAUAUCAUCAAUAAAUACAACCACAAACUUAUCUAAAUACGGUCUGAAAAUUUGAUUCAUCAGGUCCAUAAAAAUGGCAUGAGCAUUAGUUAGUCCAAAACGCAUAACAAGAAAUUCAUAAUUCCCAUACCUUGUCCUAAAAGUGGUUUUUGGCACAUCCGACUCUUUAACUCUCAACUGAUAGUAGCCAGAUCUCAAAUCAAUCUUUGAGAAUACCGUUGCUCCUUUUAACUGAUCAAACAAGUAAUCAAUCCUCGACAAAGGAUACUUGUUCUUUAUAGUCACCUAGUUGAGUUGUCGGUAAUUGAUACAAAGUCUCAUAGAUCUGUCUUUCUUAUUUACAAAUAACACUAGAGCACCCUAGGGAGAAAAACCCGGUCUCAUAGAACCCUUAUCUGUCAACUCUUGCAACUGAGCUUUCAAUCUUUUCAAUUCAGUCAGAGCCAUCCUAUACGGAGAAAUCGAUAUUGGUGAAGUCCAAGGUACUAAAUCAAUAGCAAACUCAACCUCUCUGAUCAGAGGUAACCCAGGCAACUCUAUUAGAAAUACAUCUAGAUAUUCACAGACUACCGACACUGAUUCAAUUUUCAAUUAAGACAUCUUUGUAUUCAACACAUAAGCAAGAUAAGCUUUACAACCUUUCCUUACGUAGCUCUAAGCAGAUAUAGACGAAAUCACAAUAGGCAAUUCACUUGAUUCAUCGGUUUCAACCCAAAGAACUUCACCAUUUUCACAUUUCAAUUCAAUAGUUUUCUGUCUACAAUUUACUAUGGCAUCAUGUAGUGUCAACCAAUCCAUACCCAAAAUAACAUCGAAUUUGUCAAUUGUAACAACAUUAAGUCAGCCGGAAAACAGUGACCUCAAAUCAUCAAAGGACAAUUCUUGCAAACUUUAUCAACUUGUGACACCCCUAACCCAUAUCCAUCGACGGAUUAUGGAUACAAGGCAUUACUGAUAAAAAACACAAUUUUAAAACAUUCAUAUAUAAAUAUAAUUAAUCAAGUCUGAAUCAUUUAAAAAUAAAAUAUAAUCAUUCACAUUUCAGAACAUACAAAAAAUUACACUUUGCACAUACAGGUCACAACAAAUCUCAACUUGUUAUUAACAGUAUAUAAGGCAUUUAAUUGUACAGUAAUAUUUAUUACCAACAUGGUUUAUCAUGCUUCUAUUCCCACUCAUGUCAUUAUACACACAGCCACCAAAAUCAUACACACAUUCUUACAAAUUAAUGAAUCAUAAUGCACAUCUUAAUUACCACAUAUACGGCUUAAGUAAUAAUUAAUUUGAAAUUGCAUGCUUUACACCUUACUACAAACUUAUACAACCAUGCGAUAUAUAGUGUUCAUACAUUCCCAUAUAAAUCAUUUAGAACAUUAGUUAUUAAAGUCUGUACAUAACUACUUCAGUCAUUAAAUUACACGCAGUUGGCCUUAGUAAAUUUUAAACAUUUCAUGCACAUACCAACAAGAAGUACACUUAUCAUAUAUGCAAAUUAGUCUGCUUAAAAUUUCAUAUUAAAUAACUAAGUAAAAGACAUCAUUUGGACAUCUCAAAUUAUUGUUCCCAUAGUGCCAUACAUGACCCAACUUUAAAAGCAAACUCUUGGUAAACACGUUUAAAUGUACAAUCCUAUUACAUAAAUUAAUAUAUAAUCACAUAUGUAUAUUUAGUACAUUAUAUCAUGGUCGAACAUGUUAAUAAUGCAUAUGUACAUAAUACUUAACUUAUCCUAAAAUAACAAUCAGACUUAACAUUGAAUGCAUGUUAAACAAUCGACCAAAUAUUCAUGAAACACAUGCAACAUAUAUCACUUUACAACCAAAUCAAUCAAACUAAUAAACAUUUAUCCAUCACAAUUAACUAUUUUGCAUUUCAUAUCUCUACUACCAAUUAUCAAUUUCAAUAAAUACAUAUAAUGCUUUAAUUCUUUUAUAGCUGAAUUUACUACCUAACACCACAUGCAUAUCUAAGCUUCCAUUAGUAGUUUACCAACAAUCAAUCUUAUUUAACAAUCUAGCCAAGAACACGUAAGACCAAACUUAAUCAUUUUAAGCAAAUCAUUUUCAAAGCAUUUAGUACCUAUCACGAAUAUUAUACCUUCGCAGCACAUAAUUAUAAAACUAAAAUAAACAUUACUCAUACUCACCAUGACUGAAUUCAAAAAUAGAAGUUUAGCCAUUUUCGCAUGGCUUAUAUACAUAACCAACUUUCAGAAUUUCAAAGGUAAAUUCCAGCCUAUACAUGCCAUAAUUUAAGUUUAGCUAAUAAGGUACCAAAAUAGUAGAUAGUGUGAUGAGCUUGGCUGACAGUCCCUGAGCUUGUAGCUUGACUUCAAAAUCUAUAAAAUUGAGUAACAUAAUACACAAAGUAAGCUACCAUAGCUUAGUAAGUCAUAAGAAAAUAAACAUAUUGAUAACAUAUUCGAAUUGACUAAUUAUAAUAUCAUUAUCAAUACUUAAUCUUAAAUCUACAAAGGAGAUAAAAUAAUAUAUUUUAUGCACCAUAAAUACCUAGGCCGAAUGUUCACCUAAACUAUUUAAUCAAAAGUUAUUCAACUUUCAAGCCACAAUGUCAAUACACAUUCAAACAUAUAUUUAUACAUUCGAAUCGACUCAAGACCCAUAAUAUGACAUUUUACACAUAUAUUUCCUAUGUAGUCGAUUAUACACAUUCAAACAUAUGUAUAUAAAUAUAGUUAAAAAUCUCUUUAAUAAAACUUAAGUUACUCGCCUUCCAAGCCAAGAUCACAUAUCGUAUUCGUACAUAUUCCUUAUUAAAUUCAUACACCACUUGUAACAUACAUAAAUUAACUUACUUACCUUGUUUCCAUAUAUAACAUAUUACGACAUACCUGAUUUUUCAGCUCAUUUUUCGUAUUUAUUCACAAUUUAUCCAUGCCCGAUGAACCAUUCGAAAUUGGGUAGGACACUCGGAUAAUCACACAUAUAUCGUACAUACAUGUAAUUUCUUAUCGGUGCCACUGUCCCAGACAGGGUCUUACUCGUAAACACAUAUCGGAAUCACAUAUCGAUGCCAUGGUCUUACUCGCACACAUAUAUUGGAAUCCUAUGUCAUGACAUAUGUAUCCUAACUAUUCCUAAGGUUCAUACGAGGCUUUCGGGCAUCAUAACUCGGUCGAUACAAAUUUGGAAACAUGGUAACCAAGCUUAUUCACAUUCUGCUUUAACAUGUAAUAAAUCAUCCAAUUAAUUUUAGCAUAUAUAUUACAUUUAAUUAAAAUUAAGUAUGUCUAUUUGCUUAUAAACUUACCUCGGACAACGAAAAAUCGGUACGGAUUGACUAGUCGACAACUUUCGUUUUCCCCCGAUCCAAAUCCAAUUUCUUUGGUUCUUGAUCUAAACAUAUUCAAAUUAAGCUCAUUCAAAGAUAUUUUUAUUCAAUUUAGCCCAAAAACACAUAAAUGGACAAAUUACCAUUUUACCGCUAACAUUUACAAUUUUUACAAUUUAGUCCCUAUUGCAGAAAACACAAAAUACACAAAAUUUCAAAGUACCCAUGUUAGGCCGAAUGGUACCCAUACCUAUAUAAGCCCAUAUAUUUCAUUAAUUUCACAUAUUAGUUCCUCAAGUUAUUAUUUUUGCAAUUAAGUCCUAAUUAUUCAAAAUCAUGAAAAACUCCAAUACAAAACAUGUUAAUAUGAAACAUAUCUUUCAUAUUUCAUCAUCAAACAAAAAAAAAGUCACAAGUUAUCAACAAUGGCACCACUCAAACUAUUCAUCAAAAUAAAAAAUUAAAGCGUGGGUCUUGAAGAUUACUAAGCAACGAUCUCAAAAACGUAGAAAUUAUCAAAAUCUGGACUAAAUUCAUACCUUGAUUAAGCUUUACGAUUGGUCGAACCCUAACUCUUGUUCUUUUUUUUUGUUUAUAUUUGGCUAAAUGAUGAAGAAAUAAAAGAUUAUUUAAGUUAUCAUAUAAUAUAACAUAUAUACUAACUUAUUAUUACAUGUUUUACAUUUUUAACCUUAUUUAUCAUAUUAUAAAACCAUUAUGCCAUGGCCACUAUCGUCCACUUCACUUAGUAAUGGGCAAUUUGCAACUUAAAGGCUUCCACUUAAAAUGCCAAGUACAAUUCAGCACCUUUUGAAUUAACCACCAAAUUUUCAUUUUACGCGAUUAAGUCCUUUUAUUUAAUUGGACACUUAAACGACAAAAUGAAAUCGCGAAAAUUUCACAGAUAUAAAUUCACACAAAACAAACAUAGAAAAUAAUUUUAAAAUAUUUUUUUGACUCGAAUUUGUAGUCCCGAAACCGUCGUUCCGAUUAGGGUCUAAAUUGGGCUAUUAUACAACUAGCACAUGUUUGCCUAAGGGGUUUGACACUUUAAUGACAAACUCAGUAAACUCAACAGGCUAAUUCUUACUAGAUACCAAAUUCACACAAACAUAAGAAUGAGUCGAUCCAGGAUCAAUCAAUGCAAUAACAUUAGUAUCAUAGAGAGAAAAUGUACUGGUAAUCACAUCGGGAGAUGAUGCAUCCUCACGAGCACACAUGGCAUAAGCUCUAGCAGGUGCUCUAGCUUCGAAUCUCACAGCUGAAUCCUUCGUCAAACCUUUACUGCUAGUUCCAUUCCUGGUAUUUCUCGGCGGCCUACCUCUAUUAGUAGUAUUACUCUGCCUUCUACUUGAAAUUUUUCUUCCUCAGCCAUCUUAGGGCAAUCUCGGAUAAAAUGCUCUUGAGAACCACACUUGAAACAAGCUCGUUCAUUCAUCCUACACUCGCCAGGAUGUCAUCUACCACAAUGCUGACAUUCAGGUACCUAACAUUACCCACACUUGCCAUUAAAGUAGCUUCAGCUUUAGGACCCGAAUAUUGCUUCCCGCAGUCCUUGUAUGAAUACCCAGCUGAAACAUUCAAAUAAGAAUACAUUUCUCUGGAUUUCUUUGACUGAGAUUGAAAUGGCUUACUCAUCGGCCUUUUUCUUGCAUCUUUAGCCUCACUUUCGGCCUUUCUUUUCUCUUUGCUUAGUUCUUUAGCUUUGCAAGCUCGUUCAACCAAUACAACAAAUUCUUUUAGUUCUAAGAUUCCAACUAACAGUCUGAUGUCCUCAUUCAGCCCAUCUUCGAACCUUUUACACAUAAUAGCCUCGGAAGAAACACACUCUCGGGCAUACUUACUAAGCCUGAGAAAUUCUCGCUCAUACUCUGUCACUGAUAUUCGGCCCUAUUUCAACUUAAGAAAUUCUUUACAUUUUCGAUCGAUGAAUCGCUAACUAAUAUAUUUCUUUCGGAAUUCCUCUUGAAAGAAUUCCCAUGUAACCCUCUCCCUCUGUACCACAGAAGUAGUGUCUUCCACCAGUGAUAUGUUGUGUCCCUCAAUAAUGAUAUAGCAUAUUUCAAGCCAGAACUCAGCUCUCUUGGGGUCAUGAUAACUCAUCAAACACCCUGAUAGUAUUCUCAAGCCAGAACUUGACUCUCUCGGGGUCAUCAACUAUAUUUUUUUCUAAAUUCUUCAGCCCCUUGCUUUCGAAUCUUAUCAGCUAGAGGUUAUUCAGUCUUACCAAUUCCACACCUUGAGGAGCUACAGGAAUUGAUUCGGGAUAAAGAGGGGUGCAAGAUGUUGAAGAAUCGAAUUUGUUCAAACAAACUCCGAAUACCACUCGUUCAUAAUGUAGAGGAAGGCUUCCCUAGCCCCUACUCCUUGACUAACCAUGAAAGGUCUACUUUUAGAUGGCGCUGCCCUUUGAGUAGGAGCCGGCGCAUUACAUUCUACCUCAUCAACUACAGCUCGACAGGGAUCCAUUUACUAUAUGAAAACACAGUUUAAAAUUGUCAGAAGUCAUCACACUAUCACAGUUUAUUCAUGGCAUGUAUAGCUAGACUUUUGCACAUGCUAUGUUAGUCUAAGAAUCGACUAAACUAUAGUUCUGAUACCACAAAAUGUAGCACUCCUUACCCGUAAUCAAUUCCAGAAUAGGGUACGAGGCAUUAUCGGACUUAUCACAUGAACAAACAUACAAUUUUGGGUUAUAAAUUUGCGCCCAAAUUAAAACCAUUCAUAUACAAUCACAAUGUCCCUAUUACGAGCCUACAACACCCAUAACAUGCAUUGGAGGUGGUUCGCAACUAAACUGACAACUUUAGAAAUUUUUACAAAACUUAGAAAAUUUUUGCCCUAAACAGGGGUCACACGCCUGUGUGGAUAGGGGACACGACCGUGUGGGCAGGUCGUGUGGUCACACACUCCCGUGUCUUGACUUAGUGUAACUCUCUAACUUGUAACUCAUGAACAAAUUGAGAUCACACGGCCAAGUCAUACGCCCGUGUGCUAGACCGUGUGGAAAAUUAAUUUUCAUAAAAUAGGUGUAGACUUCAUACGACUAGGGCACACGCCCAUGUUCGAGAGGUGUCAUCCACACGACUGAGACACACGCCCGUGUCUCUGCACGUGUGCUCAAUUCUGAGCAUUCUGUUUCUCAAAACUAAGGUGGAGGGGACACACAGCCUAAACACAUGCCUGUGGGGCAAACUGCGUGUCGUACAUGGCAUAGACACACACUCAUGUGUCAACCCGUGUGGACAAAAAUAAGGCUAUUUACCAAGCCAUUUUGCCAGCCUUUAAUGCACACACCUACACAACAUAACAUAGCACCAAUCCAAGCAUCUACAUAAAAAUUUGGAUCUCAAGAACCUAAAAAACAUUAAAAACGGGACUAGAACAGACUUACAAUCGAUCUUGGAAGCUUGACAAACCCUAGCUAUGGUUUCUCAUGCAAUAUUCGGCCAUGGGGAUGAAAUUUGGAGAAGAUGGGCACUUUUAUUUUGCUUAAUUUGUCAUUAUUUACCAAAUGACUAAAAUGCCCCUAACUUAAAACAUAAAAAUUUUCUUACUUCAUGUCCAUUUUGUCCAACUUAAAGUAUAAUGGUUUAAUUAUCAACUAAGGACCUUCAAUUUAAAAUUUCAUUGCAAUUAAACACAUCUAGCUUCUAGAACACAUUUUGCAUCUAUUACAAUUUAGUCCUUUAAGUCAAAUUGGACACCUUAUCGAUAAAAUUUCUUAAUGAAAUUUUCACAGAAUCAUUCAAUCAUACUGUAGACCUUAAAACGAUAUCACAAUAAAUAUUUCUACUUCAGAUUUGUGGUCCCACAAUCACAGUUUUGAUUUGACCCCAAAAUGGGUUGUUACAUGAAUAGAUCAACAAGUAGUUCAUUUAACUAACAAACCUUUCACAUUUUCAAUGAUAAUCUUAUAUGUGAACUUCAAAACUUCUUCAAUUUAAGUUUAUACGGUUCAUGUAUAUACCUAUACCAUCUUGUAUCAAUCUCAUACAUAACCACGUCUUUCAUUUACAUGUUGAACCAUUCGAAAUGCUAUCGGAUACAUUGGAAACUCACACCUGAAGUGCCACAUAUAUAGUAGAAGCUAUCUCAAUCUCAUAUCACAUAUACUACUCGCAAUAGAGCUAUCAACGGGCCUGUUCACACAAGUUGUGGGUCAAGACUUAGCUACGCGGUAUUGCUCACACAAGCUGUCAAGUAACCAUAACACAUGCCGGUAUACUCAGCCACCGGUAGUAUGUACAGGACUAGCACCUAGAUCACAUAAUCACAACAAUCCCUAAUGACAUGUCACUAGUAUCCAAAUCUAUUCCUAGGGUUCAACCAAGAUUUCGAAUGCCAAAUUAUUAUAAAAUCGCUGUUGAACAUGUCUAAAGUCUUGUAUUCAUAGCUUAUGCAUUAUCAAAGCAUUUAAAAUACAUUUAUUAUGAAACUUAUUACAUACGAACUUACCUCGGAUGUAAAAACGACGAAACAGAUCAAUUAGUCAAUAACUUUGUUUUUCCCUCGAUCUAGAUCCAAGUUUCGCUUUUCUUGAUCUAUAUGUAAUCAAAAUUAACUUAUUUAAUCAUCUCUUUAUUCAAUUUAGACCAAAAUUCACUUUAAGAUACUUUUACACAUUUGCCCCUAAUAUUUCACAACUUUUACAAUUUAAUCCUUAUUUCAUAAAAACACAAAUUUAAUACAAUUUAAUACUAACCCAUGCUAUUCAAAUUUCUCUAGUACUCAUAUCAGCCAAUAUUUUUCAUUUAUUUCACAUUUUAACCACAAUUCUUUUUAUAUUUCAUAAUUUAAUCCCUAAUUUGCAUUUUCCUAACAAUCACUUUAUAAAACUUGUAUAAUUCACAACAAACAUUCAUAAUCUAUCAUCAAGCAUCAAAACACACGUAUUCAUCAAUGGUAACAUCCUAAAUCUUUAACAAUUUUCCAAAAUAGUCCCUGGGCUAGUUAGACCUAGUUUCAACGAUCUCAAAAACAUAGAAAUCAUUAAAAACGAGACAAAAAUCAUACCUUAAUGAGCUAUUAAACCAUGGAUGAAUGAAAAACCUAAAAGAAUGGCUUUCUUCGCAAGAUGAUGACAUUAGGUGAAGAUUUUAUUUUGUUUUAUUUAUUAUAACUUAAUUUCUAAAUACCAAAAUUAACCUUGGUUUUAUAACAUAAAAAUAACUUAAUACUUGUCCAUACUUGUCUACUCAAGCUAAUAAUGGUAAAAUUACCACAUAAAGACUCUUAAUUUAAGGUUCUAUAGCUAUUUAGCACCUUUAGCUAAUGGAACAAAAGUUUUACACUUUACGCGAUUUAGUCUUUUUUGUUGAAUUAAACACUCAAAUGAUAAAAUAAAUAUUUUGACCUCAGAUUUGUGGUCCUGAAACCACUGUUCUGGUUUGACCAAAAAUGGGUUGUUAUAACUCUCCCCCCUUAGGGAUUUUUGUCCCCGAAAAUCUUAUCAGUAAAGAGGUUAGGGUAUUGUUUUCUCAUAGCUUCUUCGGGCUCCCACGUAGCCUCUUCGACAUCGUCCCAUUGCCACAAAACUUUUACUAAAUCUAUGCUUUUAUUUCUCAAUUGUUUAACCUCUCAAGCUAAAAUUCUAAUUGGUUCUUCAUUGUAUGUCAUACCAGGUUGAAUCUCAAUAUCUGACGAAGAAAUUAUGUAUGAUGAAUUUAAUAUAUAUCGUCCCAACACCAAUACAUGAAACACAUUAUGGAUCUUUUCUAAUUCUGACUAUAAUGCUAACUGAUAUGCCACUAGAUCUAUUAUUUCAAUGAUCUUAUACGGGCCGAUGAAUCGUGGACUUAGUUUACCUUUACAACCAAAUCAAAGGAUUUUUUUUCCAUGGAGAAACUUUCAGAAAUACUUUGUCACCAAUCUAAAAUUCAAUAUCUUUUCAUUUCAAAUAUGCGUAAGAUUUCUCUCGAUCUGAAGCUACUUUCAGAUUGUCGCGAAUUACUUUCACUUUAUCUUUAGUCUCUCAGAUCAAAUCAACCCCGUCAAUACUUUUAUCUCUCAACUUGGUCCAGUACAAUGGAGUUCAGCAUUUGCAACCAUACAAAGCUUCGUACAGUGCCAUCUUUAUACUCGAUUGAAAAUUGUUGUUAUAUGCAAAUUCAACCAACAACAAAUAUUUCUCCCAGUUGCCUUUAAACUCUAAAACAUAACACCGAAGCUUAUCUUUGAGAAUUUGUAUUACUCUCUCAGAAUGACCACCGGUUUGCGGAUGAAAUGCUAUACUAAAAUUCAACUUCGUACAUAGAGCUUCUUGCAAUUUCUUCCAAAAUCACGAUGUAAACCUUGGAACUGGCACCUCGUGCAAUCUAACAAUCUCUAAAAUAUACAAUUCAACCAAUUUAUCAAUCUGUAUGUACCAGAAAAAAAUGUGCUAAUUUCAUCAGUCGAUCUACGACAACCCGUAUAGUAUCUUUCUUAUUUAGAGACAGAGGCAAUCCCGAUACGAAAUCCAUCAUAACUCUAUGCCACUUCCACUUUGGUAUCAUCACAGGCUAUAGUAAUCUCGAAGGUACUUGGUGUUCAGCUUUGACUUGAUGACAAACUAAACAUCUCGAUACAAAUUCUAAAAUGUCUCGUUUCAUGCCCGACAACCAAUACAAUUAUUUCAAGUUAUUGUAUAUUUUGGUACUCCCCGGAUGAACAGAUAAACAACCACAAUGUGUUUCGUGUAAAAUUUUCUAAAUAAGCUUGAAAUUCUUUGGUACACAAUUUUUGCUUCAGAAUGUUAAACAAUCAUUGGCUCUAAUCUGAUAGUCUGAAUCAUUAUUUGACUCACAUUGCACUCUUUUAGCUUGAAACUUGGGAUCACACUUUUGAGCUUCACAAAUUUGCUAAAGAAAAAUCGGUUUAGCUUUCAACUCUGCUAGAAUCAAACCAUCAUCGGACAAAUUCAGUCUUGUAUUCAUCCUUGCAAAAGCAUCUAGAGAUUUUUUACUCAAAGUAUCUACGACUACAUUUGUAACAUCCCAUUUUUCAGUGAAAUAGGAACAGUAGUUUCGGGACCACAAAUCUGACCCAAAAUAUAUUUUAUUUUUAUUUUCUCAUAUGGCCCGUAAUAUGUUAGAAAUGAUGUGUGAAAAUUUUGAUAUGAAAAUUUUAUCGAUUACGUGUUUAAUUACGAGAAUGACUAAAUCACAUAAAAUGUGAAAGUUGAAUUCUAGUAGCUAUACUUAUCAAAUAGCUACGGCAUUCAAAAAUUAAGGUCCUUAUAUAGUAAUUAGACCAUUAAGGGCAAUACAUAAAUACUUAAUUAAUUAAAAGAUGAAAAGAAAUAAAUCAUUUUAUUUUCAUCAUCUUCAACCUAAAACACAUGGAAACCCUAGGAGAGAGAAAGAAACUUUCAAGGCCUAAUUGGGUAAGUUCUCCUGCCCCAUUUUUAGUAAUUUUGGUAUUUCUGAAACCAGGAUAGCUUAAUCUGUAACAGCCCGAUUUAGGGCCAAAAUGGAAUAGUGGUUUCGAAACCACAAAUUCGAGAUAGCAAUAAUAGUUUUAUUAUCAUUUUAAGGUCUAUGGCAUGAUUCCAUGACUGUGUGAAAAUUUUGUUUAGAAAUUUUAUUGAUAGAGGGUCCAAUUUGAUAUUUAGGACUAAAUUGCAAAAGUUGUAAACUGUGUGUUCUAGUUCACAAAGUUACUAAGUACUUGUGAGUAAUGGGUUUUUAAAGUGGAGGUCCUUGUAUAGUAAUUAGACCAUUAUACUAGUUUGGACAAAAAUACCUAAAGGAAGAUAAAACAUCAUAGUUUUUAAUGAAGGGUAAUUUAGUCAUUUGGUAAAUAAAAUAAUAAAAUGGGAAAACAAAGCCAAAAUUUGGUAUCAUCUUUAUCAAGUUGGCCGAAACUCUCAUAGGUACCAUAGCUAGAUUUUUUUUUCCAAGCUUUCAAGCUCAAUAGUAAGUGCAUUCAAGCCCCGUUUUUAAUGUUCUUUACAUUUUUAAAAUCUUCCUAGCUCGGUUUACCUAUUUCUACCAUUAUUUCGAGUUAGGGUUUAUGUUUAAAAAUUUACCCAUGAAUGAUAUGCAUGUAUUUUGAUGUUUUAUGGUAGAAUAUGAAUGUUUGAAGUUAGGAGAACGAUCUUUUCUAAGCGAUUUUUAGCGCAAACGAGCAAAAUAGUAUAAUCGGUAAAAAUACCUAAUGCUCAUAAGUACAUGUUAGAGUGAGAAUUUGAUGUUGUUGUAGAAGAGAAAAAUGUUCAGCACGUCAUAAAACAUAAGAAUAAGGGCUAAAAUUAAAUUUUCGUGUAACACCCCGUACCCGAGUCCGUCGCCGGAGUCGGACACGAGGGGUUUGCAGACUUAAAUCACUUCUUUGCACAAUCCAUUUUAAAUUUUCCAGGCAAGCUGGCUAACUGCGUCACUGUCACCUUAAAAAUCAUAUCUUGAGUGUCACAACUCAAAAAUCAGCUUUGUGAUUUUUCCCUGAAACUAGACUCAUAUAUGCAUCUAUAAUUUUUUUUCUAGAAUUUUUGGUCAGGCCAAUUAGUACAGUUUAUUAGUCAAAGUCUCCCAUGUUACAGGGAUCGACUACACUGACCUUUGCGCAUUACGACUUGGAUAUCUCCCUGUACAGGGCUUCAAUACUGAUGUCGUUUGUUUGCAUAGAAACUAGACUCAAAAAGGAAUCUAUUCAUAUAUGGUAUGACUUCUAAUUAUCUCUGGUUAAUUUAUAAUGAAUUUCCAAAGUCGGAACAGGGAAUCCAGAAACCGUUCUGGCCCUGUCUCACGAAAACUUUAGCAUCUCAAAAUAUACUGUUCAUAUGAACGUUUCGUUACUUUCCUAUGAAAAUAGAUUCAUCAAGGUUCGUUUGCAUAAUUUAUUCACUAUUUAAUUCCAUUCCUACUAUUUUUAGUGAUUUUCCAAAUCUACAUCACUGCUGCUGUCAGCAUCUGCCUUUAAGGUAGACUUUACCAAUUUCAUAGUUUCCAUGAUUCAACUAGCCCUUUUAGCAAAAAUAGCACAAAUUAUGAUAGUGAUUAACCAUUCCCAUGGCCAAUCCUUGUUAAGCAUAUCCAUACCAAAUGAGCAUAACAUUAUGCUCAAACAUAUAUAAGCCAUUUUCGCAUGGCUAUCCAAAUUUAUACAAAUCCAAAGGGUCAAUGACCCACAACAAAAAGGGUAGUCCUAUACAUGCCAUUUCGAAGUUCAACCAAAAUUGUACCAAAAGGGGGCUUUGAUAGUGUGGGCGAAUUCGACUUCAAAAUCCCGAGUCCGAUAGCUGAAGAACCAAAAUCUAUAAAACAGAGAACCAAAGAAACGGAGUAAGCAUUAAAUGCUUAGUAAGUUUUGAGCAAAGAAUUUAGACACAACCAAAGUAUAGCAUUCAUGUAGCUAAACGGAUAAUUUCAUAUGCACAAAUUUUCAAUAUCAUACUUACUUCACAUUACCAACCCUUUUAUUCAUACACAAAGAUCAACUUAGCCAAAGGCCGGUAGCUCAUUUAUCAACUGAGCGAAUACUUAUUUGUAAGGGCUCAACUAAUUCAAAGCACAUACGAAACAUACCUCAAUGUUGGGAUGUUACAAGCGUAUUAACUGAAAUUUUUACAGCAAGAUCAUUCAUUCCCAAAUCACGUACCUUCGGAAUUUAACCGGAUAUAGCUACUCGUUCAAAUGCCUUCGGGACAUAGCCCGGUUAUAGUAACUCGCACAAAUGCCUUCGGGACGUAACCCGGAUUUAGUAACUCGCACAAAUGCCUUCGGGACUUAACCCGGAUUUAGUAACUCGCACCAAUGCCUUCGGGCUUAGCCCGGAAUUAGUAUCUCGCACAAAUGCCUUCGGAUCUUAGUCCGGAUAUGGUCACUUAGCACAAAGCCUUCGGGACUUAGCCCGGACAUCAUUCGAAUAACCAUGCACAUUUAACGAUAAAUCAUGACACAUUCGUAUUUCAUUUUCAUUAGCAAAACUCAAACACAAGACACUUAUCACUCUUGCCAUUUUGGCUCAAUAGCCACACACAACGAGCACGAUUUUGAUUUGCUUAAAACAUGAUCUAAUCAAAUCAUAAUUUAAGCUCUAUUACUCAAGAACUUACCUCGGAUGUUGUCGAACGGUUUCGACGGCUAUUCGACCACUUUUUCCUUCCCUUUAUCGGAUUUAGUUCCCCUUUGCUCUUGAGCUUAAUUCAAACAAAUUUAACUCAUUAAAGUCUCAUUUGGCUAGCUUAUGGCCGAAUAUGACAAGGAGUUUGAUAGGUCAUAUGGCCACCUUUUAGCUCAAAUACACAAUGGUCAUACGCAUUUUUAAUCACAUCAAGCAAUUUAAUACAAUUCAUUCGAACAUCAAAAGAGAAGCUCAAGGUACUUAGCCCAUAUAUACAUUAGACACUAGAGUCACAUAUGUACGAAAUCACGAAUCGAAUUCAACAUACUAGCUAGUAUUUCCCCUUAGCCGAAUUUUCUAAGUCAAGCUAAAGCCAUCAAUAGGCUACCUAUGGCCGAACAUACACAUAACUUAUGUACUUAUUCAUGUGGCCGAACAUACAUGUCUAUGUUGGGGCCGAUUGCAUCACAACACCAUACCAUUUCAAUUUUUGGUCAUGGUUAAACAAAGAACUUAAUGUCUCACUCAAAAAUGCUAAAAAGAAGAUUCAAGAAUCAUCAAUCCACCAUCACAUGCACCAUUACAAAGCUUCACUUUUAGCAUGCAAAUGAUAUCAACACCAAUCCACCUUGGCCGAAUAUCAUCUCCAUGACAUAGUAAAGAUUUGAACCAUGGGCUAUUUAGAACUCAAGCUAACUACUAAAACAUGCAUGCAUCUCAUGGAACAUCAUCAAACAUACCUUAGUCUAUCAAACCACCAUAGCCGAUUUCCUCAAAGCUCUUUUUCCUUCUUUUUCUUUCUCCUAUUCGGCCAAGAACAACAUGAGAGCUUUUCUCUUCCUUUUUUUUUUGGUCAUGCAUGAGAAUGAUGAACACAUUUUUUUUUCUCUUUGUUUUCUUCCUUCAAUUUCUUAUUAGUUUAUUGCCCAUGCUUCUUAUUUUAUUCUUCCAUUAACACAACAUGUUUCAUGACAUGUUUUGCCCAUGCUUCUUAUUUUAUUCUUCCAUUAACACAACAUGUUUCAUGACAUGUUUUGCCCAUCAUCCCUUGUCAUGGCCGGCCACUAGUACUUAAAUGGGGGGAAAUUGACAUGCAAGUCCACCCCUUUGAUUACAUGCACUAUUAGGCCACUUGCAUUUGCCUAGCACAUUUCUAAAUUUUCUCACAUAAGUCCUAUCAACUAAAUUCACAUUCAAUUAACUAAAUCGAAGCUUAAAACUUUCACACAUUUAUAUUCACAUAUUUUAGGCAAUAAUUAUCACAUUCAAAUAAUUUGGUGACUCGGUCUAGCGGUCCCGAGACCGCUUUCUGACUAGGGUCACUUUAGGGCUGUCACAUUUCGAGCCUAGGGGCAAAAUCAUAAUUUUGUAGAAGUUAGGGGGCAAAAAUGUAAUUUUUGCAUAAUGUGAUUUUUGGAUUGAAAUAAAUAGUAUGAGUGUUAAAUGAGCUAAAUGUGUUGUUAUAGAUCAAGAAAGGCGUGGAAUCGACCUCGAACGGGGGAAGGAAAAGGUUUUGGACUAAAUUGCAAAAUUUCCAUAUUUUGCACCGAGGUAAGUUUGUAUGUAAAUAUUACAUUAAAUUCAUUUACAUUUUUGUAUUUCAGCCUAUUUUAUAUAUUUUAGUUGAUUUUGAAUCAUAAAUCAACUAUUGGAAGACUGGAAAUAAGUAAUAGUGAGAGAAAUCCCGGUUGAACUUUCGGAAAGAUUGAAUAAUAUAGAUGAAAUAUAGCUAGGUCACAUGUAUGGUGCUGAGUGCACAUCAUGUGUACAAGAGAGCUACGAGAUACUAUGUAGUAGCUAGGUCACAUGUGUGAUACGGGAUGUAUCCUAUGUAGACAAGAGAGCUACGGAAGAGGAUAAAUGUAGCUAGGUCACAUGUGUGAUUCCAAGUGAAGGACACCAUGUAGACAAGAGAGCUACGAGAUAAAUUGGCUAGGUCACAUGGGUGGUACUAAGUGUUCACCAUGUGUACAAGAGAGCCGAAUUAUAUGGAAUAUGAUGGUGGAGCUGUGUGCUGAAACCACCAAGUAUCGAGGAUUGAUCCAAAUUGUUCAACGGGAUGAUUUUAUAGUGACAUUGUAAUCAUGAACCUACACUUGUGAUGUAUGAAAUGUGGUGAAAGUGAAUUGUGAUAUGUAGGCUAAAUGAGGUUAAUACAAAGAAAGUGUGAAAGAGUGAAUUAGCAAUAAUACUAUUUUGGACAGUUGCAGUGAUGGGAAUUUAAAAAAUCACCAAAAAUAGUAGCAAUUUAAUUAGAGGCUGCAUGAGAUAUGAAUUUAAAGCUUAAUGAGUAUACUUUCAUGUAAAAGAAGCAUAGCAAAUAAAGGAACUUUAUAUCUUGAGAUAUUUAUAUUUGUGUGUGACUUGCUAAGAAUGACUAUGUAAUCCCCUGUUCUAAAUUUGAAAAAUAAUUAACAAUUGUACAAAACUAAUUAAGAAAUAUAGUUUAUAUUUCUAGAUUCAUUAUUGAGUCUAGUUGUAAAUGAAACAAAUUUUAUGGAUAUUUGAAUUGUGUACUGAGAGAAAUUCAAUUUGUAGUGAACAGAGGUCAGAUCAGUCGAGCUGUAUAACAGGGGAAAUUUUAACUAAUAAAAUGUACUAAUUGGCUCUACCAAAAAUUCUAGAAAAAAUUUAGUAAGAAGUAAUUUGAGUAUAGUUUCAGGAAAAUUUUACGGAUUUUAAUUUCAAGUUUUUUAACUCGUUUUAUGAUUUAUUUAGUGAGUAUGACGCAGUAGAGACAGCUUGACCAAAGUGGAGUAAAUGGUGAAAUUAAAAGUAGAUACACUUGAGUUAUUGUGUAAACAUAUUAGAUUCUUUAUUCAUUAUUUACAUACUUGCUUACUAAGUUACAAUCUUACCUUCUUUUCUUUCUUUUUUCUUAUACUGUCGUCCAGCUUGCACAGGAGUCAAUGAUCAUUGAAAAUCUGCUUGCACUAUCAAUAUUUUUGGGUAUUUGAACUAAAAAUUUUGAAUUAUGCCAUGUAUAGUAGACAUAGUUAUUUUGUUACGUGUCAUAAUUUUCUAGGUUUUAAAAUAUUAAGUAUAGUAAUUGACCGAUUAUUUUGUACGAAGCCUUUGAAAUUGGCUAAUAUUAUUCGGCAUAUGUUAUAAUGAUUCAUGAUCUAAUUUGUAUGCCAUAUUUUUGUCUUGGUUUUAUUUAAUGGUAUGCACUAUGAUUCGGUAAUACCUCUGUGACAGCCCAAAAUUGACCCUAGUCGGGAAGUGGUUUCGGGACCGCUAAACCGAGUCAUAAAAAUAAUUAGCUGUCAUAUUUGAUGCUUAUUAUGUGUAUAUAUGCAUGUGUGAAAAUUUCAUAUUUGAAUUUUUUUUAAUUGUAGGUGAAUUUCAGUAAAUAGGACUUAUGUGAGAAAAAUUUGAAAUGUGAUAGGUCAAAGCAUAAGGAUCUAUUAGUGCAUGAAAUGAAAAGGGGGACUUGCAUGUCAAUUUCCCCCCUAAUUAGUAGUGGCCGGCCAUGACAAGUAUGGUAGACCAAGUGUGAUGGGCAAGAACAUGUCAUAAACAUGUUAAGUUAGUGUUUCAUGGGAAGUAUGAUAAAAUAAGGAGCAUGGGAAUAAAAUAAUGAAAGGGAAUAUGAUGAAAACAAAAAAAAAAGUGUGUGGUUGUUCCCCCAUUUUGCCGAAACUAGAAAAAAAAAAGAAAUGCUUCAUCCUUUGGUUCUUCUUGGCUGGUUUGAAAGGAGGAAGAAGAGAGGUUUCGGUCACCUUUAGCUUAAGGGGAGGUUAGUAUGUUGUGUUAAAUUCUUAAGUUUUAAACUUGUUUCUAGUUAAUUAGCAAAUUUCUUACACAAACCAUGGCAAAAUUUCGAAAUCUCGGUGAUGGCUUGAGCAUUCGGUUUUGGUUGUUGAAAGGAAUGAGUUGGAGGUUGGAUCAUGUUAAGAUUCGGCCUUGUACAUAAACAUUAAGAGUUUGAUGUUUUUGCGAUUUUUGGAAGGUAAAUAAGGUUAUACACAAGAUAAAUACUAAGAUUUUGGUUGACUUGUUUUAGUGAGGUUCGGCCAAGGACCUUAUGUGCAAGUUUAUUCGGUUUAAGUAGAGAAAACGUGACGGGUAGAUAUGAAGUAAUGUGUAUAUUGGUUCGGCUGCUAAGCAAGGAAAUAAUUGUUAGUAACAUAGUAUCUAUGCACUUAUGUAUAUAUAUGUAUGUACAAAUAACCUAUUUAGCUAUGGAUAUCUAAGGUGUUAAAUAAUGAAAUUCUUGAUGACUUGGGUUAAAUAGCAUUCGACCAAGGACUAUAUGGGCUUGUUAAUUCGGUUUAAGUGAAGAAACUAUGAUAGAGAAAUAUGACUAAAUUGUGGACUUUGACAAUUUAAAUGAUGCAUUUGACUUGUGUACCGACCUAGGACGAUAUGUGUUUCUAUAUGAAGUUAGAUGGUGUUGAUGAAGUUCGGUAAUGCAUGAUGUUUAAAUAGUAUUGAGCAAGGUCAUUGUACUUAAAUUGUAUGACAUACAUGUAUUGAAUGGAAUUGCCCAAGUGAAAAUAUUAAAUGAAUUUAUUUGUUUAAAUUAAGCUCAAGAGCAAAGGGGAUCUAAAUCCGAUAAAGGGAUGGAAAAAGUGGUCGAAUAGCCAUCGGAAUCAUUCGACAACAUCCGAGGUAAGUUUUCGAGUAAUGGGACUUAAAUUAUGAUUCGAUUAGACUAUGUCUUAAGUAAAUCAAAAUCAUGCUCUUGUAUGUGGCUAUUGAGCCGAAAUUGUAAAUGUGAUAAGUGUCUUGUGUUUGAGCUUUGGUAAUGAAAAUGAAAUAUGAAUGUGUCAUGAUUUAUUGAUAUAUGUGCAUGGUUACUCGAAUGAUAUCUGGGCUAAGUCCCGAAGGCUUUUGUGCUAAGCGACUAUAUCCGGGCUAAGUCCCGAAGGCUUUUGUGCUAAGCGACUACAUCCGGACUAAGAUCCGAAGGCAUUUGUGCUAGCGACUAUAUCCGGGCUAAGUCCCGAAGGCAUUUAUGCUAGUGACCAUAUCCGGGUUAAGACCCGAAGGCCUUGUGCGAGUGGUUAUAUCCGGCUAAACCCCGAAGAUGCUUGAUUUGGGAACGAGCGAUCUUGCUAUAAAAAAUUAAAUUAAUACGCUCGUAAAAUCCCAGCGAUGAGGUAUGUUUCGUGUGUGCUUUGAACUAGUUGAUCCCUUACAAAUCUGUAUUCGCUCAGUCGAUAAAUGAGCUACCGGCCUUUGGCUAAGUUGAUCUUUUGUGUAUGAACAUAAGGGUUGGUAAUGUGAAGUAAGUAUGAUAUUGAGAAUUUGUGCAUAUGAAAUUAUCCGUUUAGCUAUAUGAAUGCUAUACUUUUGUUCUGCUGGAAUCCCUUGCUCAAAACUUACUAAGCAUAAAUUGCUUUCUCUGUUUCUUUGUUUCUCUGUUUUAUAGAUUUUGGCUCGUCAGCUAUCGGACUCGGGAUUUUUGGAAGUCGAAGUCUCCCACACUAUCAAAGCCCCCUUUUGGUACAAUUUUGGUUGAACUUUGAAAUGGCAUGUAUAGGACUACCCUUUUUGUUGUGGGUCAUGGACCUUUUGGAUUUGUAUAAUUUUGGAUAGCCAUGCGAAAAUGGCUUAUAUAUGUUUGAGCAUAAUGUUAUAAUCAUUUGGUAUGGAUAUGGUUAUUGAGAGGUGUGGAUAUGCUUAUCAAGGAUUGGCCAUGGGAAUGGUUAAUCACUAUCAUAGUUUGUGCUAUUUAUGCUAAAAGGGCUAGUUGAAUCAUGGAAACUAUGAAAUAGGUAAAGUCUACCUUAAAGGUAGAUGCUGACAGCAGCAGUGAUGCAGAUUUGGAAAAUCACUAAAAAUAGUAGGAAUGGAAUUAAAUAGUGAAUAAAUUAUGUAAACGAACCUUGAUGAAUCUAUUUUCAUAGGAAAGUAACGAAACGAUCAUAUGGACAGUAUGUUAAGAGAUAUACAGGUUCUCGUGAGACAGGGCCAGAACGGUUUCUGGAUUCCCUGUUCCGACUUUGGAAAUUCAUUAUAAAUUAACCAGAGAUAAUUAGUCUAUAUAAAUAAACGGCAUCAGUAUUGAAGCUCUGUGCAGGGAGAUAUCCAAAUCGUAAUGCAUGAAGGUCAGUGUAGUCGCACCCUGUAACAGGGGAGAAUUUAACUAAUAAACUGUACUAAUUGGCCCAACCAAAAAUUCUAGAAAAAAAUAUGUGGAUGGGCAUAUGAGUCUAGUUUCAGGGAAAAAUUACGAAACUUAUUUUCGAGUUGUGAAACUCGAGAUAUGAUUUUUAAGGUGACAGUGACGCAGUUAGCCAACUGCCUGGAAAUUUUUAAAAUGGACUGCGAUAGUAAGCGAAUUUAGUCUGUGAACCCCUCGUGUCCGACUCCGGCAACGGUCUCGGGUACGGGGUGUUCCAAUUUUAUUGGUAUCAGAGCUACGGUUUAGUCGAUUCUAGGACUACCGUAAUACGUUUGGGUCUAGCUAUACAUGCCAUUUUGUGAUUAUUUGAUAGUGUGGUGAUUUUUGACAAUUGAAAAUGUGUUUAUUUAUAGUAAUGGAUCCCGAUCCCGACCGAGCGGUAGCUGAUGAUCUUGAGAGUGUAGCACCUGCUCCCGCGCAAGGGACAGCGCCGGCGGACUCUCAACCUAAUGCUAGUAACCCGAAUGAUGAAGCUAGACAAGCUUUCUAUAGCGUAAUGAAUGAUUGGUUCAAGCAAUACAUUCGAACUAAUACGGCUGUUCCACAACCUCCAUUCCCGACUAAUGCCACCCCCGCACCUACAAUACCUCCGGAAACUGACCAAAUAAGGUUAAAUAAGCCCCCAGUUGGCAGAAUCCGAAAACAUGGGGCUACUAAAUUUAAAGCUACGAACAGCGAUGAUGCCGAGCAAGCUAAAUUUUGGUUGGACAACACUAUCCGGGUACUCGACGAGCUAUCUUGCACACCCGAUGAGUGCCUAAAGUGUACUAUCUCCUUGCUACGUGAUUCUGCCUACUAUUGGUAGAGUACUCUGACUUCUGUUGUGCCCCGAGAGCAAGUAACUUGGGAGUUUUUCCAAACUGAGUUUCGGAAAAAGUAUAUCAGUCAGAGAUUUGUUGAUAAAAAACGGAAGGAAUUUCUUGAGCUUAAGCAAGGUUCUAUGUCAGUUACUGAUUACGAGCGAAAAUUUGUUAGACUUAGUAAAUACGCUCGGGAAUGUGUUUUGUCCGAGGCUAUCAUGUGUAAACGCUUCGAGGAUGGGCUGAACGAAGAUAUAAAAAUGUUCGUUGGCAUUCUUGAAAUACGAGAGUUCGUAGUACUUGUCGAGCGAGCUUGUAAAGCCGAAGAGCUCAGAAAGGAAAAACAAAAAGUUGAUGUGGGAACUGGAGAGUUUCGUAAAAGAUCCUCGGGAAAGUCUCUUCAACAAGCAUCGAAGAAAUUUCGAGAUGAUGUGGGCCGGUCUAGAGGCACUUCGGGCCUUUUUAGACGAGAUCGUGAUCGACCCCCUAUGGGUACACGAGGCACUUCGGUCGCCAGUGUUGGGAAUGAAUGUCGAGACAGAACGAAAUGUCGAUAUUGCGGUAAAUGGCAUUCGGGGAGUUGUAGAUUCCAUGACUGCUCCUGUUACAAGUGCGGAUCAGUUGACCACUUCAUUAAAGAUUGCCCGAGGUUGUCUGAACAGAAUGUAAAUCAGAGUGGGAAACCGGGUGCUACCACUGCUCGAGGUAGACCAUCUAGAAAUACGGGCAAUGCUAGUGGUGGUCAGAGAGGAUCUAGAGAUGCUACGACCAGAUCCGAGGCUCGUGCGCCUGCUAGAGCUUAUGCUAUACGUGCCCGCGAGGAUGCUUCUUCGCCCGAUGUUAUUACCGGUACUUUUACUCUCUUUGAUACUAAUGUAAUUGCUUUGAUUGACCCCGGUUCUACUCAUUCUUAUAUAUGUGAAACCUUAGCAUCCAGUAAGACUUUACCUAUUGAGUCUACUGAGUUCGUAAUUCGGGUGUCAAAUCCCUUGGGUCGUUACGUGCUUGUCGACAGAGUGUGUAAGAAAUGUCCCCUAGUAAUUCGAGGUUCCUAUUUUCCGGCGGACUUGAUGCUUUUGCCGUUUGAUGAAUUUGAUGUUAUUCUCGGGUUGGAUUGGUUGACCGUGCAUGAUGCGGUUGUUAAUUGCAAAAGCAAGACUAUUGAUUUGAGGUGCGCAAAUAACGAAGUAAUCCGAGUUGAGUCUACGGACUUGGAUGGGUUGCCAGCUGUAAUAUCCUCAAUCUUGGCCCAGAAAUAUGUAAGAAAAGGGUGUGAAGCAUACCUUGCGUAUGUACUUGAUGACAAGGAAUUAGAAAAGAAACUUGAGUCGGUACCAGUAAUUUGUGAAUACCCGGAUGUUUUUCCCGAAGAAUUACCGGGUUUGCCACCUGUUCGGGAGAUAGAGUUUGGUAUUGAGCUUGUACCUGGGACUAUACCGAUUUCGAUAGCUCGGUAUCGUAUGGCACCAACUGAGUUAAAAGAAUUGAAAGCUCAGUUGCAAGAGUUAACGGAUAGAGGUUUCGCUCGACCAAGUUUCUCACCUUGGGGAGCACCAGUAUUGUUCGUGAAAAAGAAGGACGGAACCAUGAGGUUGUGCAUUGACUAUCGUCAGCUUAAUAAAGUGACAAUAAAGAACAAAUAUCCGUUACCGCGUAUCGAUGAUUUGUUCGACCAACUGAAGGGAGCCUCAGUGUUCUCAAAAAUAGAUUUGAGAUCGGGCUAUUAUCAGUUGCAAAUUCGAGAUUCGGACAUACCCAAAACUGCCUUCAGAACGAGAUAUGGUCACUACGAGUUCUUAGUGAUGCCGUUUGGGCUCACUAAUGCCCCUGCGGUAUUUAUGGAUUUGAUGAAUCGGAUCUUCAGACCAUAUUUGGAUCGGUUCGUAGUUGUGUUCAUUGAUGACAUCUUGGUCUAUUCAAGAGAUGAGACCGAACAUGCUGAGCACCUGAGACUAGUGUUACAAAUUUUGUGGGAUAAGCAGUUAUAUGCUAAGUUCAGUAAGUGUGAGUUCUGGUUAAGAGAGGUUAGCUUCUUGGGUCAUGUGGUAUCCGCAUCGGGUAUUCGAGUUGACCCGAACAAAAUUUCAGCCAUACUUAACUGGAAGCCUCUGAGAAAUAUUACUGAGGUUCGGAGCUUUUUGGGACUUGCCGGUUACUACCGACGGUUUGUAAAAGGUUUCUCGAUGAUAGCCACACCGAUGACGAAGCUACUUCAAAAAGAUGUUAAGUUCGAAUGGACAGAAAAAUGUCAGAAAAGUUUUGAUCAACUGAAAACUUAUUUGACCGAAGCUCCAAUUCUAGUGCAGCCCGAAUCAGGCAAAGAGUUUGUCAUUUAUAGUGAUGCGUCCCUACUUGGGUUAGGUUGCGUAUUGAUGCAAGAAGGUCGAGUUGUGGCCUAUGCGUCGAGACAAUUAAAGUCACAUGAGAAAAAUUAUCCGACCCAUGAUCUCGAACUAGCUGCCAUCGUAUUCGCUUUAAAAAUAUGGCGACAUUACUUAUUUGGUGAAAAGUGCCAUGUAUUUUUGGAUCACAAAAGUCUCAAAUAUUUGAUGACUCAAAGAGACUUAAAUCUGCGACAAAGACGUUGGCUCGAGUUGUUAAAGGAUUAUGAGCUUGUCAUUGACUAUCACCCGGGAAAGGCUAAUGUGGUUGCAGACGCCUUAAGCCGGAAAUCACUGUUUGCUUUACGAGCGAUGAAUGUACUCUUGUCUGUUCUACCCGACAAUGUGUUAGUAGCUGAAUUAAAGGCUGAAUCAUUAUUGAUUCAUCAAAUUCGUGAAGCUCAGAAAGUCAACGAUGAAUUGGUUGGAAAACGGGCUGAGUGUGUUCCGAACAAGGAAUCGGAGUUUCAAAUUGAUGAUGAUGAUUGUUUGAGGUUCAGAAGUCAUUUGUGUGUUCCAAGGAAUUCGGAACUCAUUUCGAUGAUUCUGAACGAAGCCCAUUGUAGCCGAAUGUCAAUUCACCCGGGGAGUACGAAAAUGUACAACGAUUUGAAACGUCGGUUUUGGUGGCAUGGUAUGAAACGAGACAUCUCCGACUUUGUUUCAAGAUGUUUAAUAUGUCAACAAGUGAAAGCGGAACAUCAAGUGCCUUCAGGAUUACUUCAGCCGAUCAUGAUACCCGAGUGGAAAUGGGAUCGAGUCACAAUGGACUUUGUGUUCGGACUGCCAUUGUCAGCAAGUAAGAAAGAUGCGAUUUGGGUUGUUGUUGAUAGACUGACUAAGUCGGCUCACUUUAUCCCCGUGCGUACGGAUUUUUCAUUGGAUAAACUAGCUGAAUUGUACAUUUCUCAGAUUGUGAGAUUACACGGGGUACCUAUUUCUAUCAUGUCGGAUAGAGAUCCGAGAUUCACCUCACGAUUUUGGAAGAAAUUGCAAGAAGCUUUGGGUACCAAGUUGCAUUUUAGCACCGCUUUUCAUCCACAAACCGAUGGUCAAUCCGAGCGGAUAAUUCAGAUACUUGAGGAUAUGUUGAGAUGUUGCAUCCUCGAGUUUAGUGGUUCAUGGGAACGGUAUUUACCUUUGAUUGAAUUCGCUUACAACAAUAGUUUUCAAUCAAGUAUUAAGAUGGCACCUUACGAGGCCUUGUACUGGCAUAAAUGCCGUACACCAUUGUUUUGGACCGAGCUCGGUGAAAGUAAAAUUUUCGGAGUUGAUUUGAUUAAAGAUGCCGAACAGAAAGUAAAGGUAAUCCGUGAAAGUCUGAAGGCAGCCACAGAUCGUCAGAAAUCGUAUGCGGAUUUGAAACGAAAAGACAUUGAAUAUCAGGUGGGAGAUAAAGUGUUUCUUAAAGUUUCGCCUUGGAAAAAGGAACUCAGAUUUGGCUGUAAGGGCAAGUUGAGUCCGAGAUUCAUUGGGCCAUACGAAAUAUCCGAACGAGUCGGUCCAGUUGCGUAUCGAUUGAUGUUACCCCCCUGAACUUGAAAAGAUUCACGACGUCUUUCAUGUUUCGAUGCUUCGACGCUAUAGAUCUGAUCCAUCGCACAUAAUUAGCCCAUCAGAGGUUGAAAUUCAAGACGAUAUGAGUUAUGAAGAAGAACCGAUGCGUAUCCUAGCUCGUGAAGUGAAGGAGUUGCGAAACAAAAGGGUUCCGUUAGUAAAGGUGUUAUGGCUCAAACACGGAGUCGAAGAAGCUACUUGGGAAACCGAGAAUGCCAUGAAAGAACGAUACCCAAACUUAUUUACCGGUAAGAUUUUCGGGGACGAAAAUUUCUUAAGUGGGGAGAGAGUUGUGACAGCCCAAAAUUGACCCUAGUCGGGAAGUGGUUUCGGGACCGCUAAACUGAGUCAUAAAAAUAAUUAGCUGUCAUAUUUGAUGCUUAUUAUGUGUAUAUAUGCAUGUGUGAAAAUUUCAUAUUUGAAUUUUGUUUAAUUGUAGGUGAAUUUUAGUAAAUAGGACUUAUGUGAGAAAAUUUUGAAAUGUGAUAGGUCAAAGCAUAAGGAUCUAUUAGUGCAUCAAAUAAAAAGGGGGGACUUGCAUGUCAAUUUCCCCCUAAUUAGUAGUGGCCGGCCAUGACAAGUAUGGUAGACCAAGUGUGAUGGGCAAGAACAUGUCAUAAACAUGUUAAGUUAGUGUUUCAUGGGAAGUAUGAUAAAAUAAGGAGCAUGGGAAUAAAAUAAUGAAAGGGAAUAUGAUGAAAACAAAAAAAAAAGUGUGUGGUUGUUCCCCCAUUUUGCCGAAACUAGAAAAAAAAAGAAAGGCUUCAUCCUUUGGUUCUUCUUGGCCGGUUUGAAAGGAGGAAGAAGAGAGGUUUCGGUCACCUUGAGCUUAAGGGGAGGUUAGUAUGUUGUGUUAAAUUCUUAAGUUUUAACCUUGUUUCUAGUUAAUUAGCAAAUUUCUUACACAAACCAUGGCAAAAUUUCGAAAUCUCGGUGAUGGCUUGAGCAUUCGGUUUUGGUUGUUGAAAGGAAUGAGUUGGAGGUUGGAUCAUGUUAAGAUUCGACCUUGUACAUAAACAUUAAGAGUUUGAUGUUUUUGCGAUUUUUGGAAGGUAAAUAAGGUUAUACACAAGAUAAAUACUAAGAUUUUGGUUGACUUGUUUUAGUGAGGUUCGGCCAAGGACCUUAUGUGCAAGUUUAUUCGGUUUGGGUAGAGAAAACGUGACGGGUAGAUAUGAAGUAAUGUGUAUAUUGGUUCGGCUGCUAAGCAAGGAAAUAAUUGUUAGUAACAUAGUAUCUAUGCACUUAUGUAUAUAUAUGUAUGUACAAAUAACCUAUUUAGCUAUGGAUAUCUAAGGUGUUAAAUAAUGAAAUUCUUGAUGACUUGGGUUAAAUAGCAUUCGGCCAAGGACUAUAUGGGCUUGUUAAUUCGGUUUAAGUGAAGAAACUAUGAUAGAGAAAUAUGACUAAAUUGUGGACUUUGACAAUUUAAAUGAUGCAUUUGACUUGUGUACCGACCUAGGACGAUAUGUGUUUCUAUAUGAAGUUAGAUGGUGUUGAUGAAGUUCGGUAAUGCAUGAUGUUUAAAUAGUAUUGAGCAAGGUCAUUGUACUUAAAUUGUAUGACAUACAUGUAUUGAAUGGAAUUGUCCAAGUGAAAAUAUUAAAUGAAUUUAUUUGUUUAAAUUAAGCUCAAGAGCAAAGGGGAUCUAAAUCCGAUAAAGGGAAGGAAAAAGUGGUCGAAUAGCCAUCGGAAUCGUUCGACAACAUCCGAGGUAAGUUUUCGAGUAAUGGGACUUAAAUUAUGAUUCGAUUAGACUAUGUCUUAAGUAAAUCAAAAUCAUGCUCUUGUAUGUGGCUAUUGAGCCGAAAUUGUAAAUGUGAUAAGUGUCUUGUGUUUGAGCUUUGGUAAUGAAAAUGAAAUAUGAAUGUGUCAUGAUUUAUUGAUAUAUGUGCAUGGUUACUCGAAUGAUAUCUGGGCUAAGUCCCGAAGGCUUUUGUGCUAAGCGACUAUAUCCGGGCUAAGUCCCGAAGGCUUUUGUGCUAAGCGACUACAUCCGGACUAAGAUCCGAAGGCAUUUGUGCUAGCGACUAUAUCCGGGCUAAGUCCCGAAGGCAUUUAUGCUAGUGACCAUAUCUGGGUUAAGACCCGAAGGCCUUGUGCGAGUGGUUAUAUCCGGCUAAACCCCGAAGAUGCUUGAUUUGGGAACGAGCGAUCUUGCUAUAAAAAAUUAAAUUAAUACGCUCGUAAAAUCCCAGCGAUGAGGUAUGUUUCGUGUGUGCUUUGAAUUAGUUGAUCCCUUACAAAUCUGUAUUCGCUCAGUCGAUAAAUGAGCUACCGGCCUUUGGCUAAGUUGAUCUUUUGUGUAUGAACAUAAGGGUUGGUAAUGUGAAGUAAGUAUGAUAUUGAGAAUUUGUGCAUAUGAAAUUAUCCGUUUAGCUAUAUGAAUGCUAUACUUUUGUUGUGCUGGAAUCCCUUGCUCAAAACUUACUAAGCAUAAAUUGCUUACUCCGUUUCUUUGUUUCUCUGUUUUAUAGAUUUUGGCUCGUCAGCUAUCGGACUCGGGUUUUUUGGAAGUCGAAGUCUCCCACACUAUCAAAGCCCCCUUUUGGUACAAUUUUGGUUGAACUUUGAAAUGGCAUGUAUAGGACUACCCUUUUUGUUGUGGGUCAUGGACCCUUUGGAUUUGUAUAAUUUUGGAUAGCCAUGCGAAAAUGGCUUAUAUAUGUUUGAGCAUAAUGUUAUAAUCAUUUGGUAUGGAUAUGGUUAUUGAGAGGUGUGGAUAUGCUUAACAAGGAUUGGCCAUGGGAAUUGUUAAUCACUAUCAUAGUUUGUGCUAUUUAUGCUAAAAGGGCUAGUUGAAUCAUGGAAACUAUGAAAUAGGUAAAGUCUACCUUAAAGGCAGAUGCUGACAGCAGCAGUGAUGUAGAUUUGGAAAAUCACUAAAAAUAGUAGGAAUGGAAUUAAAUAGUGAAUAAAUUAUGUAAACGAACCUUGAUGAAUCUAUUUUCAUAGGAAAGUAACGAAACGAUCAUAUGGACAGUAUGUUAAGAGAUAUUCAGGUUCUCGUGAGACAGGGCCAGAACGGUUUCUGGAUUCCCUGUUCCGACUUUGGAAAUUCAUUAUAAAUUAACCAGAGAUAAUUAGGAGUCAUGCCAUAUAUGUAUAGAUUCCUCUCUGAGUCUAGUUUCUAUAGAAACAAAUGGCAUCAGUAUUGAAGCUCUGUGCAGGGAGAUAUCCAAAUCGUAAUGCAUGAAGGUCAGUGUAGUCGCACCCUUUAACAGGGGAGAAUUUAACUAAUAAACUGUACUAAUUGGCCCAACAAAAAAUUCUAGAAAAAAAUCUGUAGAUGGACAUAUGAGUCUAGUUUCAGGGAAAAAUUACGAAACUGAUUUUCGAGUUAUGAAACUCGAGAUAUGAUUUUUAAGGUGACAGUGACGCAGUUAGUCAACUGCCUGGAAAUUUUUAAAAUGGACUGCGAUAGUAAGCGAAUUUAGUCUGUGAACCCCUCGUGUCCGACUCCGGCAACGGUCUCGGGUACGGGGUGUUACAACCUCGUACCUUGUUCCGGUGAUGGAUACGGGUAAGGGGUGUUACAUAAUCUCUCUAUUUGAGGGAUUGAUUUGAAUUGUUAUCAAGGUAUGAAAAUGGGUCAUGGAUGUAUUAUGCUGGAAAUUAGAAAUUUAUGAUAGAAAAUGAAGAUUAUUGAUAAAUAAACAACUUUUACAAAGUCACUUUUGAUGAAAACAUGAUUUAGGGACUAAAAUGAAAAAUUGUAAAAUUUGAUGAAAAAUUAUAAAAUUUUUUGAAUAAAUGUGCUAGGAAAUUUGUAAUUGGGCUUUGGUUAGGCUUGGAAUAGGGAUUAAUUUGCACAAGUUUCAUUUUCCGAGCCAAGGGACAAAAAUGGAAUUUUUGGAAAAGUUGGGGGCAAAAAGUGGUAAUUUUGCCUAGGACACAAAUUGAGUCCAUUUAAGUAUGAAAUGUAUGAAAUUGAUGAUUAAAUAAAUUUAUAUAGAUCCAGAAAACACAAACUCGAGGCUAGAUCAAGGAAAAGAAAAGAUUUCAGAUUAGUAGACUUUUACGCGAACAAGUGUCGAGGUAAGUUCGUGUAACUUAAUCAGAUAUGCAAUUAGGUUAAUUGGAUGUUAUAUUGUAUGUAAUGCAAUUUAUAUAAUGUGCCUUAUAUGUAUGUUAUGAUGGAAAAUUUAUUCGUGCUUGAAAUGAUGAUAAAGGGUUAGUCCCGAAUGAAUGUUGAAUUUCGAUGAUUAUAUGCGCUUUCCCAACAUGGAUAAGGUCCUGCAUUUGUUGCGGAUAGGAUUUAGCUUGAACGAGUAAUCCCAUUGACCUUGUUAUAAAAAGGAUUUAGCCCAAACAGGUAAUACCGAUAUAAUACCUCUCGAGCAUGCAUUAUGAUUAGGGUUUAGCCUGUACUAGUAAUCCUAAUUGAGCUUCCCUGAGCAUACAUUAUAAAAAGGAUUUAGCCUAGUCAAAAGAGUGUUUUUUGGUUGAAUCAUACGCUUCGAGUGUACUACUUGAGCAUUCAUUAGAAUUCAAUAUUCACGGCCAUAAAACUCUUGACAUGGCAUGAAAAUCUUGAGAUGACGUGAUAAUGACUUGAAAGAAUAUUGCUUGAUGAGCUCAUCUAUGUUACUUGAUUGAUAUGAAGAUUUUGAUGACUAACAUGUUUGAUUGAAUGUAUGUGCUUAGGCAAAUUUAGCCAAAUAGAUGGAAACAUGAUAUUGUAUGUUUAGACUUAGAUUAAGAUUGGAAAGUUUAAUUUCCAUUAUACAAACCUACUAAGCACGUAAUGCUUACUCCUUUUCUUUUUCCCCUGACUUAUAGUGUUCGAAAGCUCGUGAAAGUUUGGAGAUCAUUGGAGCAUCAUCACACUAUCAACUAGUUAUCUUGGGUAUAUAUAGUAGAAUCAUUUUGGUAUAAUGGCAUGUAUAGGACGACUUGGCCGAUGGUGGCUUGAAAGCCAUUGGAAUGGCUAGUGAUGAUUCAUUUUGGGUAUGAUUUAGUAAGCUAUUUUGAUAUAUAUAUAUGCACAUGUGUUAUGGUAAGUUCAUGUGAUCAAAUGUUGUUAAUGCCUAAGUUAAGCUAAGGUAAGUUUGUAACCAAGUAUGCAUGAAAUGGUAUGCCUUGAUGAAUGUUGAAAUUUCCAAAUUGAAUGGUUGAAAUGGUUGGAAUUGGUUGAGUGUUUCAUGUGCAGGUUUUUGGGUGAUUUUGGGAGAGAAAUCAAGCUAGGAAAUGACUUUAUUUUGUCCAUACGGGUAGACACAUGGGUAUAUGUCAAGAUCGUGUGUGACACAUUGCUUGGUAACAUUGGAAUGUGGUUAGACUGUGUGUCCCCUGCACCUUAAUUUUGAAAAACAGAAUGCUCAGAAUUGGGCACACGGGUAGAGACACAUGCUUGUGUCUCAGCCGUGUGUGCCAUACGGCCUAGAACACGGGCGUGUGUCUUGGCUAUGUGAAACCUGCACCUAAUUCGAAUUAAAUUAAUUAACCACAUGGCCUAGCACACGGGCGUGUGACUUGGCCAUGUGAUCUCAAUUCGUUGAUGAGUUACAAGUUAGAGAAUUACACGAGGCCAGGACACGAGCGUGUGUGAACACAUGGCCUACCCACACGGGCGUGUCCCAUAUUCACACGGGCGUGUGACCCUAUAUAGUGGAAAAUUUUCUAAAUUCUGUAAAAAUUUCUAAAGUUCUCAAUUUAGUCCCAAACCACUUCCAAAGCAUGUUUUGGGCCUCGUAGGCUCAUAUUAGGGACUUUAUGAUUUAUUACAAAUGGUUUUAAUUUGGACACAAAUAUAUGGGUUGGAAUUGUAUGAUUUUUGGUUAUAUGAGUCCAGUAAUGCCUUGUACCCUAUUCCGGCAUCGAAUAUGUAUAAGGGGUGUUACAUUUAGUGGUAUUAGAGCUAUACAUGCCAUUAUAUAAAUUGUGAUAGUGUGAUGACUCCUUAUCAUUUUUAAAUGUGUUUUUCAUAUAGUAAUGUCAUCCAACUGAGCUAGAGCUGAAUCCAAGAAAGCUGAGAGCAAUGCUUUAGCUUUAAUGCAAAGAGUCACCUCUGCGUCCGGUAGUGAAAGGGAAUUUGUGGCAUUAGUCGACCGAGUUUACAAAGCUAAGGAACUGAGUAAAGAAAGGAAACAAGCUAAAAGGGAAGCUUAGAUUUCUAGAAAAAGAGCUAUGAGUAAGUCACAAUCAUUUGCUUCUAAGAAAUUAAAGAAGUAUUAUAAUCGUGUGACCACUUCUACGGGAUACUCUAAAAGAGAGCGGGGCUCUCAAUGAUCUAACCCGAGGUCUUCAACUCCAUCUGUGACCAGUGUGGGUAGUGUCAGAAAUCCUAAAUCGAAAUGUAAAAACUAUAACAAGUUUCAUCAUGGGGAAUGUCAGUCUAGAAGUGGAGCUUGUUUAGGAUGUGGUUCGCUUGACCAUUUUCUCAGGGAUUGUCCCGAAAGAGUUGAAAAGGAGCUAGAACCCACUCCAAGGCCGAGCAAUCCUGUUACGAGAGGUAGACCACCCCGUCACCCCAGUAAUGUUAGUGGUAGUCGAGGUACUACCAAGGGUACAAUAGUUAGAUCUGUGGCAUGAGCACCUGCGAGGACAUAUGUUAUUCCUGCUAGAUAAGAUGCUUUUAUGCCAGACAUCAUUACUGGUACAUUUUCUCUACUUGACACUGAUAUUACUGCAUUGAUUGAUCCUGGUUCCACACAUUCAUAUAUAUGCACGAACCUAGUGUCUGUUAAAAUUUUAACUGUUGAAUUCACUGAAUUUGUGGUUAAAGUUUCAAACCCCAUGGGCUAGUGUGUUAUGGUGGAUAAAGUUUGUAAGAACUGUCUGUUGAUGGUAAAAGGUUAUCUUUUUCGGCUAACUUGAUGUUAUUGCUAUUUGAUGAAUUUGAUAUGCUUUUGGGAAUAGAUUGGUUAACUUGGUAUGAUACAGUGGUGAAUUGUAUGCAGAAAUAUAUUGUAUUAAAAUGUCAAAAUGGUGAAUUACUUCAUGUUGAAUCUGAUAAAUUGGAAGGAUUACCUAUUGUGAUUUCAGCAAUAUCAGCACAGAAAUAUGUCAAAAAGGGGUAUGAUGCUUAUCUUGUGUAUGUGAUGGAUACAAAAGUAACUGGGUCAAAGAUUCAAUCAAUGCUAGUAGUAUGUGAAUUUCCUAAUGUAUUCCCAGAAGAAUUACCUGGUUUACCACCGGAUAGAGAAGUGGAGUUCUCAAUAGAUCUUGUUCCGGGUACAACACCUAUAUCCAUAGCACUGUACAGGAUGGCUCCUACUGAGUUUAAAUAGCAGAAGGUAUAGUUGUAAGAAUUGAUUGAAAAAGGUUUCGCUCGACCUAGUUACUCAACUUAGGGUGAACUGAUUCUAUUUGUAAAAAAGAAAGAUGGAUCGUUAAGGCUGUGUGUUGAUUACAGAUAGCUCAACAAAGUUACAAUAAAGAAGUAUACACUGCCUUGUAUUGAUGACUUGUUAGACUAGUUAAAAUGUGUCACCGUAUUUUCAAAGAUUGAUCUCCAUUCUGGUUACUACCAACUACGGGUAAAAGAACCGGAUGUGUCAAAGAAAGCAUUUAGAACCAGGUAUGGACACUAUGAGUUUCUUGUGAUGCCAUUUGGCUUGAAAAAUUCACCUGCAGUGUUUAUGGAUUUGAUGAACAGAAUUUUUAGCCCAUAUUUAGACAGGUUUGUGGUGGUAUUUAUAGAUGAUAUUUUGGUUUAUUCCCGAGAUGAAAAUGAACAUGCUGAGCACUUAAGAAUAGUGUUGCAAACUCUGCAAGAGAAACAAUUGUAUGUUAAAUUCAGUAAAUGUGAAUUUUGGCUAAGGGAAGUUGGCUUCCUUGGGUAUAUAGUAUUUGCUGAAGGUGUCAGAGUAGACCCGAAUAAAAUUUCAGCCAUUGUUAACUGGAAGUCACCGAAGAAUGUGUCUAAAGUCCAAAGUUUUCUGGGACUAGCUGGUUAUUAUCGGAGAUUUGUAAAAAAAAAUUGAUGAUAGCUUAUCCAAUGACCUGAUUGUUGCAGAAAGAUGUGAAAUUCGAGUGGACUAAUAAAUGUUAGCAGAGUUUUGAUAGAUUAAAAACUUUAUUAACAGAAGCACCUGUGUUAGUCCAACCUGAAUCGGGUAAGGAAUUUACUGUUUAUAGUGAUGCGUCAUUGAAUGGUUUAGGCUGUGUUUUAAUGAAAGAUGGUAAGGUAGUAGCCUAUGCUUUACAACAGCUAAAGCCAAAUGAAAAGAACUACCCGACACAUAAUCUUGAAUUGGCAGCAUUAGUGUUUGCAUUGAAAAUCUGGCAGCAUUACUUGUUUGGUGAAAGAUGUCACAUAUUCACUAAUCGUAAAAGUCUGAAAUAUUUGAUGUCACAAAAAAUAUUUGAAUUUGAGACAACGCAGAUGGCUUGAAUUGUUGAAAGAUUAUGAUAUUGUUAUUGACUACCAUUUGGGGAAAGCCAAUAUAGUGGCAGAGGCUUGAGCAGAAAAUCCUUGUAUGUUCUACGAGUAAUAAACACUCGAUUGUCAUUGUUUGAUGAUGGUUCAAUCAUAGCUGAGUUAAAAGCUAGACCAAUGUUUUCACAGCAAAUUUCUGAAGCUCAGAAAAAUGAUAGCAACUUGCAAGCAAGACGAACACAAAGUGAAUCGACUUUUGAUUCAGAAUUUAAGAUUGGGAUUGAUGGUUGUUUGUUAUUCAGAGGCAAAGUAUGUGUACUGAAAGGUUCUGAACUAGUACGAAGAUCUUGAAUGAAGCUUAUAAUGGUAACAUGUCUGUUCAUUCCUAGUAGUAAUAAAAUGUAUAACUAUCUAGAAAAGAUGUACUAGUGGCUAGGAAUGAAACAAGAUAUUUCUAAGUUUGUAUCUAAAUGCUUGACAUGUUAGCAAGUAACAAUUGCCUUCUGGACUAUUACAGCCAGUUUCGACACCGGAAUGGAAAUGGGAAAAGGGAAAAUUUUACUAUGGACUUUGUAAUGGGAUUACCCCUAUCUCUAAAAAAGAAAGAUGUCAUUUGGGUAAUUGUUGAUCAAUUGACAAAGUCUGCACACUUUAUCCUGGUACGUAUGGAUUUUUCCUUGGAUAGAUUGGUUGAGUUAUAUGUUUCAGUGAUAGUCAGAUAGCAUAGAGUGCCUGUCUCCAUCAUUUCAGAUAGAGAUCCUCAGUUUACUUCUCAAUUCUGGAGAAAACUGCAAGAAGCUCUAGGUACCCAGUUACACUUUAGUACUGCAUGUCAUCCCCAAAAAAAUGGUCAAUCUGAACAGUAAUACAGUUCUUGGAAGAUAUGCUUCGGUGUUGUGUACUUGAGUUUGAAGGUAACUUGGAAAGGUAUUUGCCUCUAGUUGGAUUUGCUUAUAAUAACACUUAUCAACCUAGUAUUAAAAUGGCACCGUAUGAAGCCUUGUAUGGUUGUAAAUGUAGAACUCCAUUAUACUGGACAGAACUCAGUUGAGAAAAAGUUACACAGAGUUGACUUGGUCCGAAAGACUGAAGAAAAAGUGAAGGUAAUUCGAGACAGCUUGAAAGCAGCCUUUGAUCGACAAAAGUCUUAUGCUGAUUUAAAGAGAAAAGAAAUAAAACUUUAGGUUGGUGACAAGGUAUUCUUGAAAGUGUCGCCUUGGAAGAAAGUACUCCGGUUUGGUUGUAAAGGGAAAUUGAGUACACGGUUCAUUGGACCCUAUGAGAUUAUAGAAAGAAUUGGACCUGUUGCAUAUCGGUUAGCUUUACCACCAGAGCUUGACCGGAUUCAUAAUGUUUUUCAUGUGUCUAUGUUUCAGCGGUAUCGAUCUGAUCCUUCACAUGUUAUCUCUCCGACAAAGAUAGAGAUUUAGCCUGAUAUGACAUAUGAUGGAGAACCAAUCAAAAUCUUAGCUCGGGAAACAAAAGAGUUAAGAAAUAAAAAGGUAGCGUUGGUAAAAGUUCUUUGGAAAUGACAUGGUAUAGAGGAAGCUACUUGGGAACUGGAGGAUACUAUGAGGAAGCAAUACCCAAAUCUUUUUAUUGGUAAGUUUUUCGAGGACGAAAAUUCCUAAAACGGGAGAGAGUUGUAACAACCCAUUUUUCAAUAAAAUCAAAACAGUGGUUUUGGAACCAAAAAUCUGAUCCAAAAUAUAUUUUAUUUUUAUUUUAUCAUAUGGCCCGUAAUAUGUUAGAAAUGACGUGUGAAAAUUUUGAUAUGAAAAUUUUAUCGAUUAAGUGUUUAAUUACGAGAAGGACUAAAUAGCAUAAAAUACGAAAGUUGAAUUCUAGUAGCUGUAAGGAUCAAAUAGCUAUGGAAUUCAAAACUUAGGGUCCUUAUAUAGUAAUUAUACCAUUAAAAAUAGUAUGUAGAUUUUUCUUGGUGACUCAUCCAUGGAGUUAUGGAAAAAGGGCAAGGACUAAAUUGGAAAUACCGAAAUACUUAAUUAAUUAAAAGAUGGAAAGAAAUAAAUCAUCUUAAUUUCAUCAUCUUCAACCUAAAACACAUGGAAACCCUAGGAGAGAGAAAAGCAACUUUCAAGGCCUAAUUGGGUAAGUUCUCUUGUCUCGUUUUUAAUAAUUUUGAUAUUUUCGAAACCGAGAUAGCUUAAUCUCUCUAUUUGAGGUAUAAAUUUGAAAAGUUAUCAAGGUAUGAAAAUAGGUCAUGGAUGUAUUAAGCUAGAAAUUAGAAAUUUAUUGUAGAAAAUUAAUAUUAUUGAUAGGUAAACAACUUUUACAAAGUGAUUUUUUAUGAAAACAUGAUUUAGGGAAUAAAAUGAAAAGUUGUAAAAUUUGAUGAAAAAUUUUGGAAUUUUAUGAAUACAUGUGCUGGAAAAUUUGUAAUGGGGCUUCGAUUAGGCUUGGAAUAGGGAAUAAUUUGCACAAGUUUCAUUUUCCGAGCCAAGGGACGAAAAUGGAAUUUUUUGAUAAGUUAGGGGCAAAAUGGUAAAUUUGCCUAAGACGUAAAUUGAGUCCCUUUAAGUAUGAAAUGUAUGAAAUUGAUGAUUAAAUUCAUUUAUAUAGAUCCAGAAAACACAAACUCAAGGCUAGAUCGAGGAAAAGAAAAGAUUUCGAAUUAGUGGACUUUUACGCGAACAAGUGUCGAGGUAAGUUCGUGUAACUUAAUCUGAUAUGCAAUUACAUUAAUUGGAUGUUAUAUUGUAUGUAAUGCAAUUUAUAUAAUGAGCCUUAUGUGUAUGUUAUGAUGGAAAAUUUAUACGUGCUUGAAAUGAUGAUAAAGGGUUAGUCCUGAAUGAAUGUUGAAUUCUGAUGAUUAUAUGCACUUUCCUAAAUUGGAUAAGGUCAUGCAUUUGUUGCUGACGGGAUUUAGCUUAGACGAGUAAUCCCAUUGACCUUGUUACAAAAAGGAUUUAGCCCGGAUGGGUAAUCCUGAUAUAAUACCUUUCGAGCAUAUGUUAUGAUUAGGGUUUAGCCUAGACUGGUAAUCUUAAUUGAGCUCCCCUGAGCAUACGUUAUAAAAAGGAUUCAGCCUAGACUGGUAAUCCUGUUAAAUGAUAUGUGGCUCGAGAGAGUGUUUCUUGGUUAAGUGUCAUAAUAGGUACCCUUGAAUAAGAAAUUGAAGAAUUGUUGAAUCGUACACUUCGAGUGUAUUACUUGAGCAUUCGUUGGAAUUCAAUGAUUCACGGACAUAAAACUCUUAACAUGGCAUGAAAAUCUUGAGAUAACAUGAUAAUGACUUGAAAGAAUAUUGCUUGAUGAGCUCAUCUAUGUUACUUGAUUGAUGAAGAUUUUGAUGACUAACAUGUUUGAUUUAAUGAAUGUGCUUAGGAAAAUUUAGCCAAAUGGAUGGAAAGAUGAUAUUGUAUGUUUAGAAUUAAUAAUCAAGAUUCAUAAGUUUAAUUUUCGUUAUACGAACUUACUAAGCAUGUAAUGCUUACUCAUUUUAUUUUUCCCCUAUCUUAUAGUGCUCGGUAGCUCGUAAAGAUUGGGAGAUAAUUGGAGCAUUGUCACACUAUCAACUAGCUAUCUUGGGUAUAUAUAGUAGAAUCAUUUUGGUAUAAUGGCAUGUAUAGGAUGACUUGGCUAAUGGUGGCUUGAAAUUUUAUUUUGUAACCUAGCCAUUGGAAUGGCUAGUGAUGGUUCAUUUUGGGUAUGAUUUAGUAAGCUGUUGUGAUAUAUAUAUAUACAUUUGUUAUGCUAAGUUCAUGUGAUCAAAUGUUGUUAAAGCCUAAGUUAUGCUAAGAUGAGUUUGUAACCAUGUAUGAAUGAAAUGGUAUGCCUUGAUGACUGAUGAAAUUGCCAAAUUGAAUGCUUGAAAUGGUUGGAAUUGGUUGAGUGUUUCAUGAGCAGGUUUUUGGGUGAUUUUGGGUGAGAAAUGAAGCUAGGAAAUGGCUUUAUUUUAUCCACAUGGGCAGACACACGGGCGUGUGUCAAGACCGUCUGUGACACACAGCUUAGUAACACGGGCAUGUGGGUAGGCCAUGUGUCCCUUGCACCUUAAUUUUGAGAAACAGAAUGCUCAGAAUUGGGUACAAGGGCUUGAGUCUCACCGUGUGCGCCAUACGGCCUAGAACACGAGCGUGUGUUUUGGCCGUGUGAAACCUACACCUAAUUCGAAUUAAAUUAGUUAACCAUACGACAUAGCACACGGGCGUAUGACUUGGCCGUGUGAUCUCAAUUUGUUCAUGAGUUAUAAGUCAGAGAGUUACAUGGGGCUAGGACAAGGGCAUGUGUGAUCACACGGCCUACCCACACGGGUGUGUCCCAUAUUCACACGGGCGUGUGACCCUUGUGUAGUGCAAAAUUUUCUAAGUUUUGUAAAAAUUUAUAAAGUUCUCGGUUUAGUCCUGAACCACUUCCAAAGAAUGUUUUGUGCCUCGUAGGCUCGUAUUAGGGACUUUAUGAUUUAAUACAAAUGGUUUUAAUUUGGACAUAAAUUUAUGGGUUGGAAUUGUACGAUUGUUGGUUAUGUAAGUCCGGUAAUGCCUUGUACCUUGUUCCGGUGUCGAAUACGGGUAAGGGGUGUUACAACAUUUGCUUUCCCCAGAUGGUAAUCAAUUACUAACUCAUAAUCUUUCAAUAGCUCGAGCCAUCUCUGUUGUCUUAAAUUCAAAUCUUUCUAGGUCAUUAUAUAUUUCAAGCUCUUGUGAUCGGUAAAAAUGUGACACUUUUCACCGUACAAAUGAUGACACCAAAUUUUCAAAGCGAAAACAAUAGCGGCCAACUCUAAAUCAUGCAUCGAAUAAUUAUUUUCAUGCGGCUUCUACUGUCUGGAGGCAUAAGCUAUUAUUUUACCCUCUUGCAUCAAAACAAAACCCAAACCGUUUAAUGCCGCGUCGCUAUAAAUCAUGAAUUCUUUACCCGACUCAGGUUAAACCAAAACUGGCUCCUCAGUUAACAAUGCUUUCAACUAAUCGAAACUCUAUUGACAUUUCUCGAACCAGUCAAAUUUCAGAUCUUUUUGUAGAAAUCUACUCAUAGGUGUAGCAAUCAUCGAGAACCUGUAACACCCCUUACUCGUAUUCAAGGCCGGAACAGGGUACAAGGCAUUACCGGACUUAUACACAAGUAAUCAUACAAAAUCGAGACGUAAAUUUCCAUCCAAAUUAAAAAUUUUCACAUACAUUCAUAUCAUCCCUAAAACGAGCCCACAAGGCCCAAAACAUACAUUAGAAAAUUUUCAUGCUUUAAAAGCCACAUGCCUGUGUAGCUUGGGACACGCCCGUGUCGGCAAGCCGUGUGGUUACACACGUCCGUGUCCCUAACCUGUGUAACUCUUUGUUUGUCACCCAAGAACAAUUUGAAAUCAUCGGCCAAGUCACAGGCCCAUAUGCUAGGUUGUGUGGUCGAUUUAAAAAUUAUGAUUUUUCCUAAAUUAGGUGCAGAUUUCAAACGCCCAGGGCACACGCCCAUGCCUGAGGCCAUGUCCUCCUCACGGCUGAGACACUCGCCCGUGUCUCUACCCUUGUGCUCAAUUCUGAGCAUUCUAUUUUGCAACAAUUAAGAAACAGGGAAUACACAGCUAUAACACACACCCAUGGGCAAGCCAUGUAUCACACACAGCUUAGACACACGCCCGUGUGUCUACCCGUGUGGACAAAAAUAAGGCUAUUUGCCAAGCCAUUUUAUCCCCCCUUUAAUGCACUCACCUACACAACAAAACAUGGCUCCAAUCCAAGCAAUUACAUUUAACCAAUUUAGCCACAAUCAAGACAUCCAGAGAUCAUUCACAUCCUACGAUUUAUCACAUGCAGACAUCACAUACUUAUCAUCUUAAACCAUGCAAAUUUCCACAUCCAUGAAAACAUCAUCACAUGCAUAUAUACUUAAUCCAAUAUUAGCCAAAUUUCAAUAGCCAUUUACAAUAUGAAUUAUCAACUAACAUAAGCCAACAAACUUGGCCAAAUCAAUUAUGACACAUAGCUAAAGGACCAAGUCCCUAUACAUGUCAUAACUCAAAAUGUUGAAUUCAUUGGUACCCAAAAUAAUUAGUUGAUAGUGUUAGUGGAUUUCCGACAGUCUCCGAUCCCCGAGCUAGCUUGGUGACACUAUAAGACAAGGGAAAUAAAACGGAGUAAGCUUUAAAGCUUAUUAAGUUCCUAUGCAAAUAAUAAGCAUCAUAAACACAUAUUUAACAUACAAUUAACAUGGGAUAAAUUAACAUAAAUGUUAUUAUAAAAUCUCACAGUCAAACUUACUCAAUCAUAACUUUAUCGAGGGUUCAUCACAUAUCAAGCUCAUUACGUAUGAGUUUUACGUACAUACCUAAGUCAUCUUGAAUUGGAUUUACACACACUUCAUCUUUAACAUACUCGUUAAAUUACCCGUUGAACCACUUGGAAUACUAAGGAUACUUGGGAGUCCUGUACGCACGGUACCGUACCAAUGCCAUAUCCUAGAUAUGGUAUUACAUGUAAUCUCGUAUCAAAGCCAAUAGCCCAGCUAUAGUCUUACACGAAGUCUCAUAUCGAUGCCAUAUCCCAGAUAUGGUCUUACACGUAGUCUCAUAUUAAUGCCAUAUCCUGGAUAUGGUCUUACACAUAGUCUUAAUAACCCUAAUGUCAUGACAUUUGUAUCCUAUCUAUUCCUAAGGUUCAACCGGGAUUUCAAGCUCGUCGAAACUUUUUCAAAUACGUCCAAAGGUCAAUCACAAUUCAUACAAUAAUAAACCAUUUAAAGCAUAAUUAAAACAAUGCAUUAUUUACAUACGAAAUUACCUUGGUACAAAAAUAGUAGAAAUGGGACCUAAUCGUCAAACACAUUAUUUUUCCCUCGAUCUAGGUUCGAACCUCCUUUCUCUUGAUCUAUAAUAGCAAAUUUAACUAAUUUAUUAUUCACAUUACUCAAAUUAGUUCAAAAAUCACAUUAUGGAAAAGUUACAUUUUUACCCCUAAACUUUGACAUUUUUACAUUUUGGUCCAUAGGCUCGUAAAUUGAAAUGGAUUCAAUUUCUUCGAUUCCUAAGCCUAGCCGAACCUCUUUCAUGCUUAUAACAGUCCACAUUUUCCAUUCUUUCACAUUUUUACUAUUCAUUUUAUAACUUUUUACAAAUAGGUCCUUUUAGGCAUUUUCAUCAAAAAUCACUUAGCAAAAGUCAUUUUUCAAACAUCAAAAUUGCAUAAUCUACCAUUAAAAAUCAAAAUACACACAUGUCUAACAUGGUUCAAACCCUAAACCUUAAUCAUUUCUCAAAUUAAUGGUAGAAAUCGAGUGAUAACGACUUCAAAAAUGUAAAGAGCAUUAAAAACGGGGUAAGAACGGACUUACAAUCAAGCUUGAAAGUGGUCAAACCCUAGUUAUGGCUUCCCUUCUAAAUUUUGGCACAAGCAUGAAGAAGAUGGACUAAAAUUUUCUUUUAUUUUACUUAUUUAGUCUAUAAUUGACAAAUUACUAAAAUGCCUCUUUUUAUAAAACAUGAAAUUUCUCUUACCUCAUGUCCAUUUUUGUCCACGAACUUAACAAAUGGUCUAAUUACCAUCUAAGGACCUUCAGUUUAAAAUUUCAUAACAAUUAGACACCUCUAGCAUGUAGAACUUAACUUUUGCACUUCUAAUUUAGUCAUUUUUGCUAAAUUGAGUGCUCAAACAUCAAAAUUUUUGAACGAAAUUUUCACGAAAUCAUUCCAUAGAACUGUAGACCAUAAAAAUAUAAUAAAAACAAAUUUAGUAUGUUGGAUUCGUGAUCUCGAACCCACUAUUUCGAUUAGGACAAAAAUUAGGUUGUUAUAGAACCCUCUAACAAAACGUCAAUAAUAACCAGCUAACCCCAUAAAACUUUUGACUUCAGAUACAUUUCUCAGUGGUUUCUAGUCAACAACUGUUGAAAUCUUGCUCGGAUCAACUCUUAUACCUUCCGCUGAAACAAUGUGCCCCAAAAAUUUGACUUCUCGAAGCUAGAAUUCACAUUUGCUGAAUUUAGCAAAUAGUUGCUUAUCUCUCAAAGUUUGAAGCACAAUUCUCAAAUGUUCGUCAUGCUCAGACUCAUCCCGUGAAUAGAUCAGAAUGUCGUCAAUGAACAAAACAACGAAUCUGUUUAAAUACAAUCUAAAAAUCCAGUUCAUCAAAUCCAUAAAGACUGUAUGAGCAUUAGUUAAUCCAGACUAAUAAUGUCCGUACCUCAUUCUGAAAGUAGUUUUCGGCCCAUCGAAAUCUUUAACACGCAACUAAUAAUAACCAGACUACAAAUCAAUCUUCGAAAACACUGUUGCGCCUUUCAAUUGUUCAAAUAAAUCAUUUACUCUUGCAAAUGGAUACUUAUUCUUUAUCGUAACCUUAUUGAGUUGUCGAUAGUUAAUACACAUUCUCAUUGACCCGUGUUUCUUCUUUACAUUAAUACUGGAGCACCCUAGGGUGAAAAACUAGGUCGUACAAAAUCUCUAUCCGUUAACUCUUGCAACUGAGAUUUCAACUCUUUGAAUUCUAUCGGAGCCAUUCUAACGGAGUUAUAGAUAUAGGUGAAGUUCCUGGUACUAACUCAAUAGAAAAUUCAAUGUAACGCCUCUUACCCGCGUUCUACGCUAGAACAGGGUAGGAGACAUUACCGGAACACAACACAUUCAAUCGUACGAAACCAUGACGUAGAUUUUUUUUAUAUGUCCAAGUUAAAACAAUUCAGAAUUCAUACUUAAUCAUGCAUCCUCAUACCUUAUAGCUUAAACGAUAUUAAUUAAUAUUAAUGGUCAUAUACAAAAUGAGCUAUCAAAUAUUGAAGGUUAACAUCUUAGGCCAAUUUAAUUAUGACAUAAAACAAAAUAACUAAGUCCUCUAUACAUGCCAAAAUCCAAAAUAUUGUUUUCAAAAUACCAAAAAGAGUGUCAAUAGUGUGAAUGGUUCUCCAACGAUCUCCAAACCCCGAGCUGGCUUGGUGACACUAUAAGACAAAGGAAAGGAAAGAGAGUAAGCAUAAAGCUUAGUAAGUAAGUAUGUAAAUAAUAAACAAUUUGUCAACAUGAUUCUCAAGGUAAAACAAUCAUAAUUGUACACUAUAAGUUGUUUUCUUGAGUCACAGUCACUAACUUAUUUAUAGCUGGAGCUACGGAACUCCAAAUUAAGAUCCGUUAAUUUUUCCCAAAAACUAGACUCACAUAUAUUCUUACCAUAAAAUUUUUAGAAUUUUUGGUUUAGCCAAUUAGUAAAGUUUAUUCAUUAAAUAUCACUCUAUUUCACUAUCCAACAGUUCUGACCUCUAUUCACUAAAAAUUAUUUAACGCAUGGUACACGACUCCAAAUUAAGAAUUGCUAAUUUUCCAAGAAACUAGACUCACAUAUAUUCUUACCAUAAAAUUUUAAGAAUUUUUUGUUUAGUAAAUUAGUACAGUUUAUUCAUAAUAAAUAUCCCUAUUUCACUGUCUCAUAGUUUUGAUCUUUCUUCACUAAAAAUUAUUUAUCUCAUGGUACAGAUCUCGGAUGCUGUCUCUGUCAAUUCCUCUUGAAAAUAGACUCAUUAAGGAUUUUAAGCAUGCAAAUUAUGACAAAUAAUUAUUUUUGUACAAUGUUUAAUGAUUUUCCCAAAUUAGAAUAGGGGAUUCCAAAGUCAUUCUGACCCUGUCUCACAAAAAUCCAAUUAUCACAGAAUAUGAAAUUCUUUUGCCUUCACCGUUUCUUUUAUGAGAAAAUAAACUCAUUAAGAUUUAAUUUGAAUCUUAUAAAACCUCUAAUUCAAUUACUACUAUUUUGGGGGAUUUUUCAAAUUCACACAACUGCUACUGUCCAAAAGUAUUUUAUUACAAAAUUUCAUUUCUACAUAAUUUCACUUACUCCAUUCUAUCUUACCAAAAGACUAACUCAACUAUCGAGCACAUUGCUCUCAACUUUUCACAUCGAUAUACAUGCACUUAUUCAUCACAUAGUCAUGUACAUAUGUAUUUUCACUUAGUAAAUUUCCCAUUGAACUCAUCGGAAUAAUAACAGAUACCCGGUGGUCUAUGCAUAUACCACCCUUGUAACCGAAGCUCUCUGGUACGCAUAGUAGCUUGCACUUAGUACAACACAUGCGACCUAUCAAUCUGGUACACGUAGUAGCCUACACUUAGUACUACACACGUGACUUAUCCAUCUAAUACACGUAGUAGCCUGCACUUAGUACUACAUACGUGAUCGAAGUUAACGGGUAUGCAUAGUAGCUUGCACUUAGUACUACACAUGCGACCUAUCAAUCCGGUACAUGUAGUAGCCUGCACUUAGUACUACACACGUGACCUAAAACUGUCUUAAACACAUAGUAGCUUGCACAUAGUACUACGCAUGUGUUCUCACAAUGGAUCAUUUGUAUCUCUUCUAUUCCGAAGGUUCAAUCGGGAAAUUCUUCACUUUUCAACAUUUUACUAACUCGUUCUUAGUCAAUCCCAAUUCGUAGUUUAAAUCAAUUGAUCAUUCUAUAGGCAGCCACAUCUCAUAUAGUAACAAAAGAUAAUAACAUAAAAAGAAUCGAAAUAUUAUUUACAUAUAAACUUACCUCGGUGCAAAAUAUAGAAAUUUUGCAAUUUAGUCCACAAUCUUUUCCCUUCCCCGAUCAAGGUCGAUUCCACGUCUUUCUUGGUCUAUAAUAACACAUUUGACUUAUUAAAAUGCUCACAUUAUUCAAAUUAACCCAAAAACAUCCUAUGGCAAAAUUUACAAUUUUGUCCCUAAAGUUUCACAAAAUUACAAUUUUGCCCCUAGGUUCGGGAAAUAAUUUUUAUUCAAUUUCCUUGUAUUUUAAGCUUAGCCAAACCAUUUUCAUAACUAUAGCAGUCCAUAAUUUGCAUUAAAUCAGACACUUUUUUACAAACUAGUCCUUUUAUGCAAUAUCAACAAAAAUCACUUAGUAAAAGUUGUUUAUCACACUCCAAACAUUCAUAUUCUUCCAUAAAACAUCAAAAUACAUGCAUGUCAUGCAUGGGUAAAAUUUUAAAUAUAAACCCUAGCUCAAAAUAUUGGUAGAAAUAGGUAAACCGAGCCACAAGGAUCUCAAAAAUGUAAAUAACAUUAAAAACGGAGCUAAAACAGACUUACAAUCUAGCUUGAAAGUUUGAAAAACCCUAGCUAUGUUUUCCUCAUGUGAAAUUCGGCCAAGGGGUUGAAGAUGGAUAAAAAUUGGCUUUUAAUUUUGUUUUAAUUCAUUUUAAUAACUAAAUGACCAAAAUGCCCUUAAUGAAAAACUUUGGAAACAUGCCUAACCAUGUCCAUUUUUGUCCAGCAACUUAACCAAUGGUCUAAUUACCAUAUAAUGACCUCCAAUUUAAAAUUUCAUAACAAUUGGACAAUUCUAACAUGUUGAACUCAACUUUUGCGCUUUUUAUAAUUUAGUCCUUUUGACUAAAUUGAGUGCCCAAACGUCAAAGUUUUCGAACAAAACUUUUACAAAAUAAUUCCAUAAAAAUGUAGACCAUAAAAAUAUAAUAAAAAUACAUUUUUCUAUGUUGGAGUUGUGGUUCCAAAACCACUGUUCUGACUAGACCCAAAAUCGGGCUAUUACAACUUUCCCCCUUUUAAGGAUUUUCGUCUCGAAAAUCUUACCGGUAAAGAGGUUUGGGUACUAUUUUCUCAUGGCUUCCUUUGGUUCCCACGUAGUCUCCUCUACUCCAUGCCUUUGCCACAAUACUUUUACUAAGGCUAUACUUUUAUUUCUCACCUGUUUAAUUUCCCCAGCCAAAAUCUAAAUCGGUUCUUCAUCGUAGGUCAUAUCCGGUCGAGUAUCAAUCUCUGUUAGAGGAAUCACAUGUGAAGGACCGGAACGAUAACGUCGCAACAUUGACACAUGAAACACAUUGUGGAUCCUUUCCAACUCUGUCGGCAAAGCUAACUGAUAUGCCACUGGCCCUACUCUUUCAAUAACCUCAUACGGCCCAAUAAAACGUGGACUCAACUUGCCUUGCCGGCCAAAUUUGAGAACUUUCUUCCAUUGGGACACUUUCAAAAAUACUUUAUCUCCGACCUGAAACUCAAUCUCUUUUCUUUUCAAAUCUGCAUAUGAUUUUUGUCUAUCGGAAGCAGCUUUGAAACAAUCUCGAAUUACUCUUACUUUCUCUUCGGUUUCCUUAACCAAAUCAACUUCGUCAAUCUGUUUCUUGCUAAGCUCCAUCCAGUAAAAAGGUGUUCAGCACUUGUGGCCAUACAAUGCCUCAUAAGGUGCCAUUUUUAUACUCGAUUGAAAACUGUUGUUGUAAGCAAAUUCAACUAGUGGUAGCUAUUUCUCCCAACUACCUUCGAAUUCUAAAACACAACAUCGAAGCAUGUCUUCAAGAAUUUGAAUUACCCUUUCGGAUUGACCGUCAAUUUGCGGAUAAAUCACAUUACUAAAAUUCAAUUUCGUACCCAAGGCUUCUUGCAACUUUUUCCAAAACCUUGAAGUAAAUCUUGGGUCUCUAUCUGAAAUAAUAAACAUAGGUAAUCCGUGCAAUCUCAUAAUUUCAGCAAUAUACAAAUCAACCAACUUAUCAAGUGAGUAGUCGGUAUGUACCGGUAUAAAGUGAUUCGGUUUUGUCAAUCUAUCAACCAUAACCCAAAUGGCAUCUUUCUUUUUCGGAGUGAGAGGCAAACCUAUCACAAAAUCCAUCGUGAUUUUGUCCCGUUUCCACUCGGGAACAAUUACUGGCUGAAGUAAACCUGAAAGCACCUGAUGUUCAACUUUCACUUGUUGACAGAUCAAACACUUUGAUACAAAAUUAGAAAUAUCUCUUUUCAUACUUGGCCACCAAUAUAAUUUCUUCAAAUCAUUAUACAUUUUUGUGCUGCCAGGAUGAACAGACAAACUGUAACACCCCUAUCCUUUAACCGUUGUCAGAAUAGGAAAGGGGUAUUACCAGACUUGUAACUCAUGUCAGAACAGUAAAAUUUUUUAAAUUUUUUUUCUUGAAAUAAAGGUCAUUCAUUUAGAUAAAUGCUAAAUACUGCUAGGGAUAAAAUUAAACUUCCAUAAGUACACAUUCAAAAGAUGCCAUUUUUGCAUGGCUUAUAUACAUUAACCAGAAUAUUAUUCCGCUACUAGUUUAUUCUAUACAUGCCAUAAAAUAAUCCAAAACAUAGCAGUACCAAACAGUGGAUAGUGAUAGUGUGACGAGUUGUUGACGAUCCCCGAGCAAAGGCCAAAUUUGAUAAUCUAUAAAAUAGAGAAACGUAACAACAGAGUAAGCUUUCAAGGCUUAGUCAGUCUUAAGUAAAACAAUUAACUUUGUUGGAUUAAAUACAUUUAUAACUUACACAAAAUCCAAGUGAAGUCUCGAUGGGCUUAAUAAGCCUACACAAGUACAUAAUACAUACCUGGCCAACUUAAUGUGCUGAUCAUCCGUAAUUGUUGAUUUAUUACUAAGUCGCUUAAGAUUAGGCCUUACACAAAUCAAGUUUUGAAAUGUCAAGAUAUAUCACCAUUCGGUCAAAUAGAUUAAACCCUAUGUAUGCACAUGUAAUUCAUCUAUUUCAUCCAAUUUUAAGAGUAUAUACCCCUUCGCAUUUAAAAACAUCAAUGCUACUUUUAGUUUAAUCAGUCGAACUAAAACAUAACACUAUAAUCACAUUCGGUUUCAAUAUUUGGAAGCAUAUAUUCAUGUUUUCAUCUUAAAUAAACAAUUUGAUAGAGUCAAUACUCGUUGAAUAUAACUUAUAACCAUCUCAUAAGUGAUUCCCCAAGUACAUUUGUAAUACAAACGAAAUCGAGUUCACAUACCAAGUAAGUAUCACUUACCAUAUACUUAACCUUUGUACACUUACCGUUUCCAUAAUUACCAAUUACCAAUUCAAUCUUUCAAUACCUCUAACCACUUAAUCAUAUGUACUCAUUUCGUGCACAUACAUAAUUGUAUAUAUGUAUUUAGGAGCUUAGUUCUUUAGUUCAUAUUCACAUUAAUAUUUCAAAUAAUCAAAUCAUGACAAGUAUUAAAGUUUCGUAUACGUAUAUAAAGGACCAAACAUACUCUUUAUCACAUAUACAUAAAUGACCAAACGCAAUCCAUACCUUGUAUUUGCACAUCCUGUCGAAUACAACUCAAAUUAGUAAAUUUUUAUGAAACUAAUUAAAUCUUUAUCUUAAAGAUAUACAAAUGUUCUUCGGUUUAAAAUAAUUCAAGGCACUUAGCCAUAGCCUGCUAGGUUUUAAAAAAA